rnacentral:lncRNA from 1 species
AAAAAACUUUAUGAACAAUUCUCAAAUUGUCUUCAUUCAUUUUCUCUUUCCCUAGGAAAAUUUAAAAAAGAAAAAAAAAAGACUGUGCAAUACUUUUCUACAUAGAAACCCUCUUGAGCCAGUCUGUUAUAAGCAUAUAUUAUAUAAUAUUGACAAUAGCAGACAGACCAAAAAACAAAAAAAAAAAAAAGUAAGAAAACUGGGAUAAGAAAAAUAUAUAAUUCUUCCCAGAGAACCAUUUCAGCUUCUGUUCUUGCAUUUUUCAACUGCCCUUGGAGCUGCACCAGAAAGGAAGGGGAAAAAAUUGAGAUAACCAUUUGUAACAGAAAUUAUUACCGGAAAAAAAAGGACAAGAAAAAGUUGGAUGACCUAAUUAAAGAAUAUAAUGUAUCUAAGUUCUUUCAAAUAACAUUUUUCGUAUAUGAUAAAUAUCUAAACCUGCUCGUGUAAAAUCAAAUUGCGGAAAAAUUUUAGCAUACCUAGCCCGACGGCCUCCGACCCUUUCAUUAUCCUCAAACGUUUGCAUGAGUCAACAAACAUUCUGAAAAAUGUAAAAUAUAUAAUUGUCAGUUUUUUUGCAAUUCUUAGUAGUGAAUUUGGUUAAGUAAUUUCCUAAUAAAAUGGAUUGCAGGAAAUUGUCUUAUGGAAAAAAUUGAAGAAGUUAUGAACGUACUCCCAUGGAACAUCACCCACGAGCAUCCAGUCUCCAUCUCUGUCCUCAUACGUAGGGACGUAUUCUGAACCAUUUAGAAGAUCUAUCAAUUUCCUCUCGUUCAUGAAGUCCUUGAAUUCUUGAGAUCCAUAGCUUCCUAUAAAUAUCAAAAAGUGACACUGCAUAAUUAUCGAUGAAUAAAUUUUUACUGUUAUAUAUCACAAAAAUAUUAAGUCUAUAUUCAGUAAGUAGGUUCAACUAAAACUUAAAUCACGUACACAAAUAAGUUUAGAUUUUUACCAUUGUCAUUUUUAAGUAAGUACAAUCUAGGCUAUCGCGAUUCAACUUUUUAUUAGGGGUACUCCACUUACCUCACUCUUUUUUUGUUCUUCUUUAAAACUUAGAUAGGAGUUACUGAUGAUAAUUAGAGUGCUAAUUUUGUCAUUUACGUUAUUUCUUACUCGCAAGGUCUCCAUUUUGGUUGAAUUAAUUACUACAACAUGUAGUGCAAAUCAAAUUUUCAAACUUAAUCUAGCCCAAUAGAAUUAUUUUGCACAAAGCAACAAAUAAAUAAAUAAAUAUGACAUGAUAAAAAGCAAUAUUUACCUAUUGUAGAAGAACUGAACAUUUUGCUCAGGGCUUGAGAAAGCUCUUGGUAGCUCUUGAAAUUCUUUAAAUCCACCUUACGCAGGUAAGGGCACCAUCUACACUGACUUUAACAAAUGCUGCUGCUGCAGAACCAGUCCCAGAUUUCUCAGCUUCUGUGUUGCUAUUUUUCUGUACAGAUAGGAUAUUCUUUCUGAAUGAUCUAACUGGUGGCCAACCAACUACUUGAGUCCUGAGAUUUGGGAAAAAAAAAUUUCAUGAAUUCUGUUCUUCUUAUUAUUGCUAGAAAAAAUAUAUGCAUAUGUUCUAAUUUUUUUUUUAAUCUUAAUUCCAUAUACAAAGUUUUGGCUUGGACAUCUCAUAUGAUUAAAGUAAAAAAAUUUUUCUUUGCUUGACCUCAUGCCAUUAGCAAAAUUACAUUAAAGUGCUCCUUUUUUUUUUUUUUUUGCAUUCAGUAUUCCACUUUGAUACACAAAAAAUCAAUACAAUCCCAUAGAGAAAUUACUUUGUUCAUGGACUCAUGAAACACUUUUGAAUGAUAAACAAAAUUGAUAAUAAUUACAUAAACCUUUUUAAAAGAAGCCAAAUUUUAGAAAAAUCAAACAAAAAUAUGCCCACACACAAAAAUGAAAAUCAAAGAAAAAGAAAAAGAUAGAAGAACAUACUUGGCAGGUGGUUUUGAAGGAUUGCUAGAACUUGAGGCAGCAACGCUUUUCUCUUCUUCAUCAGCCUGAGAAUUCUUUGAUGCUAAGUUGAGCUUCAAAUCAACAGUUUCUGAGAACCCUCUUUUGUUACCAUUGUUUAUAGUACCAUUCUUCAUGGACUCACCAUUUUCAACAUUUCCAUUUCCUCCUCCUGGCAGUCCAAGUCUUAACUCAGUUUCUUCAUAAUUCAACCUAUACUCAUUGCAUUCUCCACCCAUUGUUCUAGACAGGGACGGAGCCAGAAAUUUAUUUUUGAGGGGGCUGAAGUGUAUUAAAAAUUUUUUUUGUGACGAAAUAAAUAUAUUUAAUAAGUAAAAUUUGGAAUCAAUAAUUAUAAAAAUAAUAAAAACAUAUAAUUAUACAUACCCAAAAAUUUGUUAUUGAUUAACACUUGAAAUCAUUUUGAAAAAUAGUUCAGGGGUGCAAAGUACAAUUAAAAUCUCGUCGCGAGACAAUCCAUGCAGUCACCUGCUUAUGUGACUAACUACCUUAAUUCACAAACCAAUCCAGAAAAAUAUAAAGGACCAAAUAAAGGAAAUCAUUUUAGCCAACAAGAAUACUAAAUGCACGUUUUUAUCCGAUUGUCUCGCGAGGAAAGUGCGCUAAAAGUACAAAUAUUACGUGUGGGGAAGAUACUCUAACUCCAGACAAAUUCCCUUUCCUUCUUGACUUCGGAUUCUGUAACGUCGGUUAAAUCCUCACUAUAUAAACAAACAUAAGCAAUAUUUGCAGUAAAACCUGUUUCUUGAAUUUAAUCGUUCCAUCCUCUCUGCAGAUUCCGUUAAUUUGCCCUUUGUUUCUUCCUCAAUUCUUCAGAUAUCAAAACUGCUGCAAUACUCCCCAGGGUUGUACAACUAGCCACGUUCAAGAACCACCGAUUACUGAUCUGACUGAGGAAUCAGCAAUGGAUUUCGACCAUAAUGAGAGACCUAAUUCCACGCUCUACCAGCAAUUAAUGGCUCUGCAACCUCUCUAUCCUACCGCUAGUUUAAGGGAACUGAUUUCUUUUGCAGAUGAUCUCUUUCCUUAUGCUUCGGAGGAUGACUUGAUCAGCUUGGAGGAGGAAGGACUAAUGGGGCAAGACGAUGGUUAUAGUACUGGUAAUCUUAUGAUAAGUAGUGGGUUGCGAGAAGAUAUCAUAAUCCAGCAACUAAAGAUCAGAAGAAGAAGUCGUCGUCAAGAAGAAGUUGCAGAUGAUGAUGAAGGCUUUGAAGAAAUCUGUGUGGUUUGCCAGGGUGAAUACGAAGAUGAGGAGAUGCUGGGAGCACUGGGAUAUUGGACACGAGUUUUCCGGCGGCUUGGGGGGGCUUAAGCCCCCACCAGCCCCCCCUUAAAUCCGUGGCUGGUUCUAGACAUUUUUCCAGAAUUAAUUCCACCUCCAAAACUGCAAUAAAAAAAACCCACAAGAAAUUCUUGAUUUUUUUUAAUUCUUUUUUUUUUUGAUAGAGUUGUCUCUCUACUCUUGAUACUUGUGAGGGGGUACUAUUUUGACUAGUUGAUAAUGCUAUGUUUUCUACUACAAGGGAGAGAAAAUAUUUUGUGAAUGAGAAGAAAGCAACUUAUGCCUGGCAGUUUAUGGUCAUGAAUAUAUUAAAAAAUGAGAAUGAUGAGUGGACGGUGGAGAUCUUACCACGUCGUCGGGGAAAACAUUCGCUGGAUUGAACCCGGCUUGUCGGAAAGUGAUGUAAGGAGUGACGUAAUAAGGGAGGCAUGAUUGAUUUUUAGGCAAUUGGACAGAGCAUUAGGCUUUGUUUGCCUUUAUUUGGUUUGUUAGGCUCCACUGCACUAUUGAACAAUAGUGCAAAGAUAUGACUAAUGAGAAUAAUUUUUGGUUUUUUAUUAAAUUCAUUCUAAAAAAAUGAGGGAAAGAUUUAUAUACUUAUUUUGUUUGGCCCAAAAUUGAAUUGUAAUUUAUGUAAAGAAAAUUAAAUUCGUAUAACUUAGAAUAUUUACAAUGUUUUUUUAUUACAAACAUCGCCAAAUGGCAAAGAUUGAACAUUACUAGGAGAUUAAUCGAAAAACGAACAAACAACCAUUUUAAAAUUGUCUAAUUAAAUCAUGUUUGGAAAAAGCAUAUCAGCAAAGUUAAUUAUAAAACACAAACAAUUGUAUUUUACACAAAUAUCGAAUACAAGGUUAACAUUUUUGCUUUUAAUGAUGCUAUUGGUUCUAUUUUCGUUUAGAAUAUAGAUCCAAUUGUGGUUUAUAAAAUCACAAUCAUAGAUCGCGGAUUCAUACCCACGCAUGACAAAGUAACUAUCUAAAUUAGCGUCAGAGCAAGAAAUUAGUCUAUUUAGGUGCCGAAGUUGUUUACUUUUUACUCUUUUUGUGUCGAAUUAAAUCUUUAUUUGGCAGUUUUUGGUCAAGCCCAUAAUUUUAGGUAUAUGCUUUCAAGAAUUUGUGGUUUCAAUUAAAUGAAAAAAAAACGUUGGAACAAAGACUAUCAUAUGUCAAAAACGAUAGAAUGUCAAAGUUGUUAAAAAAUUACAUCAAAUGUCAAUUGGUAAACUUUUGAUAUGACUGCGAAAGAAGUUAACAAAGGUAUGUAAUAUGACUAUUUCUGCUGCUCAUAAAAUGCUUUGGUAAUGUCAACAAAUAAGCUAAAGUAGUUACUGAUUACGCUUUGCUUUGGAUAACGAUAUAUAUUAUGCAACUAAAGUACGGAAGAACCAUAAAAACUUUUAAGCAAAUUUUAAGUGCAAUAAGAUUAUUUUAAUAUUAAUUUUCUAGCCAAUUAGUCAAAAAGAAAAAUAUAGAACAACUAAAUUAUAUUAAAUUAGCCUAUUAGAAAAACUUUUAAUACAACAAAUGAUUAUUGAGUAACAUAUGAAAUAAUCAAAUAAAUGUGGUCCUAUCAGGUAAAAAGUUCCCAUGUUUUGGUUUUUACCUCUUAUUUUUAGAAGCCUUAUUUCAUCAUAAAGAUCUCACCAUCCUCACUGAAGUUUCUUGUCUACCAUGUUAAUCAGGUGAAGUGACUGUCUAUAUUUAUCAAAUUACUCCCUAUGAGAACUAAUUCUUCUUUAAUACAUCUUGAAUAUAAUGGAAUGCACUUUAAGAUUAUGUAUUAUUAAAAAAAACAAGGAAAAUGUAUCAACAUCUUCAAACAAACCCCAGAAUUUUCUAAAGAAUGGACAAUGUAGUUUGUCUCAGUUAAUUAUACUACAUUUGGGUUAAGACAUGCCAAUGUCCUAUUUCUAAAUAAUUUUUUUUUUAAAAAAAGAACAAUGGGUUUAAUUUUCAUCUUUAAUGCUUUUAUUUGUCUCUAAAGUUAGUUUCACGCCAUAUUUCAAUCAUAUUUCAUAAUUCUAUUCGGAAUGUUAUCAUCAUUUUUCCCUUUAAAGGUAUAGAGCUCCUGAUGAUCUUAUAUUAUCUACAAUCAUCUAAACAUAAAGUUUAGUACUAUAGCUCAAAUUAUCAGGAUUUUUUCAAAAUGAAAAUGCAAAUUAUCUUAUUUGUUUGAAGACAUUAUUUGUCCGCUGUUUGAAUUAAACUGAUGGGACAUGACUGAAUUAUUACUCUUCUUUUUUCCUUAACGUGCAUGUGGUUCUUCUCAUUUGUUUCCCCCUUUUUAUGUUUCGUUUUCUUGUGUUCAUUUUAUUACUAAAAAGGGAACUUGUGAGGAUCAAAUUUUUGCUUCAAUGAGGUGAAUGCAUUUUUUGCCAACUUUUUGCUAAGAAACAUAAUAGAACAUCGCAAUGAAUUAUUACAGUUUAGUCCUUGGAAGUUUUGACACUUUCUCUUAUUUUUUUGGCUCCCACAUAUUUUCUUCUUUUAUUAGUUGUCAUUUGUUGGCCAAUUUGAUAAUUGAUGGACCAGAAAUGUCGUGUGUAUAUCCAAACUGACAGGCUUAUUUUGGCAUUUUAUCUUGUAGAAGAGACUAAGGUCCAAAUUUUAUUUCGAUUAAAAUAAAGCAAAAAAAAAAGUCUAGAGUGGCCUCUAGGCUUCUAAACAUAUUUAAAGAAAGAAAUUUCCGUGCUAUUCAAAAUUAUAAAAUUGGCCAAAGCGAGGGUUCUUCAAAAUUGAAAGGUACGACGACUAAAAUGUAAUUUCCUUUUAUCAUCUUCCUUUGUUAAAGAGAAAAAAAAUUCGUCUGAUUCUUAAAACCUCAACUUUUUGUUACAUUUUCUCCUACUUUGUUAGAUUUUUUUUUUUUCAGUAAUAGCUCUUUUAAUAUGUGGGUAAAAUGAGCUCCAAACUUUCUCCACAAAUUAGAAUCUAUUUUACUUUAGUGCUUCAACUUCAAAUUAAUGAGCAUAAAAUACAAGUCCUUUCAAUUUUUCCGUAAUUCAACUAACUAACAUUAGCAGAGAAUGCAAAUGUUUUCCGGCAAAGAAUUUCAUGUGAUUUCGAAUAAAAUCAAGAAUACAAUAGUUUGAUUUCAAUAUAUAUUUCUUUUGUCAUCCUUUUUUUUUUUGGGAUACACGACUCAUAUACUCAGUCAGAAAAUUACUUCUUGAUGUCUUAUUGUAAUUUGGCUGAAAAUUAUCUCCACUAAAAUAGGGUUCAAACUUCAAUCCAGUUAUUUCUUAACGGAAGAUCAAAUUCGAAUGCAACCUGAAAUCCAUUAUGCCGAGUCUGCCGACCUAACACAUGAAAACACAGAAAGCAAAAGAAUGAAAAGGACCAUACGAGGCUGUACUGUCAAUAUCCCAAACAAGAGGGGUCCUUUCAAACCACCAAGUUCAAACCAACCAAGUCAAAAUCCCCUCGUGUGUAAGGGGCCAGUACAGCUCACACGUUAAGGCCCUUUUUUUUUGUUACUCACUGAUUUUAGCACUAGAUUCGGAGUAUCUACAAUUAUCAGUCACGAAUUUUAGAGUAAAUUAUUAGCAAUAUAGUACAUCAACAACAAAUGUAUACUUAAACAAGAAAUAUAAAGCAAUAACAUAAUUUCAGAGUCAUUGUCCAGAUACACAUGCCAUCGUGUGCAUUAAUUCUUUGAUGUAUAAAUCUAUGCUGUUGGAUUGGGACCUUAUCCACAUAUAGAUAAUAACAGGCAUAAAUGAUUUACCCCAGACAAUCCUAGUUUUUUUUUAUAAUUUUUUUCCCAUUAACUCUUUGAUGUGUAAAUAGAUGCUGUUGGAUAGGACCUUAUCCACGUAUGGAUAACACAUAAAUGAUUUACCAAAAUAAUCCUAGUACUUUUCUUUGAAAUAAAAAUUUUUCUGGUAGAAAGGGGUGGGAUUUAAAAAGUGGAGAAAGGGAAGGGGAUUUAAACUUAGAAAUUCUAAUUCAUAAAAUGUUGACCUUAACUACUGAAUCAGGAUCUCUUCUACAUUGUUUGGGAGGCAAAAGUUAUUUCAAUGAUAUUGGCACAUAAGACAAUUUAGGAAAAAAAUACAAUUUAGCUAUUAUAGCAACUGAGCUAGAAAAUCAUAAUUAAACACAACUAAAGCUAGUUUAUGUAUUAUUAAAGCUUUUUAGCACAGUUUUUGUUGCUUCUUAGUUUAACUUUUAUCAAUAAUUUAGGUUUUUGCUUUUUGUAGUGAAUGGUCAAGAUUGGAUUUUGGAUAGAUUUGGUUCAAAUGGCAUUUUGGCCAUUGUAAUAGUGAUUUAUUUAUUUAUUAAAUGGCUUCUCUUACUCCUCUCCAUUAUUUUUCUAUUUUCUUUGCUUUCCUUCACCAAUGGCAAUUACACAAUGGGAUGUAAUAUCCAUGUUAUAUACUCUAAUAUGUUGACACUAUCCUCAUUAACCUUUGACAAUUAUACCCCCAAUUAAGUUCAAUUCUUGGAAAGGACACAUGUCAAUGCAUCAAAGUGCGUAACAUAAGUGUACAUAUUAGUGUGUAAUAGAAGGCCCAUAACCCUCACUAGAAGGUCCACCUAUCAUCAAUUAGAGCUCAAGGAAGUAUGAUGAUUGGUAGCAUCUAGCAAAUGGUGAAACAAAAAUAAGUGAAAAAGUGCCAACAUCUUAAGAAAAUCUAGACAAAAAAUAUUGAAAAUUUAUGAAGAAUUGAUAAGAAAUUUUUGGAAAAAAUGGAAAGAAAGCACAUCUGCAAACAAUGAAAAUGAUAAGGGAAAAAGGGUGGAGGUUAGUCAAAGUUAUUAUGAGUUAAUACUUACUUUUGGUAAUCUUCAAAUUUAUUAUAAGUAAUAUUGAAUAAGGGCAAUAUGGAAACUUGGAAAAAAAUUAGAAAUUACAAUUGGUUAAUGUCAGCUGGUUUUCCACUAUUUGCACGUUGAAAUGGAUUUUCAAGUAUUGUUGAACAUGGUGAUUGCAACGGAAGAGUGCCUUGGAAGCUAUGGAAGACUAUCUCGCGCAUCAAAACUUUAGCGUUGGGUCGCCAGGUUACCUUUACGCACACCUAUAGAGAAGCAAACGCAGUUGCAGAUGCCUUUGCAAAUCUAGCAAGCUUGACUUAGGUUAAAGUUUUUCUAGCAAAUCCAUGCAUGUUUGUCAAAGUUUUUCUACUUCUCAAUUGCCAAAGCAUAUAAAGGGGUUAGCCCGCCUAGAUAGGAUACAGAUGCCUUAUGUACGCUUGACUUAGGUUUGCGUCGAGGUUAUUAUGUUACUGGCGGAAUGUCAGCAUCAUCCGACGUACGCUGAUGGAAUUUUGAAUAAAAUUUGGAGUGGCGCCCAUCCCAGUAUACAGGGUUAGCCAAAAAAAAAAAAUAGAAAUUAACUCUUGACCCUUCUGCUUAUGCUUCAACUAUGAUAACUGUAGAUGUUGCAAGUGCUCACUUUGGUAAUAGAUUUUAAAUGUUAACUACUUAGGCAAAAAAGGCAAUUCAAAUAUACAUACAUACAUAAUGUAUUUAUGUAUGUAUGUAUGUGAGGCGGUAUAUACUGCAUGCAUACCACGUGGCCACUAAAACUAUAUAAAUUGUACUGAUCUCGAACCCAAACUGUGGGGGUUUGGGUUGUGGGGGGGUAGGAAAAGGUUUUAACUUCCUAAAAAUAAGGGUGAUAUUAGUUGGUUAUUGAUAAUAACUAUAUUUAUCUUAAAAAGAUGGGAAAUCAUCAUCUGAACCAAUGUCUAUCCAACCAAAUUAGAUAGAGGUAAUUUUUAUCGCUUUAUCACAUUAUCUCUUAAUCUCUUUAUCACUCUCUCGCAUGAAAACCUAUAUGUAAAGAUACAUAACACAUAGAGAAGGGAUUCUUUUUCCUUAAGUAAAAACUCACUUGAGUGUUGCAGUGACCUUGGGACUUGACUCUGAGGCUUCUCACAAAUUGGUCUCUUUUUUGUAGGUUUCUUAGAGAGUUCUACCUUCAUGUGACUGAACUCCCUUCUUACUAUCUAGUUCAACUUGAUGGAAGGAAAUACUACUUAGACAAUCAGCACUGUCUAUGGGAAACUCGAUGAAAUAAUUUCCUUAUAACAAAGGCACACUCUAAGAAAACUGCUAGUAAUAUCAAUCAAAGUGACUCGAAGAACCUCAUAAUGACUCUGGACAAACUCUAGGUGACAAUGAUGGUUAGAUUCUAGAAGAAAGAAAGAGCAAAUUCUGAAAUGUGUAUCAGACAAUCUUCCUUUAUUUGAGGAUAUUGUUUGCCAGAUAAAAGAAAAAGGCAAGAUGGAAGAGUGUAAAAUUCAAAAGUUGUGAUAAAGAGGAGAGAAGGGCAAGCUUUGUCCUCUGUUAAUAGCUCAACGAUAAUCAUCCCCCAAAAGUAAACAAGCCCAUUCUCCUUUUAGGGAUCACAUUUCUAUCUCAGAUGCUGAUCAGCACUGUUCUCAUCUCUCUCAUGGCUGAUCAAUAAAAAAUGCCAUAAGCCUAGGGAUCUAGUUCGAGACGAACUUGAUCUGAUCCUAUGACUAACAUAUGAAGAUCUUUACACAGUUUUCUUCUUUGUUAAGGAAAUUGAAAAUAUCCUCUACCAAAAAGAUUGAAAUUUUCAACUUAAGAUAUGUAUAAUGCAUCCAAAGAUCCGAGGAUCAUCAUUCUUGUUUCUUACCCAUAUGCGACAAUAAACUAUUGCAAAUGAGAUUCGUUGCAAAACCUUUCCUAUGUUUUUGAAGGGAAAAACUAGGGUUUGAUUCCAAGGACUCCAAGACUAGUCAGGCCUUUUCCUGAACUAGCUAAUUCAACAAUUCUCUUUUCAAAGUCUACUCAAGAAUGCAACACAUUUAAUGGCAACAAAGUAUAUGAUGAGUCCCUAAGGAAUUAUAUGACUCGUUUUAAUAACAAGAGUCUCCAAGUUGAGAUAAAGAAAGAAGGUGGUGAUGGCAGCAUUUAUAAAUGGCUUAAGAAUUAGUGAGUUAUAUUAUAAACUUGCUAAGAAACACUUAGGACAUUGGAAGAACUACUGAAGAGUUUACGCUACUGCUAAUGCAGAAAAGGCUUCUCAUUUUAAAACGAGAAUCAAAAGUGGCCAUGAGGAUAAGCAAAGAAAGAAUGGAAAUGUUGAUCCUUGAUGAGCAGACUAGGAGGAACGUUUUUGACGGCUUUUCAAGAGGAAGAGUUUCCAAGAAAAGGAUAACACCAAGAUCUUAAACCUUGGUAGUGAUGGAGGCAGAAGGUGUUAGAAGAAGGCCUCCUAAGAUGUCUGAUUUUAGAAAUAAGAGGAUAAAAACCUCUGUUGUGCUUUCCAUAGAGAUAUUGACCAUGAUACUGAGAAGUGCAAGGAUAUAAAAAAGGAAAUAGAGGAGUUGAUUAAGCAAAGAUACUUGGAAUAGUUCAUUCAAAAAACCAAGCCUUCCAAAGAGAAAGAAUGGAUUAUCUUCCGAAAAUUGAGAUAACAGAAGGAAACAAUGAUGAGAUCAACAAAUACACAUGAUAUCGUUCACCAGAUCAUGACUCACAAAACCUGGCUAGAUUCAUCAAUAUAAUACCUACAGGAUCACUAGUGGGGACAAUCAUUCAGCCUGGUAAACAACCGAACUCCACUAGAAGAGGAUAAUUCUACAAACGAUUGAAAGCAAAUCAUAUAAGGUCCUGAGGAUUCUGUUCCAUUGACAUCGAACAAUCAUGAGACAUAUCAUAAUAUAAUCACUAAUAAUUUUAAGGUAAAGAAUGUAUUCAUAAAUCUGGAAGCACAGUGGAUAUGUUAUAUUAUAAAACCUUCAAGGACCUUAAACUUUAAUCCAGUUAGGACACCAUUGGUGGGAUUUGCUAGUCUUUCUAUAAAAUUUGUAGGGAUGAUUACUCUAAUGGUGACUGUGGAAAAGUGCCUAAAUGCUGAACUGCCCUAAUUAAUUUUGUGGUGUUGAAGAACCUUUGUCAUACACAAUUUGCCCGGCCCACUUGUUUUAAUGCUUUAAAACCCUCACCUCAGCUUUGUAUUAGAGCAUGAAAUUUCUCACCCCUAGCGGAUAGCAAAAGCUCAUAGAGAUUUGAGGUGGUUAGCGCAUGUUAUGUAGCCACCCUCAAAGGGAAGGAAAAAUUGGUUGAUCGGAUGACCAGUUUGAAUCCCUUUGUACUCGAGAAAAAGGGAAAAUAGCUCGAAACUGAGGACACCAUAGAAGAAUUCCCAUUAAAAUAGGAAAAGUUGGAUCAGGUGAUUAGAUUAGGUCUUUUCUAUCCCAACACGACAAGAAACAGUUGAAGAAACUGCUGAAGGAAUAUGCUAAAAUAUUCACUUGGACAGUUGAUCACAUGCCAGGAAUACCAAUAAAGCUAGAUGUCCAUAAGCUGAAUAUGGACCUAAGUGCUAAACCAGUAAAGCAGAAGAAGCAAAAUUUUGCCCAAAAGAAAUGAAAUUAUUAAUCAGGAGAUGGAAAAAUUUUUAGAAUCUCAGAUCAUAACUUAGGUAUACUAUUCGAGAUGGUUGCUAAUCUAGUAUUGGUGAAGAAAAAUGAUAAAUCUUGGAGGUUGUAUAUAAACUUCACUGACCUGAAUAAGGCAUCUCCAAAGGAUUGCUACCAUUUCCUCGACUGGACCGGUUAGUAGACUUUACUAUUAGAUAUGAUAUUUUUUAUUUUCUAGAUUCUUUUAAAGGAUAUCACCAGAUGGAGAUGGAGGAAAGCGAUAAAGAGAAGACAUUUUUUAUUAUCGAAUGUAGUAAAUGCUAUUAUAGAACUAUGUUAUUUGGAUUGAAAAUGCUGAAGCUACUAUCAAAAGCUAGUGAACAAAAUUGUGUCACAAGCUAAUCAGUAAGAACAUAAAAGUGUAUGUAGACAACAUAUUGGCAAAGUCAGACUACUUAAUAACUUAUUUCUGACCUAAUGGAGGUUUUUUAGAUUUUACAUAAUAGCAAGAUGCGUCCAAAUCCUAAAAAGUGUACAUUUGGGUGAUGUCUAAAAAUUCCUAGGACAUAUAAUAUCCAAAAUAGAAUACGAGAUAAUGCAGAUAAGUUCAAUAUUAUCAUAAAAAUGGCCUUCCAAAAAAUGUCAAAGAAGUACAAAGGCUCACGGAAAGGAUGACAGUAUUGAAUAAAUCUUUAUCCAGGUCGAUAGCACGAGGACAUCCUUUCUUCAAAUGCUCAAAGGUGGCAUCAACUUUGAAUGGAUGAAGGAGAGCCAGAGGGCCUUUGAAGAGCUAAAAGGUCUCUAGUAGAGCUGCCUACUCUUACCUCACUUGAAUAGGGAGAAACUCUGGCUAUCUACUUGUUUGUGUGCGAAGAAACUAUCAGCGCUAUCUUAAUGCGAGAAAGCCAGUGUAUUCAAAAACCAAUAUACUAUGUCAACAGAGCACUUCAUAGGGUUGAGAUGUUGUAUACACCUACAGAGAAACUUGUCUUAGCUCUUGUUCACGUAAUUAGAAAACUUAGACCUUAUUUUCAAUUCACAGUAUAGUUGUUAGGACAAAUCAACCGCUUAAACACAUACAAACAAGAUUGGAGACGUUGGAAAGGAUGACGAAAUGGGCUGUUGAGCUAGUUGAAUAUGACAUCUCUUACAAGUUAAGAACAGCAAUAAAAGCACCAGCUUUAGCUGAUUUUAUAGCUAAAGAGUAGCCAUGUAUCAAAUAGAAGCAAAUGUAGCCAGAAUAAAACUAGAUCGGCAUGGACUUUAUUUGUGGAUAGGAAUUUCAAUAAGGAAGGAUGUGGAGCAGGAUUAUUGCUGAUGAGCCCAACAAGAGAAAAGCUAACAUAUACUUUAAGGUUUGAUUUUAAAGCAUCCAAUAAUGAAGUGGAGUAUGAGGUGCUAAUAACCGUAAUGAAGUUAGGUUGACAGGUAGGAACGACUUUCUUAAAAUUCAUAAUGAUUCCAAAAUUAGAGUUAAUCAAGUGAAAGGAAACUAUGAGACUAAGGAAGAUUCAAUGAAGUACUUAACGAGAGUUCAAAAAAUGAUGGCAAUAUUUGAGAAGUAAAGGUGAAACAGAUUUCAUGUUUCCAAAAUAAAAGAGCAGAUGCUUUGUCUAAGUUAGUUUCUUCUUCCUCUACACAUCUCAACAAGAAAGUUUUAAUAGAAGUGGUAAAACAGUGUAGUUAUGAGCAGCAAGAAAUUUAAGCAAUCUCUAACUCAAAUUCAUGGUUGUAACUCGUAGUUAAAUAUUUUAGCUCGAGAAUGCUGUAAAAAAAUAAACAGGUAGAAUAAAACUGAAAGCAACCAAGUAUGUCUACACUCAAGAAACUUUUUAUAGGGGUCUUAUUUAUCUCCAUGGUUGAGGUGCAUCACCCCGAAAGAAAAAGACUAUAUGCUCUGGGAGAAUCAUGAAGAGAUAUGUGGAAGUCACAUUAGAUCAAGGAUGUUAGUAAAAAAGUGUAUCUAAUGGGCUAUUACUAGCUCACCAUCUUUAAGGAUGCUUUCGAUCUGGUGCUGAAAUGCGAAGCAUGUCAAGUACAUACACUAAUUCAUCAUUAUCUUACUCAGAAAAUAUUCUCCAUCCAAAGCCCUUGGCCUUUUACUCAAUAGGGGAUAGAUCUACUGGGACCUUUCUCCAAACUCCUAGAGGUUAUAAGUAUUUGGUGAUGGCCAUAGACUAUUUUACUAAGUGGAUAGAGGCCGAAUUCUUGAGUUUAUACUGAGGAGAGCAGUUCAAAAACUUUUCUAGAAGAAUAUUGUGUGUCGGUUUGGAUAUCACACAUGCUAAUCUCAGAUAAUAACAAUAGUUCAUAGAAAACCCUUUAAGGAGUGGUAUGAAGAGCUAAAAUAAAAUACCAUUUCACUUCGAUAGGACAUCAACAAGCUAAUGGAUAGGUGAAAAAUAUAAACAAAAUAAUUUUGUUCGGGUUGAAAACUAGGAUAGGGCAAACAAGGUUGGAUAAUUAGAUAAAUUGCCUAACAUAUUGCAGCCUUACAAAAAACUCCAAGGAUAGCAACCUGUGAAACCUCGUUUGCAUUGAGUUACAAGGCAAAAGCAGUUAUACCAACAGAGAUGGGCCUUCCCUCUCCUAGAGCUCAGAAUUUCAUUUUGAAAGUCAAUAAUGAAGAAAUGAGAUAUAACUUGGAUAUGCUCGACCAAAAUAGAGAUGAAACUAUAAUAAGGAUGGCUAAAUAUAAGAACUAGUAGGUCAGUACUAUAACACUAAAGUUCAAUAAAAGAGCUUCAAAGUAGGAGAUCUUGUUCUAAGGAAGAAUUCAGUUAGCCGUGUAUUUGUAACUAAUAAAUUAGAUCCUAAUUGAGAAGGUCGUACAUGAUUAUAGAGAUAGACAAGCUGAAUAUUAUAAACUAGCUUGGCUCAAUGGGAAAGAAAACCCAUGCACCUGGAUCAAGAUUUUGACUUUCCAUUUGUUUGAAAUAAAGAUAUCUUUUUUAGUCCAAAUUCUUAUUAUAUAUGACCACUUGUAAUUUAAAUUGGAUAAAUUCUUAAUUAUUCAGUAAAGCAAGUGACUCUAUGCUUUUAACUUAGUAUAUUUUGAAAUAUUUUCUACGUAUACUAGGAGGUAAGACAUGUUACAGAGGAAAUAUAAAAUAGGAAGGAGUUCAGUGAAAGAAGUCAAUAAAGAAGAAAUGUACAACAAAAUUUUCAUUGCAGGGUAAAAUAUUUUGUACAACAAAAUAUUAACUAUAAGGGAAGGAAUCCUAGACUAUGAAUUGUUUAUCGUUAGCCUUGCUAGUGACCUUUUCCUCACAGAUAGCGUUGCCCUGUUCAGUCUUCUUCUUCGAGUCCUACUCGAUUUGCUCAACUAACUCAAGCUCAGGGUUGGUUAGAACUUUCUCCAGCUUGUAGCCUAUAGUGUAACCAUCAACCAACCUGUCAAGCUUUUCGUUCGCUUGAAGAUCAUAGUUCAAAUACUUUGACAGGUUGAAACUUGGGAGGUGUAUUGCCUCAACUUCAGCUAGCACCUUGGAGUAGCCAUAUUGAAAGGUUGGUUUGCUGAGAGGGGAGUGAAUAAAUUCUCUGAUGGCCUUCCUCUCUUCCUUUUGGAAGGACUUAACUAACUCGACAUUGUAUUUUCCUUCCAAUUCAGCAUAACUCUUUUGAACUUCUUGUAAGUUGGCUUGAAAUAAAGCAACUAGGGUAUAAGAGAUCGUCAGCUCGUCCUGUGCCUUCUAGAAGAAAGUCGAGCUCCUUCUAUGCAAUGUUGAGCUAUUUCUUGAGGGUCUGAUUCUUCUUGGUCACCUUCUCCAGAUCAGGCAUUUGCUUUUCAAAGCAGCGAGCCACCUCCAUACCUAAUGUAUUUUCCUUAGAGAAACAUGGUAAUCAAAUUAGUAAAGAAAAGUGAAAAACUCUUUCUUAAAGGGAAACUUUCUUAAGAAAAAAAAAAAAAAGAGGACCAAAGGCUGUGGCUUCUUACUUGAGCUCAAGCAGAAUAAAAAAGUUCAACAACUCAGAGUUAGAAGCCAACUCCAUGAAUCUCUUGUCUUUAGACAACACUAAACUAUGAGUGAACUCACAAGUACCAUACGGAUAUUUGGUCUAGCUGUUGAUAAAAAAACCCCCAUUGAGACAAAAGUGGUGGGAAUCAUGGACAGUGGGAUGUUGGCUAGACUUCAAUGGUGCCGCAUACCUAAAGUGCCAUGUUGAUUGGGCAGCAUAUGGUUUGCCUGUUGCUCAGCCAAGCUAAGCCCAUAAUGGACUGUCACCCCUACAUCAGAACUUUUCUGGCAACCUACUGAGUUGCAAUUUAGGUAACUUCUUAGGGGGAGGAAGUGGUUGGUUAUCCUCUAGGCGACCCCUCUUGAGAGCAAUAUUUCACCCUUAUUUUGCCCCUUACCCUAAUCAGCAUCUAUAAGGGGCUGAUAGGAGGAAAGCUGACCUACUGGGUAGGAGAGCCAUCUUGCUACUGGUUGGCAGAGGGUUGGGUAGGAGUUCUAAAGGACAGGAGUUGAGAGAAUCAUUUCACUGUAAAAAGAAAAAAAUAGGGGGUCAAAACUCUAAAAAAGAGAGAGAAGAAAAAAGAAAGGAAGAGAAAGAAAAAUUUACAAUUCUAGUAUUUCUUUUGGGGUAAAUCCCUAUCCUGGUCAUUGGACAGAGGACUGACUAAUCCAGCCAUUGCAAUUUGUUUAGUAUAGAACUCCUUAACAUACAAUUUGACUUUGGAAUUUAGGAGCAAAUCAAAGGCAUCCAUGUCUAGGUCAGCAAGAUAGGGAUAGGUUUUGAGUUCUACUACCUUCAAAAAAUUAGGAGGAAAGAAGUCGAUUUUUACAAAGAAGAAUUCAUUCUUUCACCUUUUAAUGGAUGAAAGAACUCCAUAGAAAAUAUCUCGAGUGCAUUUGUUAUCUUUGCUAUAGAAAUGCCUAGCAAAGUAGAACCACCCAGAUGGAGAUGUUUUGAGCAUAUAGUAUACUCAAAAUAGGGAAAGGGAAUAAGAAAUUAUACAAAGGUAACAGUAAAUGGGGAAGUUUAUAAUGGUUCUAAUGGAGUUGAGGUGAAACUAGGUGAUUCAAAUCUCUUAGUAAGCUAGGGUGUCAAAAAAAGUAAGAGGAAUGGAAGCCUAAGCCUUGAGACAAGUUGCUCCCUAUAAAUGGCGACAUAGCUGGGAAGAGGUAGGUUGAAUCUUUAAUCAAGGCUAGCUACCUGAACUCUAAAGGAUUCUAUGAUGGAGUAGGUGGCAACUUGUUUGUCCAUGUCCCCUUGAAAAAGAGUAGAGGAUAAAUUGGAAGCAUGACAAAAUCAGUGGAGUCGGGGUCAGGUUGGUCUGCUUCGAUCUCUAGGUGGUAACUUUGGUUACUAACACUUGAAAUGCAUAAUAGGCAUGGGCAUAUAUAUAUAGGCAUGGGUAUUAUACAUAAUAUGCACGAGUAUUUCAAAAUGGCUCCGUUUUCAAAAUUGCUAACACUUGAAGUGCAUAAUAGACAUGAGCAUAUAUAUAUAGGCACGGGUAUUAUACAUAAUAUGCAUGAGUAUUAUGUGUGUAUAUGUGUGUGUAUAUAUAUAUAUAAACACACACAUACUAAUAAUUAUUACCAUUUCUUGUAUUUAUAUACUUUAUCUAUAAUCUUAUAUUUCAAAAAAUCUAACACUUGAAAUGCAUAAUAGGCACAGGCAAAGAUACUAAUAGAGCAAUAAUUAGUUGCCUGAGCAAUUUUCUGAUUGAAGGAUAGUUUUGCCCAUUGUUAAAGUUUUAACUCAAUUGCAAGCUUUUGGGACAUAUUCGGCUAACCCUCAAAAUCUCUCCGUCCGAUUAUCUGCCAAGAUUUGAAGCUCCAAAACCAGCCAUGGUGCUUUGUUAGAUCAAUGAUCCUUCAUUAUCUUUGUUAAAUGUAAAUAUAGUUACUGACUAAUUCAUAUUUCUAGAGUUUUCUAUCUUGUAUCUAGUGUGUUCUACCAUCCACUAACCACAUGUAUUUACAACAUCUACUAGAUAUGACAACCACUUCAUUAUCAUAUCUUACCAUACCUAUAUUAGGCACCUCAUGUACUUGUAAACACACAAUUUUAUCUAAUACAACAUUCUCUUCAUUUUCUCUUCUCUCUAUUCUAUCACUCUCUACUCUCCACUUUGUUAUGGUAUUAGAGCUCCAACUUGGAGCCUGAUCUAUAACUUUUCUUUGGUUUUCUUUUCAUUAUAAAUUUUGAUCUAAUACAACAAUCAUCUUGAAACCUCUUACACCCAGUUAGCGUCAAGACAUUAUUCAAUUAGGCGGUACAUCAUUACUGAGUCAGCACUUAUCCGAAUGGCAUCUAAUCCCGAUUUCGACAUCUCUCAUCCUACCACCAUUGUUUUCAAUAGUGCUAAUUAUGGAUUAUGGAUGUCCACAAUGAGCAGCUUUCUUAAAGGUUACAAACGGUGGCGAGUCAUCACAGGAGAGUGCGUCAAACCCACCUGAGAAAAGGAAGAAUCUUCUGAUAAAUAUGCUGAUAGAUUGGAAGAAUAGGAUAGUAUCAAUUACAAAAUCAUCUCUUAGCUAAUCAAUACUUCAACUCCCUCCAUUGGUGCCCAUUCACAUAGUUUUGAUAUUGCAAAAGAAGCUUGGAAUUUUUUGGUAAAAAGGUAUACCACAGCUGAUUUGGCUUAUCAAUAUCAACUUGCCACUAAAAUACAACAGUUUCGUCAAGAGCCAAGUCAGUCCAUUGAUUCUUUUCGCUCUCAAAUGAAUAAUCUUUGGGAUCAGUUGGCUAUCUCUGAACCUGAAUGGCGAUGUCUUGAAGAUGCUGAACUUUUUAUCAAAUAUAAAGACAACAUGAGAUUAGUUCAAUUUUUAAUGGCUUUACGUGAUGACUAUGAGCCUAUGCGGGCAAAUCUUUUACACUGUCAUCCUUUGCCUACAUUUCGAUCAACUUUAGCUAAAUUGAUCUCAGAAGAAACUCAUCUUCAUAGCAUGAAUUCUAAAAUUACUAAAAUUUUUAUGGCAUCCGCUUCAAAAUCACACGCCUAACAAUUUUAAGGGGAAAAAUCUUACAAAUCUAAGAAACAAUGUAACUACUGCAAAUAAUGGGGACCACAAAAAAUGAGUGUUGUAAAUGCUAAGCAAUUUUACGUCAAGAUGGGUAGAAACUUAUGGCAGCUGUCCAAUCAAGUGGAACUUCUAAUCGAAGUACCAUCACACCCUAUGCACCAUUGACUGCUGUAGAUUUAGAGGCUGUAGACACCAAAUUUUUAAAUAAUUUGUAUGUUGCAUCUAAUUCAUGAUUUUGUUUUAGAUUGUCUGCAUUUUAGUUGUUACCUUUUUAUUUGUCUUUUAUUUGCUAAUUAUUUGUCAUAUUAAUUUUGUUCACGUUUUAGUUUUAGUUUUAGUUUUAAGUUUUAACGUAAAAUUUGUGAAAAAAGAAAAGAAAAGAAAAGAGGAAAUUGAUGAAAAAUGGAAAAUUGUGCUUUGUGGAUUCUAGUUUAUUUAGAUUUAGUUUCUAUUCAAUAAAUCAAAAAAAAAUCAAAAAAAAAAAAAUCAAAAAAUCACAAUUCUAUUUCUGCCGGUUCCAUUUUCCACUUCUCAACCUAGCACCUUCCAUUGUUAUUGCCGACUCCACUCCACUCCACUCCACUCCCAAUACCUCAAUAUAUACAUCCCACUACGCUAUAUCAUUGCCAGUUCACUACAAUCAUUAUCACUCACCAUAACAUUUUAUUUUCAAUUGUUCCUAUGCCGGGAGCUGUGAAGUGAUCAGCUUCUUUGGAAAUAACGACGAGAGAGAGAGAGGUGAGGACUUAGCUUAUCUUCCAGCCUCACUUCAAGACCAACCGAGAGAGGGAGAGAGAGAACCGAGAGUCAAACUUCCUCCAAUCCAGCCGCAAGUUUGAGCCAGGGAGAGGGAGAGUUGCGGACUGCAAUUCUGGACAGCCGAGAGUGGAGGAUUUGCAGCUGCUAGUCGUGUGUUUUAGGCUUCAAGCUAAGGUAAUUUCUGAACUUAGAUGAGUUGUUUAUGGGUUGAUGAAGCUGACUAUAAGCAUGCAUGUGGGAUUGUGUGGUUAGAUGAUAGGUUAAAUCAUAGAAAAAUCUGUUUGAGAAGGAAGUGAAGCUGCCGAGAGCUUGAGCUGGAAGUUUCGGUUUUUAAUUUGCUAGCUGUGAUGAUCUGAGCUUAAUUUUGGACUCAACCUGAUAGAUAGUUUCUUAUUUGAUGUUGCAUGUGAACUACGUGGCCUGAAUUUCGGUUGCAUGGCUGGAAAUUUUAAUGGAAGUUGAUGGAUUGCUGAAACAAUUUUUCCAGUUUAGCCGUUGAAGUUGUUUUGGAAAUUGCAUGGGUAUUUUAGCAUGAAAUUUGCUGGAAAGUGGUUGAUUUUCACUUGGUUAGGUGUUUGACUAAUUAAAAUUAGAUGAUUAAGCUUUGCAGGAAGUUUAUUGGUCCGGCUAAGCAAAAAAAAAAAAAAAAUGAAAUAGUGAACGGCUACAUGCAAGUUCAUCCAAGGAUGGCGAACAGAAUUUCUGGAUUUGUGGAUGUUUAUAGUUGCUGUCCGAACUUGAUCUGAACUAGAAAUGAUAGUAAUUUCAUUAAGUAGCCUUGCAUGUUAGUUUUGGGUACUUAACACAAUGAUUUAACCGAGGUAAAUUCGGAUUCAUGCCCAAGUACUUGCUGGAAAAUGCAUUUCAACUUGCCAAAUCAGUUUUAUAUGUUCCAGAUUUUUCAACUUGCUGAACGUAUUUUAUUUGUAUUUGCACUGGAUUUUGCUCAGUUUUUUUUUUCUAUUUGUUUGGAUGAUGGUUUGCUGCCUAGUUUAAAGCCUUGUGUUUGGAUUUGAUUGUGUUUGAAAGCUGGAUUUUGUAAAGUGCCGAAUUGCAGAAAGCUUGCUGCGUUUUUUUUCUGUUUCAUUCUUGUGCUGUUUAGUUUUCUUUCUACCUUUGAUGAUUAGCUCCAUUUUCUUGUUUCAAUGCUACAAUGAAGUUACAAGUUUAGUUGGUGAUUGGUAGUUAAAACUCUGAUAUAUGGUGAACACAUUUGUAUGUUGAAAUGCAAGAAAAGCUGCGGCUGAAGGUGCACAAAGCCAGAUUUGCUUCUUUUAUUAUUGAUGGAUAAUGAAUUUCCUUCCUUUGUUGAUGAUCAAAACCAGAUUUGCCAUCUUAAUCUUGCACCCAAAAUUUCAUGUUUUAAAUUGGGUCAAUAAUUUCUGGGUUGAUGAAUUUGUUUGCAUGAUAAAAAUGCGAAAGAUUGCGGCUGGAAAUUGCUGCUGCACUUUUUGUUUUUUUUAGCAGUCACCGAACUAUAUUUUGCUUGUUUGAGCAUGUUAAAUGGUUUAUGUCUUGGGGUAUACUAGUGGGUAACAUGCGAUAUUUGCCUCAUUAUGUUUUGAUUUGAGCUCAUGGAUGGUCUGUACAAAGAGUAAGCCACAAAUUUGCAGCAGAUUAUAAGAAAGUUUUUUUUUUUCAUUUUUCUUCGCAUGAGAGGCUGCCAGAAUUUGUAUUUGGAGUUGUUGGCCUGUUGAGUUACGCUUGUCUUUGAUUUAAUGUUGAAGCUUGGAUCGAUUGGCUGAAUUUUUAAUUGUGCUAGGAGUGCAUUUGAGCAACUCGGUAAUGCAGCAAUUCACCAAAACUGGUUUAGUUGUCUACCUUGCUAGUUUUCAGUUUUUGCCGCAUGAAAUAGGAAGAACAAGUCAAAGUUGCUGGAUUUUGUUUUAGCAUUUGAAUAUUCUUGUUUUCUGGAUUUUUGCGUUCCGAAGAGGGGGAAGAAUGUUUGAUCUCCUUACAAGUUUUUUUGUUUGUUGGAUUGUGUUUGCAUGGUAGAAUGGAAAGAAGCCACGGCUGGAAAUGAAAUUUGUUGCAGAGAAAGUUUCUUCUACGUGAUUGCAUGGCUUUUGCAUGAAAAUGACUUUCAAAAAUCGCACUCCAACCCCUUGGCUUCCAUCUAAUGCUUCCAUGGCCCAAUUAAUUGGAGCAAGGAAGAAAGAAAAACUCUUCAAAGUUUGGCAUCCAUCUAGUGCAAAUCAUCCAAAGCAAUCACUUAGACUUGUUUCUACUCCAUAAAAUCUCUUCUUUAGGUGUUAGUAAGUGGUUUGGUGAAGUGUUUUCGGAAGCUAAGGUGAAAAACAACUCUUCCUCUCUUGUUUACUAGGUGAGUGGUGAUUGAACUUUCUCCUUCACUUAAUGAAGCUUAAUUAGUGCCUAGUGGUAGUUAAAGUGAUGAAUUUUGUGGUUUAGUUCUUGGUUUUGGAUGAAUUGAUGAAGUUUUCAAUUUAUUGAUGAAUUUUCUGGUUUAAUAUGAAUGUGAUGUUGUGGCUAUCCUUGAUGAUGGGAACUGAUGUUUAAUGACUCUAGGAGGUGGAAAAAGUGGAAGAUUGCAAUUAAUUUCUAUUUUGGAAGAAAUCUGGAAAAUUAGGGUUCUUGGUUCUUCAUUCUGUCCGAAAUUUUUGGUCCUAGAUAGAGGCCGAAUUGGCCUUACCUCAAAACAUGAAAGUUGUAGGGAAUGACAUUUUAGAGGUUCCUACAAAAUUUCAGGUCAAUCGGAGUAGUGUAGUGUGGGAAAAGUCGAAAUUACUAUUGCUGUUCUGGUUUACCCGAAAUUGGGAUUUGCGACUGUAAUUGGUUGUUUUGGCUGGAAUUGCUUCCGAAUUGGUUGUUGAGGCCUUCUGAUGAAAUUUGGCCCUGUUUCUUAGAUUUCAACUGGUUUUGGAAUUUCUGGAUUUGGACUUGUAGAGCCUGAAUUAUGCUGUUUCCGCUAGAAUGCAUUUUGGUGAAUCUGUUUUACGUUGUUGAUGAAGUAUCUUGCAUUUUUGACCUGUUUGCACUCAAAACAAGGUUGAGUGACCUUCUGUGAUGUUGUAGCCCUGUCUUUUAGCUUCGAAAUGGUGGGUCUUUCACCCUCAUCCGAUAAUCGUGGUGCAUUUGGUGCUAUUACCGCAAAGUAAAGUCAAAACCUAUUUUUUUCAGGGCCAAAGUUAAUUGCAUGUCCGAAAUUUCUGGUUUUCUUUAAUGUUUGUAUAUGUUUAUGGAACCCUAUUGGGGUCAUACUUGGCAUUGGUUUAUGACUCGUUAUCGAGUCUCCUUGUACUUGUUUGCAUGUUUUAGGGCUUGCUUUCAUUCCGGUCAUUUCCUAGCUAACUUUUGUACUUGUACUACUUUGAGCCUCGUGAACGGCUUUUGGGAAAUGAGAUGACUUUUGUGUGAGAUGUUGGGACUGAUUUGAGGAAAUAAUGAAGCCUUAAUGGCUGGAAAAGUAAGAAAUUUAGGGGAAGUGCUGCCCGAUUUUCUAGGCCGUUUGGUUCUUUUAAGUUGGAUUUGCCUUUUGGUAGAAAUGAAAGGGCUUUUGGGUUGUUGAACCUAGGUCUUCAUGUUAUCUUUUUAUUCCCAAAAAUCAUGUUUUGUACCCUUGCAUUUGUAAUUAUUUGGCGAGGCAUACGACUAGUAGUCGAGCCUCAUGUGCAUUUUGUUUACUCGAUUAUGGAUGUGAAACCUUCAGUUGGUUUAUUUUGAUUAUUUUAGGGUUUCUUGGCGAUUAAGGCCAAUCUGAAGUAAAAACUUUUGAAGUUGAAUCGGUGAGUGUAUCACUCCCCUCCAUUGCUGUUUAACUUGAUUUCUGCUCUGCAAUCUGUUAUUUGUUCGAGACGAGGGUGUACUUUAUCACACUCGUUCUCUUGUCUGUUCAUAUGCCAAUUUACUAUGCAAAAUUUGAAUCUGUUAUCUGUGUCUGCAUCUGUUCGGAUUUCUAUGACCUAUGAGCUCAAUCCUGUGACUAAGUUAUUCGAGUCGGGCCGGCAAGGGUCUGGACGAUUAGAUAACGAACCACGGUAGUCUGUUCGGGGAUUUUGGGUAUUGAGACCCUUGAUUCCGGGUAUACUCGAGUAUUACCAUUUAUGUUCGAAUACGGUGAGCGGGCCCGGUAAAGGGGUGUUUGGUGGACGGAAUUCGGUGCGAAUUGAGGUCUACGGACGCGUUGGUUCUAUAUACGUUGACGGUGAGUCAACCGGUUUGGAUCAAGUAUUGCGCUGGAAAUUUGGCUCCUGAGAGCCACCUGUAUCCUUCUGAUUUGAAUCAUUAGUUACUUUACUUUACAUCUGGCAUGUGUAUCUUAUUUGUUAAAUGUGAAAUGCCAUGAUUUUCUGCUAUAUGUUUGGUACCUCAUUGAGCGCAAGCUCACCCCUUUCUGUUCCUUUUUGUUUUCCUUACAGGAAAAUAAAUACUUUUGGACUGGAUUUGACAAAUGGUUGCCGAAUUGAGCUAGUUAGACAUAUCUUUUGUAUAGCUCAUUGAUUUAAACCCUAAAAAUACUUUUGGGUCCGUUUCUCUUUUGGAUUUGGCAAACCGUACAUGUAUCCACUUUUGAAUCACUUUGGUAUGCCCUUUGGGUUGUAUAUGCUAACUUUUGAGAUGUAAAUAUUUGCUUGACGUUUGGUUGGGUUUUGCCAUGUCGGUUCUUAUUCAUGGCCGACUCCGAUUUCGUUUUGUUUUAUUCUGGGAUUUUGACUUGUCUAUGCGCGUUGUACGGUCCGGAACGUUUUCGAUCGCUCUAAUCUGAACCGUUAGUCCUGGCGAGAGCUGGGCAGGCGGUCCACCGAACCCUUUGGUUCGCCUUAGGGUGAGGUGGGGCUGUCGCAUCUCGCUUCACAUAAGUUGAACAUUCCGAAAUUUUUAUAUGUGAAAGAUUUGAUUUUCUACCUUUCCACAUCUCAAAUGGCACAGAAGAAAUAGUUUUGUUGCAACUUAGUUUAAAGUGUAAGAGGCAGUUUGUAGGGUAUAUCCCCAAAACGUUUUUGGUAAACCUGCAUGAUUUAUCAUGGAUCAUACCAUAUCUAAUAAGAUGCAAUUUCUCCUCUCAGACACUCCAUUCAUGUGUGUUUUAAAUGAGAAUUUUAUGUUCUUUUAGAUAAUGCUCAAAACUUUGGUCUAAGUAUUCUCCACCUUUAUUGGACCUAAAGGUUUUGAUACUUUUACCAAAUUCUUUUUCUAUGUCAUUCUUAAACUCCUUAAACUUCUCAAAUGAUUUGAAUUUGUGCUUCAUUAAGAAUACAAAUCCAAACUUUGAGUAGUCAUCAGUAAAAGUAAUAGAGUAUGAAAAACCUCCUCUGGCAUGAUCCAUCAUAGGACCACAUACAUCAAUAUGUAUUAGUCUUAACAAUUCAUUGCCCUUUCAUCCUUACCCAUGAAGAAAAGAUUUGAUCAUUUUUUCUUGUAAACAAAAUCCACAAGUUUCAAAUGAUUCAUAAUCAAAUGUGUCCAAAUAGCCACCUUGGUGUUAUUUGAAUAUGUGUUUCUCAUUUACAUGACCUAAUUUAUAAUACCAAAGGAAUGAUUGCUUGGCAUCAUCUAAUUUUGCCUUUUAGAGUUAACAUUGAGGAUUGGACUUGUCAUGUUUAGAACAUAUCAGCCGUUUUUCAUAGGAGCAAUCCCAUAGAAAAUUUCAUUACAUGAAAAAGAACAAUAUUUAUUCUUAAUACUAACAGAAAAAUCUUCCAUGUCCAAACAUGAACUUGAAAUAAUGCUUGCAGCCAAAACUGGAGCAUGAUAACAAUUAUUUAAUUUUAGAACAAAUCCACUAGGUAAAGACAAAUGAUAUGUUCCUACAGUUAAGACCACAAAUCUUGCUCCAUUGCCAACACGUAUGAUCACUUCAUUCUUCCUUGGCAUCCUACGUCCCUUUAGUUCCUACAUAUUUAAACAAAUAUGAGAAUCAUUUUCGAUAUCUAAUACUCAGGAAGUAAUAGAAAGAGAUAAAUUAAUCUCAAUCACAUACACAUUUUGAGUAGAAGAUUAACCAAGCUGCUUCUCCUUAAUGCUAUUGAAGAAGUCGUCGCAGUUACGCUUCCAAUGUCCCUAUUUGUUACAAUGGAGGUAUUUGGCCUUUGCCUUGUCCUUUUUCUUGCCCACACCCCCAAAAGGUUUGGUUACUUGUUUGUUUUUUUUGGAUUUAGACUUGGACCUUCUAGUCUUAACCCUAGAGAAACUCGAAGAAACCAUUAAUUUUUGGCUCUUAUCUUUCUUAAAGUUGGUGUCAUCAUCCUUGAGCAUAUUCAACAGCUCGGGUAAUGUGCUUUUCAAUUUUUUCAUGUGAUAAUUUAACAUGACAUAUAAAUAUGCAUCAGAUAGCGACUACAAAAUAAGGUCAACAUUUAAUCAAUGAUCCAUAACACAGUUUAAUUGGUUUAAUUUUUCAAUAUAGCCAAUCAUUUUUAACACAAGUGCAAUCACUAACGUGCCUUUAGCCAUCCUACACGUGAAUAGUUCUUUAGAGAUUUCAUAUUUCUUGGACCGAGAACGUGCACCAAACAAAUCUUGUAGGUGCACCAUUAUGUCAUAAGCAUUCAUGUAUUCAUGUUGCUUUUGCAACUCAGAAGACAUAGAUGUUAAUAUGAUACAAACAACUGUAUCAUUGUCCGUAUGAUGUUUGUUGAACAGUUCAACUUCAUCAGUUGUGGCAUCAAGUGGUAGCGGAUUCAAAGGGGGAAGUGACAUAUCAAGAACAUAGGCAAUUCACUCAUGCUUGAGAACAAUUCUCAAGUUGCAUUGCCAAUCCAAAAUUAUGAUUAGUUAAUUUGCAAUUAUCAAGGAUAACGCGUAAAUUCAAAGUAGUAGUCAUUCUACAACAAAAUAAAGAUAAAAUAAGAAUUGCUAUUUAUGCAAAAUAAAAUCAAAGAAAAAUGACAUAAAAAUAAUAUUUGAUUUUGCUCCCACUAUUUUUAAUACAAUUCCAUAGCCCUCAAAUAUGGAAUUAGGAAUUCAAAAUUUCUAGUGGACUAGAAUCCUAUUUUGUUAUUUUAACCUUCACUAAGGCGAACAAGUCAAAAUAAUUAAAACAAGUAGGUACUUAUUACCAAUUAAAACAAUUGUAACUUCUAGAUAGUUGAGUUAUCAACUCUUGAUAAGGCACAUCUUAUGUGGUUUCCAACCUUUGCCUCUACAACAUACAACCUUCACUGAAACGAACAAGUUAUAUGUUGUAGUUAAGUCUAACUCAUUAUUUUGAAAUCUCAUCUCAUAAUAAAACAUGUCUUUGGUAGAGUACCCUUCACUGAGGUGAAUAAGGUAAUAUUGAACAAGUACUCGCAUUUUACUUGUGAGGACCCGAAAUUUAUUUUAUAUUUUACUUUAUUUCUCUGAAUACAUUUUCUUUACUUAAUUUUAUUGCCUUAAUUUCCUAGAUAUUUUUAUAAGGGAGUCAAGAUUUUUAAUUAUUUUUCUUCCAUAAGUUAGUGCAUGUUAAGUUUGUAGUGCAUUAUGGAAGUAGGACCCACUAGUGAGAUGUGUGCAAUAAAUUUUGAAGAUUAGAAGGAGUUUUGUGCAAAGAGAUAUUAUUUUAUAAGGUAAGGGAUAAUUAAAGGUUUGCUAGAUAUUUUAAUAUUUAGGAGACCAUUAGAUAAGGAUUAACCCUUGGAAGCCAUUUGUCAACAAAGCCAUGGAGCUUUGACUUGGACCAAGACCAUUCUUAGCCUUUAAAAAAAAAAUUGACCAAAAACCUCUCAUCUUUCCUUCUCCUUGGCCGACUUUCUUGAGAGGAAAAAAAGAGAAAGAAACUCCAUCUUUAACCUUGAAUGUUGCUUGAAUCCUUGAGUUUUCUUCACAAGCUUGCAAUCCAAACCAUAAAAAGUGACAUUUAGGGACGAAAAAGGACUUUGGUGGAAAGAUUUGGGAGAAAGAAGCUAUUGGAUUGCAUUUCUUCAUAGGGUUUCAAGGUAACCAUGUGUAGAAACCAUCUCUUCUCUUUUAACUUGCAUUUGAUUAGAUUUAAGACUUGAUUUUGGUAGAUUUCAUGGAAAAUUUCAUAGUUUGUGCGGUGGCUAGAAAAUUCCAGCUUUGGUUGAGAAAUUUCAGCUUUGAUAUGUUACUUUGAGUUUGGCUAUGAUCUAUUAGCUUUUCCAUAUGAGUUUUCUAGCUUUUAUAUGUUAUUUUAGCUUCAUUAUAGAAAUUUUCAACUUGUAGUGGUGAAUUUCAGCUUAGACUUAACAUAUUCCAGCUUUGAUAUGAUUGCUUUUGAGUUAGAUAAUUGUCAAUUUUGGGUAGCUUUAUGGCCUUAAACAAGUGUCCCUUAUAGCCUAUGACUUGUAGUCUUGAUUGAGGAUGGUUUGCCAUGAAAUAAGUGUUGAAUUUGGAAGGGAAAGUUAAGGAAAUAAGGGGAAGUGCUGCUGAAAUUUUGUUUCUCUCUUUCUUGUGAUAUGAAUGAGUAAGAGUAAUGAUAGAGGUGUGACUUUUGGACGGUUUGAACUUGGGUUGCUUAUGAUUGCUUGAAUCCACCUUGGUAAUGAUGCAUAAGCUGAAAUUUUGUCAAAAACCACAUGUAAAACGAGAGGAAGUAAUGGUUUCUUCUAGCAUGCUUUCUAGUUUCAUUUGCCCAACUUUUAACUCGAGGUUGGUUGCUUUUCUUCUAAAAGUUAUGCGUGUAUCUUACGUAUAUUUUACUACACUUCAUGAGUUGUACAUACCUAAUUAAUCUCUUUUGGUCUCUCACAUCUUUUGGGUCUAAAUGUUUUCUUUCACACUAAUAUCUUACUUGAAUCAUAGUCCUAGAAUGAACUUGGAUAUUCCUUGAUUGGCAUUUUCAAAAUUGUCUUUAAAUUUUGUGUUUUAAGAGGCCAAACUUGGAUAGGCAUAUGGCUCAUAAUUGAGUCUAAAAUGCGUACUUCAUUAACCUAAGUUUUAAAUGGUCAGACCAUGACAUUUUGUCUUGGUUAUUUUAGGGUUUGACGGUGAAAACAAGCACAACCCGGGGACGAACAUUUAACGUUAUUCUACUUGGAAACGGUGAGUGUACCACUUGCAUGACUUGUUGUUUAAAGUGAACUACUUGUAAUUGAAAUUUAUGAUUUGUAUGACUGUGACUUUGGUUUAAUUUGGACUGGACGGGUGUAUACUUUAUCACACUCGAUUUCACUUGAUUGUUUGACUGGUCUAUUACUCAUUUGAAAUUUGCUACUUGUGCAUGAAUUUGAUGUCGUUUGGAGCCCAAUAUCUGACGACCUUACUGUGAAUUUAAGCUCAAACUUCAUUGGUAGUUAAUCAAAUCGAGCCAGCAAGAGUUUGGUCGAGGUAGAUUGACGGGCCAUGAGAAAAACUGUCACUGAUUGACUAAGUACUGGAUUUUUCUGAUAUUUGAUAUACUCGAGUAUUACCACUACUGUUUCGAUUUGGUGUUCGGGCCCAAUAAGGGGUAUGAUUGGUGGGCGGAAAUUGGUGUAAAGCGGGGAUCUACGGUCAAUGUUUUUGCUUCUCUAAACGUUGACGGAAUGUCAACGGGUUUGGAUCAAACUAAUACGACUGGAAAUUUGGCUCUUGAGAGCCAUCUGUAUCCUUUUACUUCAAGCACUUUGUGUUAGUUGUGGUGUUUACUUUUCUCUCUAAUUGAUGCUUAUAUGUGAUAGAUUAAAGUUCGAAUUAUGUGAUUUUCGACUGUGUGACCCUACGUUACCUCAUUGGGCGAAAACUCACUCUGUCACCUUUGUUUCCUUACAAGGGGCAAAGUCUUGGCGAUGUGAUUUUGGGGAAGAGUUGAGCUAGUUAUAGCUUUUAGGCAUUUUGUUUAAACUCCUUUGUAUUAGUAAACCUUACAUGUAUUUGUAUAAGAUUGAAUACUUUGGUUUGUAUUUUAAGUUUGCAUCGUUAGUGACUCUAUUGUAUAUAGUUAUGGGUUGAUGAUUUCAAGUUAAUUGUGUAUUUUAGCAUCUUCUAUGAAUUGUUGGAUUAGUUAGUUCUGGCAAGAGUUUGACAGGUAGUCCACUAACCUUUGGGGUACGCCCUAAGGAAAGGUGAGGCUGUUACAUUACUACAAUAAUGAAAGGUAACUUGUGUCUUGACUUAAUAUUUGAUUUAAGGGAUUUUAGAUUCAUUUUAGUUUGUUUGCAUAAGCUCUUAUCAUAUCAAGCAUAGCAUGCAUAUUCAUUCAUCAAUUUAAAUAAAUAAACAUAUUAUAAAACAUGAAUGAUUAGGGACUUUUCCUAAACUAGUUUCCUUGAACCAAAGAAAACUAGAUGGUUAAACUAAGGAACAAAAUAUUUCCAUAUCCUGUAUGUCUUUGUAUGUCCACCAUGAUGAUUUAGUGCCAUAUUCAUCGCUAUUGUACAUUAUAAUUAUAAAUUCUGAUCUAUACAUUCAAGAGAAAGGCAAGACAUACUGGCCCUAUUUCAAAAAUACCGAUAAUCCAAAUCAUCCAUACAUUCAACCAUAUACAAUCACAUUGGUCUUAACAUAUAGUUAUCCAUCAUGCAUUCAUGUAACACUUUAUUAAAUGAAAAUAUAAAAUUUAUUUAGUUCUAAUCAUAUAUUGUGAGAACCCGUGGAUUUUCUUAUUUUCUAGACUUUAUUUUAUUUAAUUGCACGUUUUUCUGCAUUUUCUUUAUUAGAAAACUUUUCUAGAUAAUUUUUAUGAGUAAAUAUAGUUUUUAGAUGAUUUUUCUAGUAUCGGUUAGUUUUUGAGAAAUUAAGAGCGUAUACCGGACGUGGGACCCGCUAGUGCGGUAAGUUUGAUAAAAUUCGGCCAAUUAGGUUAAGUUGUGUAUACCGAGUUUAAUUUAUCAGAUGUUAAGAGAUAAUUAGAAGUUACCUAGAUGGAUUAUUAUUGGAGAGACAAAAGGAUAGAGAUGUAUUAAAUGGAGUGACAAGUGUCACUUGGAGGUUAAUUCUUAACUUAGUCAAUUUUGACCAACUUUCUUGCUUUACCAAUUUAAGUAAAAAUUUCCAAAAAUCAUCCAAGCUUCCUUGGCCGAACCUCUUGCUCCAAAAAAUAAAGGAAAAGCUCUCCAAUCUCUUGCUCCAAACUUGCUCAAUCCAACAAACCAACCGUUUAAUCUUGCAUUUACUCCAUAAAAACCCUUAAGUGAGUGGUUGUGAGGUGAUUAGUGAAGUUGUUUGGAGGAUUAAGGUGCUAAGUUGCUCUUGUUCUUGGGUUGUUAAGGUGAGUAACUAAGGGACCUUUCUUGCAACUCAAUAAUGCUUAAUUAUUGACAUGUGUAAGGUGAAGUGAUGAUUUUAGGUGUUGUUUCAUGACUUUUGGUAGAAUUUGGUGCAUUUUCUAUUUAAUCAUAAUUUUUUCUGUUUUCAUAUGAUUACUAUUGUGUGGCCAUGUAUGAUGGUUGGAAAUGAUCUAGAAUGAAGCUAGAAUGCGUAAAUUGUGGUUGUUUGCGGAAAAUUUCCGCAUUGAACGGAAAAAUUCAGAUUUAGGGUUUCAAUUCAACCAUUCUGCCUGGUACUGUUCCUCAUAGUUAGAGGCUGAAUUAGCCUUGGGUUAAAACAUGAAAGUUGUAUACAAUGAUAUUUUAGAGUUUUCUACAAAAUUUCAGCUCAAUCGGAGCAAUGUAGCAUGUGAAAAGACCGAAAUACCCCUACUGCCCUGUUUCUAUCCGAAACUGAUAAUCAGCUUCUGUAAUUGGUUAUUUUGACCGGAAAUACUACUGAUUUGGUUGUUGAUGUCUUCUUAAGAAUUAUAGCCUUGUAUCUUAGCUUUCAAAUGGCUUUGGAAUCACUUGAAUUGGAGUUGUAUGUGCUGAGAUAUGACUGAAUGAAUCAGGACUGCUACAGUAAACUUCAAACUGGAAAAUCAGGGUUUGUUUUGGUCAAUUUGACCUAGUUAGGGUGAGACCUGGACUAAGUAGUCUUCAUCAAAGUUACAGAUCCCUGUCUCAGAUUCGAAAUUCCAUAAGAUUCAUCUUAAUCCGAUAAGCGUAACUUAAGUUGCGAUCGAAACACCGAGACACGUCAAACCUGCUUUUAGGCCUAUUGUCUUUCAAAUUGGUUUUCAGUUGCAUUAUUAACCUUGUGUUGUAAUUGACUAUAUAUGAAGGGUAUUGUGACCCUAAUUAGAUGUUUUUAAUAGCUUGUGAAUUAUAUUUGAGGUUGUGGUUGAUUUGGGUUGAAUUUAGUGUUGAAUUGUAGGGUGAAAAGUAAGAAAAACAAGGGGAAAUGCUGUUAAAAUUUUCGCAGGAACCCCGGAGCAGUUCUGGGAAAUCUACAAUAUCUGGAUGUAAAAAUAUCGGAAUUGAGUUCUGUUUGUUGUGUUUUAAACUAGAUUCAUAGGGCUAUGAACCGUGUAAAUUUCAGUUUCUGGUUUGGUCUGUGGGAUUUAUGGUGAUUUUUCAAAGUUAACCAAAAUCGUAUACCUGCUCUGCCUUUUUCUGGUUAAGACAGCAAUUUGAGGCUCGAAUUUGAUUGGCUUGUGAUCUGAAUCUUCUAAAUAUGUCUUUUGAGAAAUUUUACCCCUUUGAGUCUAUUUUCCAACGGUGUAAAUUUUACCAAUUUCGGACUUAAGAAUCCUAAGAUAUGAUUUUUCAAUCAGGGGUGUGGAAAACUGAAAAAAAAUCUGUUUUCUUGGAAUUAUUCUCACUUUCAAUUUCACCUUUAGAUAUGAGCUAGUACAUCAUUGUAAGUAUGAUUUUGAGAGGAGUGAGGGGUUUUGGGGUCAUAUAUGUCCUUAGGACCAACCGUUUUCUUUUAUUCUUAAGCCGUCUUUUAUUUUUCGUACUAGUAUAUAACUUGGAGAGGUACCUGACUAGUAAUCGAACCUCAUUUGUGCAUCCUAUUUACUCGGUUUUGGAUGAAGAAAUGUCAACUGUUUUACCUUUGUUAUUCUUAGGGUUUCACGGUGAUUAGGCCACUUUGGGUGGAAAUUUUUGGAAGUACCUGUACUUGAACUGGUGAGUGUACCACUCCCCUCACUUAUUGCUUAACUUGAUUUCUGCAUUUGCAAUCUGUGAUCUGAAUGAUUGUACUAUCUGUUUAAUCUGUUUGAGAUGAGGGUGUACUUUAUCACACUCGUUCUCUUGUCUGUCUGUAUGCCUCUUGAUUAUAUGUAAUCUGUUAUCUGUAUCUGAGUCUGUUCGGAAGUCGUUUGGAGACUGGUAUCCAACGACUUUUCUGUGACCUCUGAGCUCAACACCUGUGGCUAGUUACUCAAGUCGGGCCGGCAAGGGCCUGGUCGAUUAGAUAACGAACCACGGUAGUCUGUUUCAGGAAUCUUUGGGUAUUGAGACCCUUAAUUCCGGUAUACUCGAGUAUUAUCACUUCUGUUCUGUUCGGCGUUCGGGCCCGGUAGGGGUAUGUUUGGUGGACGAAAAUUGGUGUAAAGUGGGGUCUACGGAUAUGUUGGUUCUAUGUACGUUGACGGAGAGUCAACGGGUUCGGAUCAAGUACUGUAAAUGGAAAUCUGGCUCCUGAGAGCCACCUGUAUCCUUCCUAUUUGAAUCAUUGUGUCUAACUACUUUACUUUACAUCUGGCAUGUGUACCUGAUUUGUUAAACGUGAAAUGCCAUGAUUUUACUACUAUAUGUCUGGUACCUCAUUGAGCGCAAGCUCACCCCUUUUUGUUACCUUUGUUUUCCUUACAGGGUUCCAUGUUUUGAAACCAAGAUUUUUGGAAGAAAAGAGUUGAGCUAGUUGUAGGACUUCUUUUGUUUAUGCUCCUCUGUAACUGAAACCCUAAUUGUAUUUUGUGUAGCGUGAAUACUCUGGCGUGUAUUUAGUUCAUUGGUUCAAGACUCCGAUGUAAAUAUAUGUAUAAGUGUUUAAUCGACGUCCCGUACUUCCGUAUGGUUUGGUAAGCUCUGUUUAACCCUUGGUGGUCUCCAAUUGUUCGUUUUCGUUGAGUUCUCACGCGUACUAUAUAGGGUUUGUGUGAAUCGACUCCGUAGUCCUGGCGAGAGUUGGGCAGGCAAUCCGCCGAACCCUUUGGUUCGCCUUAGGGUGAGGUGGGGCUGUCACAUAUAUCAUUAUAUGUUCAAGCCUUUAAUCUCAAAAGAUUUCAAUUCAAGAGGUUUAAAAAUUAGUUGAAUCAUAUUCAAGUGAUAAACUAUUUUUUAAUUCUGAAAAAUUCUUUAGCGACAAACCAUCUAUUGCUAAACGGCUUUAGUGAUAGAUAGCGACAGUUACUGAUAGUCUGCCCAGAAAAUUAGUGAUAGAUUGUCGAACAGCCCCUUUUCUUCUUUGAAAUUCCAGAAUAAAGCACAUAAUUUUUGGUAACUCUUUUAAUCUAAAAAUCUACAUUUUAUUCAUAAUAAAAUAUAGCUAUAAUUUUUUAAAUUUUGAAGAACCAAAGAUAAUAAAAUAAAAUUAGAAACCUUUAUUCCUUAGGAAAUCCUAUUUCUUAAGAAAUCCUUGUUGGUUUCCAAUUUUACUUUAAUUCCUUUUGUCAUCAAAUUUCUAAAAACUAUUUGUAGUCUAAAUAACACUUUUUUUAUAGUCUAAAUAACACUUUUCAUCAUCUAAUGACAAAAAUUUUGGAUCAAAAUCAUGGCCAAAUUUUUACAAGAAUUAUACCCAAAAAAUUUUUGGUCAUUGAAGAAUGCAAAAACACGUUCUUUUUCCAAAAAUUUUCAGCAAUAUCAAUCCAUAAAAAAUCAGCCAUAAUCAUUAGUUAAGAACAAAAUUUCACCCUGAUCAAAUAUCUCAUAAUUAACCAUAAUUGUUGAAUUGACAAUUUCAUAAAACCGAAUAUUUGAUCCAUGAAAAAUACUAAUUUUUCAUCAAAUUUCCAGCCAUGGAAUUUGUUCAAUUUUUCUGGAAAUUUAGACAAUAAUAAAAAAAUCUUAUUUUUUUGAUAAAACCAAUUAGAUUCAAAAUUUUUUCGUAAUUUUAAUUUUUUAUCAAAGUAAUAAUUUUAACUAGAUUAGUGCUAAUUAUUACUAAGACACCUCCCACAAAUUGGUUGAGAAAAAACCUAGUUUUUUACCAAAAAAAAACUUGCUCCAAUAAGAGAAUAAGAGUUGUUAUUUUUUUUUUAUUUUUUGGACGAAUUUUGGGUAUUUUUCUCUCAAGAUUUUUGUCAAAAAUCUCACAAGACAAUUUGUGUAUUGAUUAGUCUUGUUAACAAAACUUUAGUGAGUUAUAGAAAAAUAAGUUGUCCAUGUCCUUAUGAAAAUAUGAAACUAAUUUCCCAUAGAAUUCAACUUCUUUAUUUUAAUAUAACACUUGUAUUUGGAAGACUUAAACUUAUUUUUACUAUAAAUCCCUCAAAAUUAACUUGUCUCACAAAUUAAACUAUAAGUUAUAAAACUUAUUUACCUCCCUCGAUGUUGGACUAAAUUACAAUCAGCUCCUUCGUAAUAUGAAUAGCAAGGUAGGCCUAUGCUUUUAGCAAAUAGUCAGCCCGGCAGCCUACAAGUUUUAAAAAAAGGAAAAAUUCCCAAACCUACUGUGUGCUUCUAAGCACGGCAGGCAUAGUCCAACGAAACUAUGCUGUCAAAUCAAUGUUUGUGUGUUUUCUUUCCAUCUAUAAUCUAAGGAAUUAGCCCUAUAAGAACACACUUCUAACUUUUUGCUGCGCGUGCACUUAUAGCUCACAUCAUUAAAUUGACUAUUACUUGUUAAGCAAGCACCUCACAUUGACUGGUUGCCAGUAUGUAGAAUGUUUGACAAUAAAUAGAAUGUUUACCCGAACAUAUAUCACUAGUAAAGUAGUAACUUGCCUAAAGUCAAAUGUAAGGCUCGCAUCAGUAAGAUGUACAUCUCCUGUAUUUGGGUCAACAUCAACUCCAUUAAGGAAGCUAAAAUCGUAUUCCACCUGCGCUAUUGGCAAGUAAUGUUAAUACGUCUACCUUGAGAUCCUAAAAAAAUAUAAUGACAAAAGUGGAUAUCAUUACAAUUCUUGUCCUAUUUGAAACCAUUUUCGUACCCAAAAUAUUAUGGCCGAAUUACACUCCAAACUAGGCACUUAUAAUCUGUUUAAAAUAAUUGCGAAACCCCUAUCUGGCCUCUUCCCAUCCCCUCCACCCCUGGACAUGACAUUAGAUCAUUGACCCUGGCUUUUCUUCUGGCCCUUUUAGUCCCAAGAAAGAUUUUUGCUAUAUUUAGCCGUUCAACUGCUGCCCAUUUCGCAUCAGAAUGGCUAUAUAAGGCAACUUCUCUUUUUCCUUGUUAUAUGACGUUGGCUCGGAUGAGGUGCUUUGAAUUGUUCUUAUCCUAACUAUGUAGAAUCUCAACUAUGCAUGUAUUAGUCUAAUCGAUGAAACUAGUAAAUGGCAAGGCCAAAAGUAUGUUUGACACUGAAUUCCUGGAGCUAAAGCACAUGCACAUCGAUAUUGUUGAUUUUGGCUUAAUUGGCGACUUAUGUGCUUUAUUGAGGUAGUCUUGAUCUAGUUGUUAAGGGUAGAUUUUAGAACAUAGAAGUUUAGGGUUCAAAUUCCCCUUUCUUCUUUUCACUUCUUAAAUCCUACCCUUCUUCUGCUAAAAAAUAAUUUUUAAAAAGAAAAACUGUGCAAUGCACGGGAUGUGCUCUCUUAUUCUCAAAGAAGGUUAUAUUUAAUAUAACUUUAAUGAAUUGAAUUGUAUAUACAAUCCGAAUUCCGAGAUUCCGGUCGACCAAAAUGUUUCAAUGAUAAUGUAUAAGUAUGUAUAGAGAUAUAUUAGAACUACCCAUAUUUUCCUAGUUUAAUGUUUAUGUAAAUUAAUUUUCUUACAUUGUACGUUCUUUUCUCCAAUUAGUAUGAUCCCAUGAAGUUGUUAAAGUCCUCAUCCUAUACUAGCUAAUAUUGGUCUCGAAUUGAGUGGUGCUAAUCUUGCAUUGUUACAGUACCUGAGUUUGUUUUCAAAUCAUGUAUUACAUUUCCAGGCAACCACAGCUAAGCUUUAGGUCGACAAUCAAUGAGUCAUGUAGCAAAAUAGAAACACUCUGUUCGUCUCAUUUUCUUUUCCCACUCAAAACUUAUACAGCUCUUUUGUUUUCGUGGGAAAGUGACCUAAUCUCUGUAGUCUCUCUCCUCAUGGUUCUUUAUUUUUCUUGUUUAUAUAAUAAAAUUUUUUCUCUCCUAGAAUUUUCCUGCGAGAGUUUUUCUCUCUUAGAAUCUUUUAGUAAUAGUUUGCUCUCUUCUUGAAUUUUCCUUGGAAGAGUUUUCUUUGUUUUCCUUGAUUUUCUUUUCUUGUUAGAUAUGUGUUUUUCACACAUUUGUUUUAUCAAAUUUGGAAUUUCUCACAUUUGUCUGCUCAUAUAUAAACCACAUCUUGGGGUUUAAAAAUAGCAUAUACUACAUCAACUUGUUAAAGACAUGCAUAGAUCUUGGAACAGUAGAGAUUUAUAUAUUUGUAAAAAAAAAUUGAAGUUUACGUUGUUAACUUUUAUGAAUUCUUCAGAUUUGGAGUAAUCCUUUCUAUUUAAUUGUUGCAUCUGUUACGUGUCCUUAUUAUAGAAGAUGACAUUAUUACAGCUCUCACUGAAUAAAUAAAAUCAUCAUAUUUAUAAAAAAUAUUUAUUUAAAUUUCACAUAUCGUAUUUUAGGACUUAUUUUUUAUAUCAGGAAGUUUAUUAUAUUUAAAUUCUAUAGUAAAGUAACCAGGAGCUACGGCUGCUUAAACUAUUAUCUUCAUAAAGUUUUGGCUUUUUUAUCCAUAUUUUGUAUUAAAUAAUCCCCUUCAAAUAGAAACUUUAACUUGACUUAAUAAUUUUUGUAAUUAAAUUUUCUUGUAAUCAGUUUUUUUUAAUGAUUUCUCUCUUCUAACAAAAUUUACCAGUUCUAAUAAAUUUAAAUUAUUUUUGUUUUUCAUUUGUAGUAAUUUUCUGUGUUUAAUUUUUCAAUUGUUUCGUACAUUGAUAAAUUUAUUAAUCACUCAAAAGUGAAGAUUUGUUCUUGACAAAAUUGAUUCCAACAUUUUUUGUGUUUAAUUGAGAAUGAAUAGGUGGUGUAAGUGUAUGAUCACAGUAAAAGUUUAAUAACUAUCUCAAAAAAAAUAUGUUUAUCUUAUUUUAUGCAUUGCAAUUUGUGUGAUGAGAAAGAUCACAUUUCAUAUAAUAUUUUUGAAACUUCAUAUGGUAGUUAAAUGUUUAGAAUCCAAUACUUGGUAAAUUUUAUAUCAAUGAGUAUGUGAGAAUAUAGUUGAUAUUUCUUUCUCGAAUUAUUAUCCCUCGCAUAGGUUCAUAAGUAACAAAAAAUAUCUCGUGUUGAUGUAUUGGUUCAAAUACAAGUUAGUUACAAAUUUAAAUCAGUGCUACGAAAUUCUCUAUUCAAUUGUUUCUUUCUUACCCAAUUCCAUUUAAAUUAGCUAGCUAUAUCAUCAAAAUGGAUAUUUGGUCAAGGUGUCUAAAAGUUUACUCUAGCUAUUGGUGCAAAAUAUACGAGCAACCAUAUUGAUCAAGCAUAGUUGAAUGAGUUCCCAACUAACCAAGUCAACUAUUCCUUAUUUGUUUACUUUAGUAUUACAAGCUUUUCAUUCUUUAUUUUUUUAACUAAUGAUUAUCUUCAAUUACUGCUAUAUGAAUACAAUAAGUUUGAUUAGUUAUCAAAUUUCAACUUGUUUCCAUAAUGAUAAACCUUUUACUACUUUUUUUCUGAACAAUGACUUUUCUCUAUUUCUUAUACGAACAAAUCAUAAUGGGUGGUUUAAAUGAUAUAAAACUAUUUUGUUUUCUCUCUUCCUUACAUUCAAUAAUACGAACAUUAGGAAACUGGAAAAAUUAAUAAUAAAAUGCAUCUGGAGUACUUGGACUGAAUUAACUAAUUCAUAUUUAUCUUAUCUCGAAUGUAAAUUUGAUUCCAUUGAAUGUGCAGAUCAACAAAAAUACAUUUCUUUUUUGUGCAAUACAUUUCAAAUAUUCAAGAAUAGGAAAAUUGAAAUUCUAAUUUGGCACUUUUAAGGUUUCUCUUAUAAGUAUUAUAUUAAUGUUAUAAAAAAUCAACUGAUUUUUAAAUUAAGGGUAUAUAUUAGUUUUGUGAACUUGUUCCCCUAAUUAAUGCUUAACUACUUUUAAUUAGCUCUUUGUUCAUUCAAUUCUCUUUGUAGGAAUAUUUAUCAAAAGCAUAGAAUUACCAGGCAAAUGUAGGAAACAGAAUACUAGUUGGUCUAGAAUUCAGAAUUCACUUUUGGGAAUUCACAUGAAUUUAAUUUUGGAAUGAGCAACAUAGCUCACAAUUCAGGCCUGCAUAUUAAACCAUUAAUUUUUUUCGAAAGUCAUAAAACUUGAGCUUAUUCGUAUUUCACAAGAUCAUGACUGAUAAUUAAAUCCAAACCGGAGAGAGAGAGAGAGAGAGAGAGAGAGAGAGAGAGAGAGAGAGAGAGAGAGAGAGAGAGAGAGAAAAAUCCGAAGUUGCAUUUUGAUAAAUUAAUGUGAAGCUAAUAUCAAUUAUGUAAAGAGGUAAGAUUUAUUCUACCCUCAUGUCUUGUAAUUUCUCAUUCUCAAUUGGACUAGAAGGGGUUAAAGCCAAAACCCCGUGAUUAAAAGGUUUAUUCUACUUGAUACUCUAAAUGCACUCGAUAAGCACACUAAAAAUGGAGAGUGAAUGAUUCACCCCUUAAAUUGUAAAACUACUGCAAAAGAAGUUUACCUUUUACCAAAAUAAUAAUAAUAAUAAUAACACCAAGAUAACUUCAUAUUGUGUGCCCUUAGAACACCAAAUAGACAAACUUUUAUAAAAGAAAUCCCGCAAUACAUUUUCUUCAUAGUAGCUAAUCUUCCAUUAAAUGGCCAAGGUUACUUCCACAAGUUACUAUUUACUAUACAUGCCAACAAACUUGACUUCACGUGAACCAACAAACACUCUUCCUCCGUUGUAUUCUUGCACCAAAUUUACAAUAAUAUUGCUAUAGUAAUCUUCCAAAUUUUUUAUCAGUAGUAUUUCCCCAAAUGAGUCAAAUUUGUAUCCAAAAGGUGUAGCAUUGCGCUGUUGUUGUUGAACAAUCUCAUUAACUGCCACCCAAAACUUCCCCGGCUCUGGGGCUCUUUUUAUUUUCACGGGAUUUCCUGGCAGGUUUAAUAGAGCUUCAGUUGUAUUUGCUUUUAAUCCGGUGAGACAGUACUUUUCGACUGUUUUAGUACUGAACUCUGAAAACAACACAAAUGUACGAUCAGUGCUAACCACAGGUCCUGCUGGUAUAGAGAGCCCAUCUAGCAACACCUUCAACUCUUUUGUUAUUGGAUUAUACUUGAUUAAUCUUCCAGUUGAAUCUAGAACAUAAUUCCCUUGUAUGACAUUUCUGCACAAGAUUAUUUGAGUUGCUCAAGUUUUUCUAUUGAGUUGAUGAGGAUAUACAGAUGAAAAUAUGGAUAAUUUUUUUUUAAAGUUAGGGAGGAGAUGGGAUUUAGGAAGUAGGGAAGGAAAAGGAGGAAUUAAAUCUAUAAGCUCUAAUUCUUGCGAUCUCAAUGUUAACCACUAGAUCAAGGCAUAAUCAGUAAAAAAAUAUGGAUGAUAAUUGCAUGGUUAGUGAAUGACUUUGAACAAGAAUUUUGGCAAAAUUGAAUUACCCUUGAUGUAAUUAGUACAUUAUAUUUGACGUAUAUCUUCAGUACUAUAGAACGAGAGUAACUUUAUGCAUCCCCAUUCCCUACUACAUUUUUCAUUGUUCCGAAAUUGGAAAUUUAGCAUUUUUGAAAUUAACAAAAAAUUAGAAAAUUUUAUGCAAUAACUGUAAUAACUAAAAAAGCGUUGAGAAAGUUACCAUUAAGUCGUAUUUCCGUAUUGUCAAGACUACUGAAUCCUAAAGCUAUGAGGACCAACGAGUCUGAUUGUUCAUUUGUUGUAUUUAGACAUAUAUGAAAAUAAAUGUCUAAGAUUUUUAUAUUUUAUGGAAAUUUUUAUUUUCUACCUUAUCUUUCAUGUACAAAACCUUCAUUACUUUCUCUGUCUCUUUUUUGGGUCAAACUUUCCAUGGUAGAACUCAUGAACUACCAACAUCAACUGCUUGUAAACCAUAUAAUAUAGUUCUUUAGUGUCUCUUUAAAAAAAAAUUAUUUAGUUAUAUUGGAAUAGACUUUUUCCUUAAUCUAGAGCACUAUAAAAUUGUGUAACAACAUUUCUAUAAGUAAAGAGAUAUACACUUGAAGAAAGUAGUUUUUAAGAUUUUAAGCAAUAUUUGAUCUAAAGUUUGACCGUUCACAAAAAUAUGGUCGUAAGAUGUAGAAGACAUAUUUCAUUAAAAAUCUCAAUUUAUAUUCAUAAAACUUGUGCGAAAUGCAUGGCAGUCCCGUCCAACAAAGAAAAAGUCUAUGGCCUUGUUCCCAACAACUUUUGAUUGUGUAAAACCUGAUUUUAGAAAAUCGGAAUAGAAAAGCACCAAAAUAAAUAUAUCUCAUUUUCAGCUUGUUUAGGUUUAAAAAAACCCAAAAUCAGAUUAUAAAAAGUAAUUGAUUUUUGGAAGCAAAAAUCAAGGGUCAAGUGGCUCAAUAGUGGGGAUCGGAAUACAAGGUAUUUUCAUGCAGUGAUCAAGCAGAGGAGAGUACAGGGGACAAUACACAGGGCGAAAAAUUCGUAUGGCGAAUGGGUGGGCAAGGAUGAUGACAUAGCACAGGAGGCGGUUGAGUAUUUCUCUGGCCUAUUUUCGGGGUCUAUCGACUCCUCUUCGGGGGAUUUAGUGCAUUUAAUUCCGUCAAUGGUCACAAGUGAGGAGAAUGCUUUUUUGGAAGAAGUGCCUGACGUAGAGGAGGUUCGACAUAUGGUGUUCACCAUGGACGGGGAGAGUGCGGCGGGUCCGGACGGGUUUAUAGGGAGUUCUUCACGUUCGCAUGGGAUAUCAUUGCUCAGGACCUGCAUAGAGCGGUGGUGAGUUUCUUCUGUGGAAAUGAGUUACCUAGGUUUAUUACUUCCACCUCAAUUAUUUUGCUACCUAAAGUUUCAAAUCCCCAAGAUUUUUCUAAAUUCAGAUCCAUUAGCCUCUGCAAUUUUUUCAACAAAUUAUUAUCCAGAAUUUUAAUGGGGCAGUUGGGCUCUGUUAUACCGAGAAUUAUCUCGCCCCAACAGACGGGGUUUGUCAAAGGCAGAAACAUAACGGAUAAUUACUUGCUAGCUCAGGAGUUGAUAUCCACCAUGUGCAAGAAGGCAAGAGGGGGGAAUGUUGCCCUAAAAUUGGAUAUGACUAAGGCAUAUGAUCGGAUGUCUUGGAGACAUAUUAUUACCAUGUUGCGCGCAUUUGGUUUUAGAGAACGUUUUAUAGACCUGGUCUGGCGGCUUAUUUCUAACGUGUGGUUUUCAAUUGUUAUCAAUGGAACAUCACACGGAUUUUUCAAAUCUACCAGGGGGUUACGGUAAGGCGAUCCACUAUCCCCAGUGCUCUUUAUUAUUGGUUCGAAAAUGCUGUCACGAGGGCUCAAUUCUUUAGCAUUGCAGCAGAAUUUUGUAGGGUUUUCAAGUCCCAAUGGGCUGUCCUGUCGUCACGCAUCUAACUUUUGCUGAUGACGUGCUGAUUUUUACCAAUGGGUCGAUUACUGCUUUAAAACAAAUCAUGCAGGUGCUAGAGGCGUAUCAACUUUCCUCAGGACAACUGAUCAAUGUUCAAAAGAGCGGAUUCUUGGUUCAUCCUACUUUAUCCCUAGCUCGGAAAAGAGUGAUUGAGAGGAUUACGCAAUUCACUAGACAGGAGUUGCACAUUCGCUAUCUUGGCUUACCUUUGUAUUUGGGAAGGAGCAAGUCAGCUUACUUUGAAGAGGUAUGUCAAGCGGUGUUGGUUCGAAUUAUGUCUUGGAAGUCAAGGUUGAUAUCCCCGGGAAGGAGAAUAAUUUUGGUAAAGCAUGUGCUCGCAUCCAUCCCAGUUCACUUACUAUUAGCCGUGGUAUGUCCCGUCUCGAUUUUUAAUCGAAUAGAGCAGACUUGUGCGAAUUUUCUAUGGGGAUCAACAGUGGAAGGGACAAAGUUUCACUGGAUCAGAUGGUCUCAGUUAUGUCUUCCGGUUGAGGAGGGGGGAGUGGGUUUCAGAAAGUUACGGGAUGUGUACUCGGCAUUCUCUUGUAAAUUGUGAUGGACUUUUCGGACUGGAAAGUCACUUUGAGCACAGUUUAUGCGAGCUAAAUACUGCAGGGACCUUCAUCCGUGCCAGGUGGAAUUGCGAAGAUUUGACUCAUCGACGUAGAGACGAAUGUUAAACAUAAGCCGAUAGGUGGAGUUAGCCAUGCUAUGGGUGGUGAAUGCAGGGUCAUGUAAUUUUUGGUAUGACAAAUGGUUGGGAAGUGGAGCUCUAUGUUUGAAAGCUAUAGUGAACCCUACCCUCUCCGUCAAGGACUUCCUCACUAAUGGGGAAUGGAAUGGUGCUAUGCUUAGGCAAUAUAUACCGCAAGAAAUCAUCGCUCUAAUUCUAGAACACCCGGUCCCAAGUGGAGAUCACCAUGACGAGUUGGUAUGGAGCCAGACGGCGUCGGGAAAAUUCAUGUUGGCAUCGGCAUUUCAGGAGGUCCGUCAAGCUCGAAAUUACUCUGUCUUACACUCUCAGGUAUGGCAUCCUCGGAUUCCGUUGAAAGUUUCAUUCUUCAUGAUGCGUUUACUGUUGGGGAAAUUGCUUUUAACUGAUGUCUUGCGGAGGGUUGGAGUCCAAUUGGUUUCAAAGUGCUUGUGUUGCCAAGAGGGAGCGAUUGAGACACUGGAACAUGUGUUCGCGGAGGGACAGGUUGCAAAAGAUGUCUGGAGAUAUUUUGGUAGGAUAUAUAGGGUUACACAACUUGGCUCGUCACUACGGGCAUGGCUAACGGCUUGGUGGCUGUUCUCCCCUCGGCAAGCAGUAAGACAGUUUCUCUUCUUGAUUCUUCCCAGUUUUAUAUGUUGGCAUACUUGGAAGGCUCGGAACAUUGCAUACUACGAAGGAAGGCAGAUGUCAGUGGCAAGAAUUUUUCAUGCCAUUUUGUUAGAUGUGAUAGGGGUGGUUGAGAUUCAGUUUAACCAGAAGCUUGAGGUGCACACGUUUCUUCAGCUAUAUGAGUGGACAACUCAACAAACAUUGGGGUAUAGUUUUCAUCUGGUGUGGUGGAAGGCGAAAGAGGCGGGAUUGCUAACACUAAAUACGGAUGGAUGCUCCAAGGGAAAUUCAUGAGUGAGUGGUGGUGGGGAAAUCCUUCGCGACUCAUCGGGAUUGCCAUUAUUUGCAUUCUCAACUUACUUUGGGAAACUUUCGAGUUUGCGUGCAGAGGCAUUGGCCCUGGUAAUGGGCUCCGUUUGUGCGUUCAAAAGCAGUUUACCGAUGUAAGUAUUCAAGUUGAUUCCCCAGUUCUCGUUGGGAUUCUUCAACGCCGGCUCCAGUGCCCGUGGGUGAUACGACAGGAGGUAGACCAUAUUUGGGGCAUGAUUACUGAUACGGCACAAAUUUCUCGUUGGGAUUCUUAACGCCGACUCCAGUGCCCGUGGGUGAUACGACAGGAGGUAGACCAUAGUUGGGGCAUGAUUAUUGAUAUGGCACAAAUUUCUCAUUGCUACAGAGAAGCAAAUAGGGUGGCGGACAGUUUGGCAAAGGUGGGUGCGUCCAGCCAUAACAGGAAUGUCACCAUUUAUGAUGACUUCAAUGCAAUUCCAAGACAGACGCGAGGGGAAAUUCGCAUAGACAGGUUAGACAUGCAUUCUCUCAGGCGGAGGAAAGUAGGCUAGCCUAGGACGUUGGCUAAUUCGGGAUUCUUUGCAAAGAAGUAAAAGAUAGAUUUACUGCUUCAGAUAUAGAAGAUGGUGCUCUCGUACCAGUUGCUUAGCUUUUCAUCAAUUGGGAUUUCCAAACUUUCGUAGAGUUACAAUGUAGCAUGUGCCAUGUGAUAUUUUCCUUGAAUUUGGGUUUGUUGGCAGUGAGAUUUGUAUAUUUAUAAGGGGAAACUCUGCCAAAAUUUUCUUAAACUAAAUAAAAUAUUUAUAUUUAAAAAAUAUUAUACUUAAAAAAAAAGAGAAUACAUAAGAUAACUUUUUUAAUAUUGAAAUCUAAAAUCAAGUUUUAAAAAUCAGUUGAGAACAAGGCCUCUAACUUCAAUUGUCUUCAAUAUUCCAAAAUUAGCACUAACCUUGAUGAUACUUAUGGGUUAAUAAAACAGAAUUUUGCCAGGAAAAGUAUUGCUAAGUAACAUCUAGAAAAUUGAUGAUGUACCUUAAAUCAAAUGUUUGGCUGGCAUCAGUUAAAUAGACAUCUCCUGUAAGUUGAUCAACGUCAAUGCCAUUAAGGAACUUAAAUGGAACACCACCCGCACUCUUAGCAAUUAGAGUAGCUAGUCCACCCUCAGGUCCUACUUUAAACAGACCAAGAAAUGCAUCAACAAUAUAAAGAACUCCAUUAAAAUUGUUGAAGCUAAAUCCAAAAGGCCUUCCACAUGUUGGUCCCAAAUUUGGGUCUGUUACAUCAUCGCAUAAUUCAUAAACUAAAGCAAAGAAAAUGUGCAAAAGUUAAUUCAACAUAUUUACAUCACAUGAACUCUAGCAAAGAUUGAACAUACUUAAUAUAUAUAAAUGAUAACCUGACAUAUUGUGUUAAGAAUAAUUGAAGGCAUUACAACAAUUUUAUCAAUUGAGACAUAUAUUGCUACACAUUAAAGCAUGAUUGUUUAUGUAAUUCUAAUAACAGUAAGUAGUCAAUCGUGUGGAGUAUAUGUGUAUAACAUCAUCCAAAUGCACAUCAAGUGCAUUUUUUCUAGCCCAGUAAGUUCUCAGUUGUUGCCAACAACAAGAGCUUAUUACUAUCAACAAUGCAUUUGUUGUGUCAUUCAACUUUGGCUAGUUUAGCAUGCAUGGUUUGCUUGAUAAAGUAGCUAAAAGCCAAUCCUUCAGCAACAUUAGCCUGAUAAGAUGUUUUCUCAUUGAGAAGGGCUAAAUUCACAUCCUUUCACACCUUUUGAUGCAUUAAUAACUUGUAUAAUUAGCAAUGAAAUUUAAACAAUAUGUUAAUUUAGAAUGAAAGAGUAUGAUAUAAUUAGCCUCUCCCUUUCUUCCUCCAAAAAAAAAAGAAAAGAAAAGAAAAGCCUCUCCCUUUCUUAUGGAGACUUAGUGGUCGAAGACUCUUACCUAUUUGGCGAAGAGUAAGCAAAAAGUACAAAGCCAACAUUUGGGCCUUUGUAUUUGAGAAUACGACCAUCACUUAUACCUACAUAGGGUCCUUGAUUAAAUCGGUCCAAAGCGAUGGACUCUGGACCAAUAGAUUUAGGAGGAAGAUCGAGGGAGGUAAAGUGUUUAUAUGGGUGUAAUGCAAAUAAAUUAGGAAGGUAAAAUAGAACAAUAAAGAUGGAAAGGAUUGGCAUUUUUAUGCUAAUCAAAGUACUUGUUAUGUAUAGAUAAUGUGGAAUAACCAUUAAGAAAUCCAUAAUGUUGCCUUGGUAUUUAUAAGCAGAAUCCAUAAUGGCUCCCAACCUAACUCCGCAAACCUUACUUUUUUUUUCGUUCCCUACCCACCAGACUCACAUUUCUACAGCUUAUCUACACUCCACAUAGGGCGGCUAUGACUAGCCUCUUAUCUUAUAGAAUGUUGAAAUCAGUUAUCACAAUAUUAUAGAAAAAUUCCAUUUGGUAUUUUCAGUCCCAAGAAAUAUUUUGCUAUCAUAAGCUUUUGUCCACCUUCCAACUUAUCCGUAUCUCUUUAAAUUUUUUUUUUGGCCUCUGUGGGUCAUUUUUGAAAAGAAUAGUUUUGCUACAAAGUAUAAACCCUGCACUGAACACCAAAAGGAGAUAAAACUCCAUAUAUGGCUAGAAAGCUGAACAAUAAUAGUUAUCCUUCCAGUCAAUCGUUUGCUAAAUAUUGGAAUUAGAAUAGUUAAUUUUUUUCUUUACCAGGUAAUUACUUAAUUUUAAUAUUUCUAUUGCAUGAGAAGGUACUACAAAAUCAAGGAAUAUACAACUCAAUUUUCAAAUUUUUAUGUUAAUCAAUCGUCGAAAAGGGUAGAAGGGUUGCCCGAUUACCAGCUGCGGACGGAAGGCGUAAGAAUUCCGUCCGAGAGGCAACAAAUGAAAGUUAGAGCAUAUAUAUAAUAGACGCAAACUAAGAAGCAUGUUUUAUCCAAGAUCUUUUUUUUAAGAAAAUAAAUUUAAUCCUCUAAAGAAAAGCCAAAUACUAAAAAUUUGUCUUACAAACAUCGAGACCACAUUUGGGAUUUUUGUCCAGUUUGGUUCUUAACUUAAUUCACCUAAAAUGUAACGGUACAACUCAAUAGAAAUUCUAUCAACAAGUUCUAAAAUCAAUGUAAUACAAAACAAACGUCUGGAGUUUCGAAUAUUGAGAGUACGCCCAUUGCUUAUACUUACACAAGGUCCUAGAUCAAAUUUGUCCAAAGCGAUGGACUUGGGACAAUGGUAGACCUAGGAGGAAGACUGAGAGAGGUAAAAAGUGAAUAUGUGUCUAAUACAAUUGAUUAGGAAGGUAUUUGCCUAAAGAAAAAGAAGAAAAUGAUAAGAUUGGGAAGGCAAAAUAGGACCACAAAGAUGGAAACUAUUGUCACUAUUAUGCUAAUCAAAACACUAUAGAAUAUGGGUCAAUGCAAAUAGAUUAGGAAGGUCAAAUAGAACCACAAUGGAAUAGAUUGUCAUUUGUAUGCUAAUGAAACGCUUGGUAUAGACUUAUAGGUAGAUAAUGAGGAAUAGCCCUUGUAAUUAUAAGCAGAACCUAUCCUGCUACAAACCCACCACUAUCUUAUCCUUUGCGUCUCCCACACACCAAAAAAUCCCAUUGCAAUCUUAGCUACACUACACCUUAUGCAUGACUCUGGCUUCUUGUCUUGUAGACCAUUGAAAUCAAUUAAAAUCCUAAUAUUUUUCCUUAUUUGAUUCUUAAAUCCCAAAAAAUAUUUUGCCAGCAGAUGAUGAGCUCUUAUUCACAUUCCAAUUUCUUCAAGUCUCUCUCUGUGAAUUUUCUUUUUUGGACCUUGAAAAGUGCAUAUUUUGUGUGUUUUUACUGUGUUUUAUUAAUUAAUUUUAGUGUGAUUUAUUUACUUUUAUAGCUAAUUAACUAGGAUUCUAGUGAAAAUAUGCAUUUUAUGGUUUAUGUGGUAAAACUUGCAUUUCUAUGAAUUUUAAUGGUAAAAUUCAUGUUUUUGUAGGUUUAAGGAUUCAAUCAUCAAAUGGAGUGAGUUGAAAAGAUAAUUGGAUGAUUGAUGAUGAUUUGAAGUGAUAAAAAGAAAAUAUAAAGUGCAAGAGAUGAAAUGCAACUCAGUAUACAAGAAAGAAGUUUCACAGAUUUGAUACCUUGUGAUAUUUUAGCUAUAUUUUGAGAUAAAAGUAUUGGAUUGAGGUGAUUCUUAUACCAUUUUAAAGCUAAUAGAUAUAUCUACAUUUGAUAUGAGACAUUGAAGUCCAGUUUAGUCAUUUUCCUUGUCAAAAAAUCAAAAUAUAAAAGUGCAUUUUCAUGGUCGAAAGCUGAAACAGAGUUAUGACCAGGCGAGGGUAUUUUGGUCAUUUAUCAAUCCACAGAUCUCUAAAUUCGAUGAUUCUUAAGGCAUUGGAAAGCUAACUCAAAGGGAUACAACUUUCAUGUUUUACAUAAGAACUAGUUCAGCCUCCAUCAUCAAUACAAUAUCAGUUGAAGUUGGACAAAAAACAGAGCAAGGAGGAAUUCUGCCCAGAAAAUGCAAACCUGCAAUAAGGCAAUAUGUGGGAUACAAUACGCGACCUAAGGUUACGUAUUCGAGGUUGCGUAUUCUAGUUUUUCAGCUGCAACUUGCUCUGUAACUUGUUCUUUGUUCACACAACUUUUCAACUCAAUUCCAGCAAGUAAUUUAAGCUGUAUCUGACCAAGAAGAGUGUAGAAAGUUGGAGAAACAACUCAUGGGAGUUUCAAGAGUUAAAAAUGGCAACUAGAAACAAUUUAUUUGGCUCUUGAAUCCUCUAUAAAUAGCAGCCUUUGGAGACCAUUUUCAAAACUUUUGAAGGCUAGAAAAGCUCACAAAAAAUGUAGUUUUCACUAGAAUUUCCUUUGUUCAUUAGUUAGGUUAGUAUAGUAUAGAAUAGUUUAGGCAGUUAAUUGUAUUAUUCACUCUUGUGUAUUGGCUAGAUUAGAAUGAAGAUGUAGAUGAAGAAGGAGGGGUUAAAACUCAUGUAACAAGGGUUAUCUCUUCUGCCACUCUUUAUCUUUUGUAUUGGAUUCUUAAGUAUGGUUAAUAUGCAAGUUUUAGAUUUGUGUUUCAAUAUGUGUUUCUAAAGUUUAUGGCUAGAUUUAUGAUUGAACUUUCUAUAUCAUGUUAGUAAUGUUUACUUGGUUAUUUGAUAAUAUUAUUUUGAGCAAGUUAUUUAUCAAUUUUGUUUAGCUAAUCAUGAUUAACUGACCAUUAAUUGUGAUAAUCUUAAGGUGUUAAGUUUGCAAUGAGAAUUGAAAUUUAACACUAGUUCAAGAAAGUGAUAAACCUAGAGAGUACACUUACGAAAGUAGAGGUGCACCUUUGUGGCUUAAGUGACUUGUUUUAUGUAAUUUCAUAGAAUAAAUGAGUUUGUAGUUAAUUUCAUGACCACAAGAGUAGGUAUGGCUUAGCUACAAGUAUAGUUGAUUUACUACGAGAGUAGUUUUCAUAUACAUUAGGAAAUUACGCCAUAACUAGCUAAAGUAAUAGCAUUCACUUAAUCGGUAAUAUCAUUUGCAAGAGUAAUAAGGAAUUCCAUACCUCUAGGAGUUUUCUAUUGUAUUUUUGUUGCUUUUAUAGUGUAGAUUUAAUGUUUUGUACUUGUGCUAGUCUAAAUAAUAAAGGAGUUCGAAAACCAUCGAUAAUUGAUAACCUUUCCUGUGGAAUCGACACCUAAUACCCCUAUGCUCAAUAAACGACUUGUAUACUUAUGAAAAAUCAUGUGUGGAGUAUUUAAGAUUUUAUAAAUGUAAAACUUGACUGUGGAUGAGUUAAUUGUUAUAUGUAUACCCCGUGCUUGUCUUCAGAAGAUCCUUAUAAGGAAUAGUAUUGGUAAAAAGUAUAAACUUUGCACUGACUACCAAAAGGAAACAAAACUUGAAACAUGGCAAAAAAGCAUAAACUUCAUUUAGAGCCAUCUUUCAAUGCUAUGCAUUUAUGGUCAAUCAUGUUGAGUAUAAGUUUAUAACGUCAUCAAAAUGCAAAUCAAGUGUAUUUUUCUAGCCCGGUAACUUUUCAAUGGUUGCGAACAACAAUAGCUUAUUAUUAACAACAAUGUAUUUGCUGUGCCAUUCAACUUUGGCUAGUUUAGCAUGCAUGGUUUGCUUAAUAAAGUAGCUAAAAGCCAAUCCAUUAGCUAGAUUAGCCUGAUAAGAUAAGUUUUUCUUUGAGAUGGGCUAAAUUCACAUGCUUUUAUCUUAAUUUACACCUUUGAUGCAUUAAUAACUUGUACCGUUAGCAAUGAAAUGUAAAGGAUAUACUGACUUAGAAUGAAAGAGUAUGAAUUUAACUUUUCCCUUUCUUAUCUAUGAAUAAUAAUCAAUGCAACAAUGGGAAUGGAUGAUCAUGGAGACUUAGUAAUAGAAAACUAUACUUGUUUUGCUAAGUAAAAGUAAAAAAUACAUAACACAUCUUGACCCUCAUAUUUGAGAAUACGACCAUCAUUUAUAUCUACAUAAGGUCCUUGAUCAAAUUAGUCUAAAGCGCUGGACUCUACACCAAUAGAUUUGGAAGAAACACUGAGGGAUGAAAAGUGUGUAUUUAGGUCUAAUGCAAAUAAAUUAGGAAGGUAAAAUAGAACCACAAAAUGGAAAGGAUUGGCAUUUUUAUGCUAAUCAAAGUACUUGAUAUGUGUAGAUAAUGUGGAAUAGCCAUUAAGAAUUUAGCCUUUGUUAAGAAGUUUAGGAAGGAAAUUUUCUCUAUAUUGCACACUUGAAUGUUACAAUUGUGUGAGACCCAUAUACAGGCUUGCAAUAGGAUAAGACAUAAUGAAUUUAUAUAAUCUUCUAGAUAGUCAAUAUCCUAAUUAAAUCUCUAAUUAAUAUACAUCAAAAUCAAGAAGACAUUUAUAACUACCACUAAACAACAAACAACCAAAAACUCACUCCAACACUCCCCUCUAACUUAGUGCAUGGAUAUUAUACAUGUCCAACUUGAAAAGUCAAUUAUAGAAGCUUUUAGUCAACACAGUUUUCAUGAGUACAUUGGCCAACUGAUCUUCAAACUUCACGUAUGGGAACCAUGUCACUUUUUGUUCAAGGUUUGGUUUGAUAAAAUGCUUAUCCACUUCAAUGUGUUUAGUGCGAUCAUGUUGAACUAGAUUAUGAUUGAUAUUGGUAGUGACUCUAUUAUUACAAAACAGAUACAUUUUUAACUUUGAAGCAAAAUUGAUAUUGGUCAUCAGUCUCUUAAACCAUAGAAGUUCGCAUAUAUCCUUAGCCAUUCCUCUAAACUUGGCCUCCGCACUAGACAAUGCCACCACAUUCUGUAUCUUACUCCUUCAAAUAACUAAAUUACCACAGACAAAGAUGAAGUAACCAAAAGUCAAUUUUUUUAUAGGUAGCGUCUCUCACCUAGCUGGCAUCAGUGUAACUAUCAAUAUUGAGGUGGUUGUUCUUGGAAAAUAAAAGCAUUUCUUAGAUAAACACUUCAAAUAUUGAAGGAUCCAUAUCACAGCUUUCAUAUGCUGAUUAUUCGGAGAAUGCAUAAAUCGGCUGACAACACUAAUUGCAUAUGUUAUAUCAAGACGACUAUCGAGCAGAUAGAUUAGGUUAUCAACCAACCUCUGAUAUCUUUCUCUAUUAGUCAGUUUCUGAUUUGGAAAUUCCUCAAGUCUGUGGUUCUGAAUAAUCGCUGCGUCAGCAAGUUUACAGUCCAACAACCCAAUUUCUACCAAGAUAUCGAGUACAUACUUCCGUUCAGAUAGAAAGAUUUCAUGUACCGGCCUUCCCACUUCAAUUCCCAAGAACUAUUUGAGACUUCCUAAGUUAUUCAUCUCAAAUUCAGCUACCAAUCAAUCUUAUAACUUAGAAAUCUCCUCUUCGUUAUCAACUGUGAUAAUUAUGUCAUCGACAAAGAUUAUCAGAUCAUCUACAUUUCCAAGCUAAUAUUUCAAGAAUAAAGUAUGAUCCACAUUGCUUUGUCAAUAACCAUACUUCUUUAUAACCAAGAUAAAUCGAUCAAACUAAACAUGGGGUAACUAUUUCAAUCCAUAAAGAGCUUUCUGCAAUCGACAGAUGAUAUUUGUCUUUGGAACUACAGAAUAUCCAAAUAGAAUAUCCAUGUACAUGUACGUGAUUAAAAUUUCAAGUCUGCAAAACGACGAGAAAGAAAUACACGACAAAUAUGUAAUAUAUAAAUUUAAGAAAAUAUGUGAGUACAAUCUCUGAAAUUUUCUCAAACUUAUAGAGAGUUUCCUUCGAUUCUUCUCCUCGAACGCCAAUCCAAGGGUUUUACAGCUUGUUCUUGGAUCAACCACCGAUUGUUUCAAAUCUUGAUAUGGAAGAUUUGAAGAACUUCAAAAAAUUUGAAGGCUCAGUCCUUGAUAUGCGGAAGACUUGAAGAGCUUGAAGACCCAGACCUUCGUAACUUGAAGCUUCAAUACUUGAGUGUAUGAGAUGCCGCUUGAUGUCCUUAUGUAUCCUUGAUUUGGUUGAGAGACCCCUAUUUAUAGUUGUAGCAAGAGGUAGAGGUUGAAAACCUAUGUACCACUUUACUUGUCUUGCAAGACGUGCAGUCAUAUUAGGACUGUGCCAGUCAAAUAUUAUCUCUUCAUUUUAUAUUUAUCAAUAAAGAGAUAAGUAAUUCCUCGAUUGGCCAAACUCGUGGGGACACGUGACGUGGCGCCGUUUGACUGGACGAGUUAUUGCAGUAUAUAAGAAAUAUACAUGGACUAAACAACUCUAAAUAUUAUCUCUUUAAUAAGAAAUAAAUAUUUAGAUAUUUAUCCAAUAGACAUGUGAUAUGAUAUGAUUUGGUUGGUGGAGAUAUACCUGCAAUUUGAAUUGAUUUGGAACACCUCACCUUGACACGUGGCAAAAUAUAAUUGGCCAUUUAAUAACCAAUUUUUUUCAAGUGUACAUGCCAUAUGGCAAUAUCCAAUUGGAUAAAAAUAAGCUAUAAAAAUACUUUAUAGACCAAUGAUAAUUUUUGAAAUUUAAUUAAAAUUUCAUUGUUUACAAAUGCCCUUCAAAACUUGUUUGCGAAGAGUACAACUUGAACGGACAAGUUUUGACUUUCUUUAAUUUGCUUAAGUUCCUUUCUUGCCAAAUUGGACUUCGAAACUUUGUGAAUCAAGUCACCUAAGUAGGAAGCCAGCCGUACAAAGACUUCAAUGACCAAAUAGGCACAUAAGUGAUUAAUCAAACUUCAUGGAAUUUAAUCUCGUAAGUGAUUAAUCAAGCACUAGUGCACCUUACAUGCAAAACACCUUUUCAUUGGCCUAGGAAGUUUCCAACUCCAAUUAUAAGACAAGUGCAUUGUUCCUUGAUCAAUCAUGAAUUCCACCGCUUCACAAGAUUCAAGGUCCGAACCAGUCAGCUUCUUGUCGAAAUCCUAGGAUUUGUAUCCUUGAUGAACUUAAACAUUUGAGUUCCUUUUUUUUUUCCUUCUUUUUUGUGAUAAAGGCAAAACUUGAAGAGUAACCCAACACAAUUCUUCAAGGAAUUAAUCAGCCUAUAGAAGUUGGUUGCGAAAAUAAUUCCUUCCAAGGCCAACAUGAAUUGAAACUUUGUCCUUUAUCAUCAUAUAGAAGAGAAAAAAAAACUAGCAAGCUCUCAAGGCCGAAUUCCAAGUAGUAUUUGAUGUUGAUGAUUACUAGGAAAGUCCAUCGGCUAGAUUCCAUGUAGUAUUCCUUUUGUUAGUCUAUCAUACGCACAAGACUCCUUGUCCUUUAUGAAUUCAAUCAAAUUCAGCCUCCGAGAACUUGGGGAAAUAUUUCGGUGAUGACUCAUACAGGUAAGAGGUCAACUUCCAAUUGUAAAAGAAGAUCAAUCCCCCAAGCCUAUUAACUAAAUUUUCGUGGGAAAGGAGAUCUACUUGAACUCAAAUUAGACCAUUAUUCAAACCUGAACUCUUCUUGAAUGUGCGGUGGGCAUCUAUUAUAAAUACUUAGGACCGAGAGCUUACUUUCAAUCAAAAAGAAGAGCAAACCCUCUCUUCUCUUUUUUUUUCCUUCAUACUGGUACCAUCAAGCAACUGCCCUUUGAACUUUGUAGACCGCUCCCCUUGUGUAGUCUUCGAAUUGUUAUGCCAUCGGACGUGAGUCGUUGCAGAGUUUAGCUGUUGCUACCACUACAGUUUGGCCAGCAAGAGUUGCCGCUACUUUGUUUGUUCACUGUUGCUGUUUUUUCGCUGCUCAUAACUCGAAAACUGCUGUCCGGAAUCGCUACGGUCACUAGAGCUAGCGUUUAUCGCUACUAGUGUAGAAUUCUCGUUGCUGAUAUCGCGUCAAUUUAGGUGAUUAUCCCCAACCUUCGUUCACCUUUCAUACAUAUUUAUAUUUUUAAUAUAGUAGUCACUUUACAUGUAAGAUAUGGAAGCUUUUGUACCCUUGAUUUGCAUGCAUGUUUUAAAUUAUUUCGGCACUUGCAUGUGACUACUACUUGCAGUUUUGCAUAUCAAUCUGCCAUGGCUUGAACUUGGAAAAUUGAACCAUCAACUUAUUAUAAAAUGACAUGAUUGCCUGGUCUUGUAGCUGGUGCAAAAUUAAUAUAUGAAUCCUUACAUGUUUCAAUUACAAAUAUCUCCAUCAAGUUGUAUCCAUAUCUCAGCACUUCAUGAUCGUUUGACAUAACGAGGUGGCCUUUAAAGUUUCACCAUGAAACUGAUUAAUAUAUUAGCCACCAUAAUUACAUUCAUGACUCACUACAAUUGAGAUCCCGCCGAUUCAUAUUGCUGACCUUCUUGACAUCUGAAGCCUAUUAUGCAAACAUAACUUGAUAUUUGAUUGACUUGUCCAAAUUGUAACCUCUUUAUCCAUUAUUUGCGGACAUCCCAUCUCACUUUUACUUUUUAUUGUCAGGUUUAACUUCAAUAGGAACUCAGUAUUCCGCUCAAGGAAUUAGAAAUUCAGCCGCAAGGUGGCUUGAUUGCCCAAGUUUCAUAAAAAAAAAAAUUUUUCUUUUCUCUUUUUUUUUGUUGUGUUUUUUUUUUACCAACUCAACCCCCUUUUUCCUUCGAAUUUCAGCAACCAUGCAAAUUAAAGACUAUACCACGCCGUUGCCCCAUAUCUCAUUGACGAAUGAGAGGGGAGGGUCUCAAUCGAAAAAUUUGUCAAUAUAUGUGAACAAACCAGCAAUUGGCAUCCUUGCUGAGCUUUUUAUACCUCUUGAAGGAUGCUUUCAUCUCGAGGGUUGGACUAGCAAGUAGACUAAGGAAGUGGUGGCACCGUCGACUUUCUCCACUACAUCGAGGGAAGAAGAAGUGGUCGUAUUAAACUCGUCACUUCACAAUGGAGAUUCAAAUAUAGCCAAAUUCACGCUUCCGUUCGUGGGAUUCAAUAUUGACAAAACUACAUGGAAGAUCCUUUCGUCCUUCUUUGGCGAGGCGUGCUUUACUUCUCAUUAUUAGGAAUAGGUCGAGGACAUCCUCGGAAGGUAUAAAAAAGUGCUCACCCGUGUUGGCAUAUUUGAAGCUGUCUACACGUCGCGAUACUCCUAGGACCGCUGUGAAAAUAUCUUGUGAGCUUUCUUCAAAUAUUGGUGUCCCUCGACAAAUGCAUUUUAUACGCUCAUCAGGGAGUUGUCCAUCACACUUUAGGAUCUUUAUCGACUUGAUGGCCUUUCGAUCGUUGGCUCGUUCUUUGAUGAAGUUGUUCCUUUGGCGCAGGAGCUUCUCACUCGUGACAAAGAAGGGAAGCCACUUCUCCCUGAUAAUUGCAGGCACCUCUUUUCCGCUUACUAUCACCUUUGGACGAAUGACCAAGGGGUGUGGAUGAAGGACUAGAUUCGCUUCUGGUUCAAAUGAGAGGCUAGGUAUAGGGCUCCUCCGAGUAGGGCGAAUAGAAGAAAGAUCACAUCUAAACCGAAAAUGACUUAUAACCCUUCUGGAAGCGUAGAGCCACACGGCCUUGCUAAUACGAAGGACUUCAACGUCCCUUUCGACACACUGGAUAUCCCAGGGUCUUUAAGAAAGGAAACCUAUAUGGCGGCAUUCAUAGCGUAUUGGAUUUGCAAGUUCCUUUUGCCAAACAAAAAGGUCGAUCGUAUUCGCCCAAGUGUCUUCAAGGUUGCAUGCUUAAUGGCCACAUGGAAAAGAUUUUACCUUGCAAUUCCCGUUCUUGUGAGCAUAUAUCAUGGGUUGAGGGAGAUCGUCCACACCCCUAACCUUAGAGAAUGUGGGGUAACUUUUCCAAUCCAUUACGUCUAUACUUGGAUUGGCCAAUAUUUCGAUAUAUAUUAUGAAAACAAUCAAGUAAGUAGCCACCAUGCGCGCAUGACAAGAUUUAAUUGUGAGAAAAUGGCAAUAUUUUAUGGCCGAUCAGAAGCUGAGGAAAUCUUCAAAGAAGUGAAUCCUUUGAUGCUUCCUAAAUUGUGUUGGACUGAGAAUGAAGAAAAGGCGUUAAUCGAUGAUGGAUCCUUAUUAUCAAGACUCACGAGUUACUUCAUUAGUCAACGCUCUUGCCAUUUAACUCUACGUAAGGACAAUACUUUCAUUAUCAAAAAAUAUAAUCCUUGCAGGUUUAGCAGACAAUUCAGCUUCUGUCAGGAUAUUCCCAACAACUUGAAAGAGAUUACUCAUACUUAUACUUUGGGUGAGGCUAUUCAACUAUGGGAUUCCUCAGUUCGCACGCAGACGCGAUCUCGGAUGACUAUACCCACGCACAGGAAGCAUCCAUUGAUCACAAAAGACUAUGACGCCUGGUGGUCGACUCGGUCAAAUAGUGUCUCUUCAACUUCCUUUAAAUUCACCGUUAAGAUCCCUCAGCAAUCAUCGAAAAAGGGUAAGGUUAUCUUCGCCAACGAGUCAGUGCAUCAUAAUGGAGCUAUAGAGAUUAUAACGGGUCUUACCUCAUCCACCUUGCGAAAGGACAAAAUUAUUAGCAGUCUCUCGAAAAACAUUGUCACAAAAAAUAAGUCUUCCAAGGACUCUCGACAGGCCAUCAAAGAGGCGCAACCAGUGAAUCCAGCAAAGAAAACGCCGUCCAAAAUUUUAAAAUCCUUAUCGGUAACUCGCACAGAAGAAGAUGUCGAAAUUGAAACGGUGGACGACCGUUAUUCUAUCAAGGCUAUAGUAAAGGAAGGGACUCAAGUUCAGGGCAUCGGAUCUACCCAAGGAGGAGCCCAUUUGUUGGAGAGCAGUAGUAGUAGUCAAGACCGUCACUGGAACUGAUCAAAGAAGAGGACAUCUUCUGCUUUGGAGGAGGUUUCCUUACACCACUGUCGGUUGGAGUGUCGCCACUUAAGGUAAUCAUCUCUCCUUCUUUUUCUUUUUUUUUUUGUAACCUUUUUUUUUAUCCCUUUUUUCCCCCUCUCGUAACACUUUUUUUUCAUCCCCCAUUUCUUGAAUUCCACCAAGAAAAUAUUGGUACCAACUCACCAAUUGAACUUGAAACUGGUGCUAUAAUUUCAAACAAGAAAAGUGACGAAAUCGUUAUCCGCAUUCCAAAAUAACUUGCCCCCAGUGGAGGUACCUCGUUAAUGCAUAAGAAGGAGCUGACUAGUUUGCACGAAAUCCGAAAAAGACCUAAGGUAACAUUGGUUUCAGAAUUUCAUGACCAAAAGUUGAUCCAGGCGCAUCGAAGAAAGUACUUGCAGAGUUUGUGGAUGGAUUUUCGCGGGCAGAUUCUUGACACUCCUAUUGAGCAGAUCUCUUCUUUAAAAGAGUGCGCAGAGGAAAUCAUUGUGAAAAUCACAAGAACGGAUCCUACUAAUAGUCUCCCUUUAAAGGACUUCUUGAUAGAAUUGUUUGUUAAGGCGGAGGCAUAUGAUAUUUUUGCAUCUUUGUCAUGGGAAAAGAUGAGUAAAGAAACACAUGCAGAACUCCUUUCCAAAGUGACCGCCCAACUCGGGAGAGUUAAGGCAAAUGAAGAAGAACUAACUCGUCAUCUACAAAGUUUUGAAAAAAAGUUGCAGUCUAUUGAAGACAGGAAGGAAGUUCUGCAACAGGAACUUAUCAAUUUAGAGAAACAAGGUUUGAAAAUCAGCUCAACUAUCGAUCAAAAGUAUUAAACUUUCAAAAAGAUCCAAACUGAAAUAACCCGGACACAUGAUAAGCUUUCUUCUAUUGAAAGUACCAGCAUCUUGACUGAUGACGCGAUGAAAGAACUUGAAGACAUGAAGUCUGCACUUGAAUCAUGCAAAAUAGUUGUAGUGGAUUACAAAUUUGACAUUUAAACUUUUCACCAUAUCUUUUUUCUGAAUUUUUUUUCUUUUCUUUUUUUUCCUCCUGUAAUGAAUUUUUUGUUUUAUGAAUAAUAAAAUGCUUUUCAUUUCUUAUCUCUAUAUAUUUUUUUCUAAGAGAAAAGAACUUUUAAAUUUAGCAUUUUAUUUCAAAGAAAAAGAGAUGAUUUUUUUUUUUUUUUGCAAAGAAAGAGGGUUUGAUUUAGGAGGUGUAACUGAACUUAGAAGUUACCCUCCAAACUGCCUACGUAUCCCAACAAGGGAAUCUAGUCACACGUAGCUCCUGCCAUUCACAUUUUAAACUCAUGCGGGUCAGGAGUAUCUAUUUGUUUACCACCUUAGACUUGGUGGAGUGUUUUAACAGUUUAACCACAUACUACACUAUUGGUGGUUGCCAUCCACAGUUUUAGCUCAUGCGGACUAGGAGCAUCGCGCGGUUCCGAUUACUCAUAGUACUUUUUUAGGUACUUGCCAUUGAUGAGGCUAACCCUUAAUCCAUCCUCAGCAACCAACUUGUAUGAGCCAUUUGUAUACACUUCUCGAACAACAUAUGGACCAUCCCACUUAGGAGUAAACUUUCUUUGUCCGUCAUGAGUGAGAAUGAUCGGUCUCUGAACAGCGAGUACUAACUCUCCAAUCUGGAAAGAACAUGGCUGGACAUGCUUAUUGAAUACUUUUGAAAGGCGGGCUUGAUAGCACUCAAUUCAUUGUUGAGUUUUCAAUCUCUUUUCGUCGAGUGUUUCUAACUCUGUAAGGCGAAAACGAACAUUAUCUUCUUCACUAAACCCUUCUUGAAUCGCAAUUCUUAGCGAAGGUAUUUGACACUCAAGUAGAAGAACAGCUUCAACACCAUAAACAAGCGUGUAUGGGGUCGCUUGCGUGGGAGUUCGAAAAGUAGUUCGGUAUGGCCAAAGUACUUCUUCAAUUCAAAGAUACCAAUUCCUUUUUGAUUUAUCCAUGAUUUUCUUCAACAAAUUACAUAAGGUCUUGUUGAACGCUUCAGCGAGUCCAUUUGCGGCAGCUUAGUACAUGGACGAAUUGUAUUGUUUGAAAUGAAAUUUUUCGCAAAGCUUGUUCAUUGCUACAUUGCAAAAAGGCUUACCAUUAUCGAUGAUGAUAUAACGCGGGACUCCAUAUCGGUAAAUGAUAUGCGAGCGAAUGAAAUCUACUACAUUCUCCUUUUUGACCUCUCUUAGAGGAACCGUUUCGGCCCACUUUGAGAAAUAAUCCGUUGCCAUCAAAAUGAAAAUGUGUCAUCCAGAAGAUUUUGGGAGCGGUCCAACUAUAUCCAAACUCCAAGCAUCUAACGGCCAAGAAGCCACAGUUGGAUGCAAUGGUUCAGGAGGUUGACGGAUGAAAUUGUCAUGGAAUUGACAAGCUUGACAUCUUCUAGAAAAAUCGAUACAGUCUUUUACCAUCGUUGGCCAAUAGUAUCCCAUUCUCUCAAUGCAGAAGUGUAAUUUUGGGCCAAAUUGGUGAGCACCACAUAUCCCAGAUUGAGCCUCCUCCAUUGCUUGCAUGGUCUCAUCUUCUCCAAGACAUUGUAGAAACACCCCAUCCAACGAUUUUCGGUAAAGCAUCCAUUUGUAGUAAACAAAAUGUGGCGCUCGACGACGUAUAUCAACCAUUUUCUUAGGAUCUUCUGAUAACUUCCCAUGAUUAAGGUAAUCAAUGAUGAGGUAACGUCAAUCCUCCUUUUCGAUCUCAUGAACAAAAAUAUGAUAAGCAUUUUCUUCCUCACCAUCAUCUUCUUCAUCAAACAUCAGAGGUAUGACCCAAUUUUGACAUAUUGAAAUUUGAUUUCGAUGAGAAGGUAGAGUGAUCAUGGACGCCAACCUUGCCAAAGAGUCAGCUUGUUGGUUGAAAUAUUCAAGAAUAUGUUCUAUAGUGACAUUAUCUAUAUAUCCUAUGAGUUGUCUUGCAUAUUUAUAAUAUGGGAACAAUUCAGGCUUUUUGACAUUAUAAAUACCAAGAAGUUGAUUUACCACUAAUUUGGAAUCGCCAUAGACUCUAAAAUGCAACUGCUUCAUGUCUACGUCCGUUUCUAGACGGAGAAUCAAUUCCUAAUAUUCGGCCAUAUUGUUUGAACAUCGACGUGUUAAAAUAAAAGAGUAUGACAAUAUAUCUAAUUCAGGAGUAUAAAAGAUAACUCCUGCACCAGCUCCGUCACGGUGCGCGGCUCCAUCGAAAUACAUCAAUCACGGGGAUUCGACCAUAAACACUUCUUCACGGGAAGUUCAUCAGUCAACUCCCACUCGGCAGGUAUGGGAUGAUCGGCUAAAAAGUCUGCCAAUAUUUGUCCUUUGACAGCCUUCGCAGGUACAUAAAUAAUUUCAAAUUGUUGAAACUGAAGGUACCAUUUCGCGAGUCGAUCAGACAGUACAGGUUUUGCCAUGACAUAUUUAAUGGGAUUAGACUUACAUAUGAGUCGAAUAGUGUGUAUUUGAAAAUAAUGUUUAAUCUUCUGAAUGACAAAUAUAAGUGUCAAACACAACUUCUCGAUGGGUGAGUAAUUCAACUUAUUAGAUGUCAUCAUCUGACUCAAGUAAUACAGCGCAUUCUCCUUACCUUCAUCAUUUUCUUGAGCAAGUAAGGCCCCAACCGACAGUUCUUGAUUGAAAAUAUAGAGAAUCAAUGGUUUUCCUGGGAUGGGUGCAGCCAACGCUGGGGGAUUCAUGAGGUACGUUUUGAUGCUUGUAAAAAUAUUCCUAUACGAUUUAUCUCACUCUGAAGGGCACCCAUUUCUUCAUCAGUCGAUUGAAGGGUUGGCAUCGUCCGGCCAAAUUAGAGAUAAACCUUCGGAUAUAAGCCAACUUCCCUUGAAGACUCUUCAAUUCAUGAAUAUUUUGCGGUUCAGACAUGUUCACAAUGACAUCAAUUUUAGAUCGAUUGACCUCUAUCCCCCGUUGAUGAACGAUGAAAUCGAGAAAUUUGCCAGAAGUAACUCCGAAUGCGCACUACAAAGGAUUCAUCUUUAGUUGGUAUCUCCGAAAGCGUUGAAAAACUCUUUGAAGAUCUUGAAUAUGAUUCUCUUGCUUCUUUGAUUUCACCACAAGGUCAUCAACGUAGUAUUCCACAUUUCUAUGGAGCAUAUCAUCGAAAAUAUUUUGCAUUUCCCUUUGAUAUGUCGCUCCAGCAUUUUUCAAGCCAAACGGCGUUACUUUAUAGUAAUAAAUUCCCUUGGGGGUGCGGAAGGCAGUGAGCUCCUCAUCCUCGGGUGCCAUGCGUAUUUGAUUGUAGCCAGACAAUCUGUGGAGCAUAUCAUCGAAAAUGCUUUGCAUUUCCCUUUGAUAUGUCGCUCCAGCGUUUUUCAAGCCAAACGGCAUUACUUUAUAGUAAUAAAUUCCCUUAGGGGUGCGGAAGGUAGUGAAUUCCUCAUUCUCGGGCGUCAUGCGUAUUUGAUUAUAACCAGACAAUCCAUCGAGAAAAGAUAGUACUUCAUACCCGGUUGUAGUAUCUACAGUCAAUUCUGUGAUGCGGAACGAAAAAUCAUCUUUGGGGUAAGGCUCAUUUAAGUCUUGAAAGUCAACAUAAAUUCGGAUUUGCCCGAUCUUCUUCCUUACAGGGACGAUGCUUGAAAUCCAUGUUGGAUAUUUUAUUUCUUGUAUGAAUCUAGUUUCAAUGAAUCUAUUUAUCUCAUUUUCUAUCAAAAAAAUCAAUUCGGGUCGAAAACGUCUCUGAGUUUGCUUGACGGGUUUUAUGCCUCGCUUGAUCGACAAGUUAUGAACAGCGACUCUUGGAUUCAAACCAGGCAUUUCUGAGUAAUUCCAGGCAAAGACAUCCUUGAACUCGAGCAGUAAAUCAACAUACUCUUUCUCUUCUUCAGGAGUCAUACAAGAACUUAUGUAAAUUGGGCGAGAGUCAUCACUUGUGCCAAGAUUAAUCUCUUUUAGCGCAUCGACUGUAUUUUUUACUCCUUGUUCAAAUUCUGCGGGAGCGUCAUCUGCAUAUUCUUCUUCUUCUUCUUCAGGAUCACUGAUCGUAAUAUGAUGGCAAGAAUCAAUACUUUCUUGACCCUGUUCUUCAAGGAUGGUUUCGAUCCUUACGUUAAACAAGUCUCCAUAAUGCAUAAAGAAAUUGGAAACUCGUUUCCUAGUACCAUUCUUCUUUAUUGGAGUAAGAUUUUUUUCCUUGACAACUUGGUACCCUUGUUUUUUACUGUCCAAUUUCUCAUAGACGGGCGGUUUCAAAUUUUUCGGCUGCUUGCCAAGUCUGUCAAACACAGAAAUACGCUUUGACUUAUUUCCCAAACUAUCGAAUACAGAUCACUUUCGGCUUAUGACCUCCAUUUAUUCGUUCACACAGUUACAACUCGCCCUUUUGAUCAUUAUACGAACAGGAGAAGGCGGUUGAUAACCAAGACCCAUCGAUGAACUUUCAACAUUAUAGCCUCUUUCUUUCAAUAUUUUAUGCGUAGGUGUCAAUCCGUGAGUCUUCUCUCCAGUCAUUUUAGGAGGGAGUUUGCCCAAUGCAUUCUUCUCAUUUGGGUUAUAACCUGCCUUAACAAGAAGUCUAUAUGCGUUUGGAUCAAAACCAUCUUGAGUCCGAUUAGUUGGUAGUGAGUAAUGUUUCACUGCCGAUUUUUCUUUGGGACGGACAAACCCUUGCAAGCUCGCUUUCUCACUUUUAACAGGUUCUAUUUUGGUGAGCGGAACAUUUUAAUAUGUCAUUCCUGAUAAAAGAAAACUGACCUUCUUCUCUCUUUGAUCUUGAAAUAUAACACAAAAUGGGUACUUUGGAAUCUUAAAUUUCUUCCCUUGCUGAUUCUUUUCUUUUUGCUUCUUUUUGAAGGUAAAAUUUUGCGUCGGCAAAGGGAGUCUCGGCUUUCAUGAAAGGUUUAUCAUUGGUAGUAACUUUUCUAACUAUACCGUCUCGACAAUAUUUGAAAUAUUGAUAAAGAGUAGACGGUAUAAUUUCAUUCUCAUGAAUCCAGAGUCUUCCCAGGUGCAUGCUAUAAGAAGUUCUGGCGUCAAUAAUAUGAAAUAACGCACUCAAAGACAACUCACCAAUGAGCAAUUCAAACCUUAUGAGGCCAAUUGCUCUUUGCCCCACUUGAUUGAAUCCUUGGAUCAUGAGACAGCUCUGGGAGAGUUCAUCGCUUGAUAUUUCUUGUUCUUUCAUAGCACGUACGGACAUGAUAUUGACAGCAGAUCCCCCAUAAAUGAGUAUCCGAUUCAUCUUCUGUUCUCGAACAUAUGCACUAACAAAUAAAGGUCGAUUGUGAGUUUUGAACUCAACAGUUAAAUCGUCAUCAUAAAAAAUGAUAGUCGUUGCACAAUCCACUGGUAGUUUAUCAUCGAUUUUGAGUUUUUUCUCAAAUUCAGUGCCAAUUUGUGUGACUUGAUGAUUUUCAACUUUGACGACAUUACAAGAAGUGAAAUUAUCAGUAUCGUCACUUAAAUACCCCUUGGGUAUAAAUUCUCUCAGUAUCACGGACUGUCGAACCUCUUGAAGGAGUUGAAAAUUUGAAGGACUUUGUGUUGUGGCCACUCCCUUUUGUUUCUUUGUUGCAUAUUGUUGUUUCAUUAUCACUUUAGCCUUUAUCAAACGCAUGCUUUUCGGAAAGAUGUAUUUCUUUAUCUUUGGCUUGCAAGUCCUUUUUCGAGUGACUAAAGUCCAUCCCUCGUUGUCAUCUUCAAUACUGUCUUCAAUUGAUGAUUUUUUAAACUCCUUAGACAAGGCACUGCUUUAUAUGGAUAAAACUUCUAUCGGGCAACACAUAGACCCAAACAUUAUUGUUGUUUGGUUUGCCGAUACUUUAUCCUCUUCAAGAAGGAUUUUUCCUUGACGGGCUAAUUUCAUAAUUUUGUCCUUAAAGGCAAAGCAUUUAGUGAGAGGGUGGCCAAUCAAGCGGUGAUAACAGCAAUAAUUUGGAUCAUUGACUUGAUCGACUUCCUCUGGGCGCUUCAUGUCAGGAAGUUCAAGGAGUUUCUUCUUGAAAAUAUCAUCAAACAUUUCCUUGUAAAUCGGAUUCAAGGAAGGGGUAUUCCUUUUCUUGCAUUUAUUUUAGAGUGGGUCUUCUUAUCGACCUAUUUUGAGGGGAGUCUACCUUUUCGGUGACCUUUCGGCUCACCUUGGUAGCAAUCUUCAUGGGAACUGUGUUUAUUGUCAUGGACUCCUUAUUACUGAAUCUUGAAGGAGGCUUGCCCCCUUUUUUAUUUUCUUGCCUUUCAUUGCUUUGACGAAGCAGCUGCACUCGCGGAGCUUGAAUAGAAGGCCCAUCAGUUGCAUUGGCCGUGAUGCUUAACUCCAUAUCAUGAGCACGAGUAGCUAAUUCUUCAAAUGUGUUUCGACGUAUACCCUAUAGAAUGUAGCUCAGACUCCAAUGCAUUCCCCGAAUGCACAUUUCUAUAGUAGAGGGUUCAGACAGUCUGUCCUUGCAGUUGAGAUUCAGACUUCUCCACCUAUCAAUGUAGUUGACCACAGGUUCAUCCUUCCAUUGACGAGUGUUAGUCAAUUCCAGCAUACUAACGGUUCUUCUAGUGCUGUUGAAGCGAUUCAAGAACUCUUGUUCCAGCUGUUCCCAACUGUCGAUGGACCCCGGAGUGAGAUCAGUAUUCCAAUCAAACGCGUUGCCCUUCAAGGAUCGGACGAACUGUUUGACUAGCAGGUCACCAUAGGUUCCAACAUUAUUGCAGGUUUCGACAAAAUGGGCCACAUGUUGUUUUGGACUACCUUUCCCAUCGAACUGUUAAAAUUGAGACGGUUGAUAUCCAGCAGGCAUUGCUAGGUUGUCAAUUCUAGUAGUGUAAGGCUUGCAGUAGGUAAAGCUUGACUUUGAACCACUCUCCUUUUUAUCUUUAAUCACACUUUCAACAAGUUCCUUCAGUUGUUCCAUGGGAAUAGUUCCAUUGGCGGUCAUAUAUACUUCAUUCACCUUGUCUUUGCCUUUAGAUGAGGGAAUUUCACGCUCUUGGUGCUCCUUAGGGUUCGCAUGGCUUUCUUCAGGAGCGUAAUCUUUUUGGGUGAGCAGUUGAGCAUCAUGGUCUCCAUCAUCUUGGUCAUGUUCGAAAUUUGUUCUUCGAGACUUAAAGUAUUUGUCAUCAUAGCAGACGAAGUAGCAGAAUCUUCAAUAGAAAAUCUUGAACGAAGAGUUUUAUGUGAAGAGGCUGAUCCAGUGCUUGAUGAAUUAUCAUCAUGCUUAGAAAACUUGGAUUCGGAUACAAAUUCGAGCAUAGCAAGAGCCUUCUCAAUCGAGAUAGGAACGUCUUGGAUCCCCAUCGUGGAAGAAUAGCUCAUUGGUGAUGUUGAACCGAAGACGGAAGUUGGUGCCGAUGGAACUUCGAUGCUACUUUGGGUGGAAGUUCUUGUCAUACUCAUUGUCACAAGACCAAUAGCGCGAGUAUUGGUGGCAACAUGUGCAGUUUCUUGAACAGGUUUGACAUUAACAGUUUUGGAACGAUCAGUCAUGGACUUGUUAUUUUUUGGUGCCAUUGGUGAUAUAUGUAGUUGAAUAUUCGAGGAGAAGAGAUGGAAGGCAGAGAUGGUCCCACUGGGCAUGCCAAAAAUUUGUACACGAUUAAAAUUUCAAGUCUGCAAAACGACAAGAGAAAGAAAUACACGACAAAUAUAUAAUAUAUAAAUUUAAGAAAAAAUGUGGGUACAAUCUCUGGAAUUUUCUCGAACUUAUAGAGAGUUUCCUUCAAUUCUUCUCCUCGAAUGCCAAUCCAAGGGUUUCGCAGCUUGUUCUUGGAUCAACCACCGAUUCUUUCAAAUCUUGAUGUGGAAGACUUGAAAAACUUGAAAAUAUUCGAAGGCUCAAGCCUUGAUAUGCGAAAGACUUGAAGAGUUUGAAGACCCAGAUCUUCGUAGCUUGAAUCUUCAAUACUUGAGUGUAUGAGAUGCCGCUUGAUGUCUCUGUGUAUCCUUGAUUUGGUUGAGGGACCCCUAUUUAUAGUUGUAGCAAGAGGUAGAGGUUGAAGACCUAUGUACCACUUUACUUGUCUUGCAAGACAUGCAGUCAUAUUAGAACUGUGCCAAUCAAAUAUUAUCUCUCCAUUUUAUAUUUAUCAAUAAAGAAAUAAGUAAUUUCUCGAUUGGCCAAACUCGUGGGGACACUUGACGUGGCGCCGUUUGACUGGACGAGCUAUUGCAGUAUAUAAGAAAUAUACAUGGACUAAACAAUUCUAAAUAUUAUCUCUUUAAUAAGAAAUAAAUAUUUAGGUAUUUAUCCAAUAGACAUGUGAUAUGAUAUGAUUUGAUUGGUGGAGAUAUCCCUACAAUUUGAAUUGAUUUGGAACACCUCACCGUGACACGUGGUAAAAUAUAAUUGGCCAUUUAAUAACCAAUUUUUUCAAGUGUACAUGUCAUAUGGCAAUAUCCAAUUGGAUAAAAAUAAGCCAUAAAAAUACUUUAUAGACCAAUGGUAAUUUUUGAAAUUUAAUUAAAAUUUCAUUGUUCACAAUACACUACAACAAAAAUGGGCUUUAAUGACAUUUAAAAGUGUCAGUAUAGAUAAUCUAACCUGAUAUUUUGUCUUUCCUUACACCUUAGACAAGUGUCGUCCCUUCCAAUGCAGGGAUAGACUCAUAGCAUUCAAAUGUGUCAGAAAAAUCAUGUUGUUACAUUAUCCCAUCUACCAACAAAAAUUCAUUUUUUUGACAAUUGAAAGUGUCAAGAUAGUUGUAGUACCAUAUUUGGAUAUCGAAUUCUAUGAAGGCAUCUUGACUUGUCUUAAUAUAUGGCUUUUAAGAACACUUAGUCAUGUCAUAAAACACUGCUUUGGACGACAUCACAUGUAUCAUUAGAUAUUGUUUUAGAAGCUGAGCUAUGCUGACACUUUUACUGCUAGAAGUCUUUUUUUCUUUUCUUUUUUUAAAUAAGAAGUAACCUGGUAGUACUCCUACUAUACAUUCCGUCAAUCAAAUACCCAAAGGACUUGUAAAAUUAUCCCAAAGAAUAGAAUGCACGUAGUAAUUUAAAAGCAAAAGUCAAUGCUCAAAUAUUAUUUGUUGAACUAAAAGUCAGUAACAAAUACUGACAUAGCUAAUCGAAAAAGUUGUUUAAAGUAGUGUAGCAAUGUUAGACAACACCACUAGUUAAAAUUAAAAUAAAAGAUUCUCCUAAUGUAAAACGUUGAAAGAACUUGCAAUAGCUUCCAAGCUUUCCAACCAAAUGAGAGCCUUCAGUCAUAACCAUGAAGACACCAUCAAUCUUCAGUUGGUACUACCUGUGCCUAAAGUAGUUUUGUAUAAGAAAUAGAUCUAACCAUAAAUAUUUUAGUUUGAGCAACAAGCAGAAAUGAAGCUUCAAAAACAAGAAUUUUCCCUUUGUUAACUAUUCGCAAAGCAUAAUGUAUAGUAUCGUUCAUUGGUAAUCAGCCCAAAACAGUCAUACAUACCACAAUAAUUUACUUGCAAAAAAUUUUGAUUUACCUUGAUCCCAUAUACUAGCUGAUUAUUUGUGAAGUUAGAAAGAUAACUACUUUGACAUUCCAUAGAAGGUGGGGAUCAUCAAAUCAUCAUAGCUAGCAAUAAAAUUCUAGAAAACCCAAUGAGUAAAUAAGUACAUAUAUUAUCAAAUGACAAAGCCAAGCAAUUGGUGCACCAAGUGCAUCUUGAAUUGUUUGUUGCAAAUCAUAUGGUCUAGUCCUAAUAAGUCACAAUUUUGUCAUUGAUUUUAUAAUUAAUUUUCCCUAUUAUCUUACUAAAUGUGGAUUAAUUGUCAGAUUCUACUCACUUUUGGAAAUGUGUAUUUAUUACAGGGAGUGGAAUACAAAUACCAUAAAAAGGUGCCAAUUUGACGGAAGAAGAGUUUUAGCAGCAGUUAACAUGGUGGAGAAUAAUUCAACUCUGCUUCCUUAUCCCAUAGGCAAAUGCGGCAUCUAGGGACACUUUUGAAAAAUUGGAACUUUUUCUUCUUUUGGUAGUUUCCGAAGAGAGAGGAGAUCGAGAAAAACUGGGAGUCUUCCUUUUUCCUCUGAAGAGCCGCAUAGUAGAAAUAGUAGGAAUUAGAUAGGAGAAAGGAUGGCAGACAAGUUGGACUACUUUAGAUUUUCUCUUGACUUUUCCUUUUUCGUCUUUUAUGGGGUCUAGGCCCUCGUAUGUCAGAGACAAGUAGAAAACAAUUAGUCAUUCUCUAUAGUUUCGCUUUUCUUCCUUAUUCCAACGAAUUGAAUCCUCUCAAUCGAAAACAAUGUCCGUGACUAUUAUUUCUGCAAUUUCACGUGGGAUUUUCUCCACAGAGAGGAACUAACUCUCUUCAUCUAGUCAAGGAACAACGAAGGUUUUGGUUCAUCUAAAAAUUGUGAGAUUGAAUUAAUUUUAUUUAUUUCUCUUAUUUAUUGGUAUUUGCAUAUUCUCUUAUUGUAGUGCUUAUGGUUGUUAAAUUAAUUGAUUAUCUUGGAUCCGGAUAUUGAAUUAAUUUAGUAACCUAUUGUCAAUUGGAGCAUUAAAUCCGUAAUUGUUUAAUUGCUCUGAAAUAGUGACAACUGGCAUGAUUGGAUUUGUGUCAGGGGAAUAUGCAGGCUAAUCUAAAAUAACCCUGGUAGUGUGUUAUUUGAUUAGAAUAGGGCACCUCUAAUACGUAAGGCAAUUGGAGAAUUAAAUCUUACGGACGUACCUAGGAUUAUUUCUCAAUUAGAGCAGUGAUUAACGGACAUACCUUAAUCACCAACACCAUAAGGAGGAGUUGAUUGUUAUCGCUUGUUUGACAGUUAUAACUUAUUUAUUAGUUGAUAAUUGGAAUUACCCUUGCAUCGAUGACCAAUUAGGUGAACCAUUGUUGAAGUUAUUUCUUGGCUAGAUCUUUAAUUAUUAUUAAUCUAAUUUUAGUAAAUUGUCAUUUAAUUUUUAGUUAGCUAUUUGUUUUUUUAUUCGAACUGUCUUAAUUUGCAUCUUUUAUACAAAAUCACCCCCUUGUUAUUUUGAAUUUCAAAAGAGAUAAAUACCCCCAAUCCCUGAGGAGACGGCCUUACUUGCCCUUUAUACAAAUCAAUAAUUCCUUGUGAAUAAGCAAUCCCAUGCUAGUAUAUCGGAUUAAGCAAACUCUUCGAAAAUUGGGUGAAUCAAAUAAUCCAUUGCACAUCCAGAGUCCCUACUCCAGUACUUAGAAUUGGGUUAUGAUUACUUUAAUUGGCAAAUAGGCUUAUUUUUAUUAUUGCACAGGCAUCGACAACCUGUCAAGUCCCUUUGCCAUGAUUUUUGUUGGGUCAAACAAAUUUUUCAGUGAAACCAUAUUUCCUACCUAGUAAAAGAUCCAACAAGUACAAGAAUCAAAGUCAUGCUCAAACUUUCGACCAUGUGUACUUUAAAAACUGAAGAGUAAAAUUCAGAUUAACCACUGAAAUCAAGGGAGCAAUUUUUUAAACAAUUUAGCCACUACAAUUAACUAUCUAAAUAUUUUAAUUCUUUUCUUUUAUUAUCCUGAUUGCUAGCCAAAUUCUAGACUAACCACCUAAAAGUUUAGAAGUUGUAAAGACUUACUCGAAUAGGUCGCAUUGGACUAUGGUUUGAAACAUUGUUAGACGAUGAUGAAUGAUAUCUCGGGCUGUCAACUGUAUCGUCCCUUCCAUAUUGAACUAAAACCAUUUUCUUCAAGUUGACAAUUUCCUCAUCUUAUCGCUGAAGCCUUUCCUCCAAACGAACCAAUGUUGAUUGUUGUUGAAUACUCAUACGAUAACAUGUGUUACGACUAGGAAUGUCUUCCCAUAAAUCCGUUGGAUUCACACCUUCGCUAAACAAGCGAACAUGACCAUGUUUGCCUUGCCCAACCACCUAGGCAGAUAUAUCAUUUCGACCAACUGGAUCUUGCGAAUCCGAUGGAAGCUGAUUUUUCAGCUCAUUCAUUUUGUGCUACAUAAUAAAGGAAAACACUUGUUAUUGCAAAUAUAAUGAAAACAAUGGUAGAAUUUAAAUGCUUGUGUUUCAAGGAUCCUUACCAAAUUCUCAGCAACUAUAGUACUUGAUAGAGUUCCAUCGUCAUGGGUAUAAAACUUAUUGAACAUUUCUACUCUAAUAGGAGGUCUUCCUAACUAUUUGGCCUAUAAGAAAUUUAAGUUUUUUAAUUAUAGUUUUAGCAUGUAGCAUAUAAUAAAAAAACAAAGCUAACAUAAUCAACCAUGUAUAAUUAAAAAAAAUAGCAACUAAAAAAGUCAGAGAUAUCGCCAUGUUAUUCCGAAGCUGAGCAAAUGACUUUUUUUCGGUUAUGUGGUUCAUCUUCUUCUCCCCUCUUGCUUUCUUGUUCCUCUCACUCAGUUUCUAAAAUUGAAAAUCAUAACCAAAAUUAUGCCAUUGAAUAAACACAACUUUAUUAAGAAUGUUGUAGCUGAUUUGUACCUUUGCUACUUCACUUUUCCAAUAAGUCCAAGUUUUAUCCAUUGCUCUUCCCGAACCCUUACAUCCUUUUGAAACCAAGCUUCAGCAAUUGGCAAGUUAGGAUCAAAAUAUGUAGCCUUUAAAUCUGACUUCCAGUUUCUCCAUUUUUUGCCAAUAGAUCUUGAGGUUCAAGCUUCUAGUCUCAUAGGUAAAAUAAACCUUUCCUAAAACAUAAUUAGAAACAAGAAAAUGAACAAUGUGCAUAGUAAAUUUUGAAGGUUAAAAACUAUUCUUGUUAUAGGCAUAAGUAUUGGCAUAGAGUAGUUUCUUUAGUACCCGUUUUACGGGGUGAGGGCCGAAGCGAGUGUAGAAAUGAAAUUCAAGAAUCAGGUGCAUAGCAUAUGGUGAUUAAGUAAUUUUGAAGCGUAGGAUGAUUAUAUCAGGUUGCUUUUCUUCUUGCUUCCAUGUCGGGUAAGCAACUUAGCAUCCCAUCAAAAAGAAUAAAGGGGUUGGAACAAUUCUUCUAAGGUUAGCUAGGCCCUCCCCUAUUCCCCUGCCUGCCCGCCCUGUUGUUACCUCAUUUCAUCUAUGCUGCCUUGUUGGAAUGGCCCAACUACUAUUCUGAAUUCAUCCAAAAUAUUAUACUACGAAGUUUUUUAGCGUUCUGGAACUUUGGAGGGGAAAAGAACUGAAUGAUCAAACUCCUAUUGGAGUUUUACCUAUUUGCUAAUUUUACCUAAUGUUGAAAAUUAAUUCAUUCAAAAUCUUUUUGAAUUAAGCAUAUUUGAUAAUAGAAUUGCUUAUCACUUAAAUGUAAGUAGUCCUUAAUUUGUCUUCAAAAUUUUAAGUGAAAUUUUUUAUUUCACUUAAUUUUCUAAACUGACCAAACAUGUUACUUUUCUUUCACACACAACACACUCUUAAUUGUGCUAUCACACAAAGUAUGCAUUUUUAUCGAAAAAAGGAAAAACAGGGGGACUUGACAUUUUAUCGAACAGGUUAUGGACAACAAAUCCGUAACAAAAUAGUCACAUGAAUCAAGUAGACAACCGAGGUGAAUACAACUGAACAAGAAGUGCACUCAAAUCAUAAACUAUUAUUGCAUCCAUUUCAAUUUCAAACAGACCGGACUAAUCUCAAAUGUAAUCAAUUUAGGGCAAACUUUGAAACUUAACCCUCCUAAUUCAACACAAUAUAGUACACAGCUUCAAGGAUAGCUAAUAAUGUCCAUUAUAUUCUUAGAAAAAAAAAGAACAACUUGAAAAACAAACAGCUUCUUUACGGUGAGAUUCAGCAAAAAUAUUAUCUAAUUAAUGACAAAAUUAAAAAAAUUUACCAUGCAAAUAAUGGGAAAGCAAGGGUAGUUUGUUUGCAGAGAGAUUCAGCAAAAACAAACUCCAAGUGUUUUGGCUGAGAGAUAAUUUGCCAAGAGAUAGUUUGCGGAGAGGUUGUUUCUUUGUGAGAGAGAUGAGAAGAAGCAAAAUUUCACUAGGUCUUUUGGCUGGUAAAAUGAAAGUUUUGAGUAUUUCACUAAGUGUUUUGGCAAAUGAAUCUUCCGCCAAAAAAGUACGAUGUCGUUUUGUGACUCUUUUUUUUUUGUAUAUCUCAUAUUUUCUCAAGUGUCAUGAUAGGCAGUUUAAAGGCACAUUAUUAUUUUUAUAUCAGAUAAAAUAAAAUAAAAUUAGAGUAUAUAUUAUUGAAUUGAUAACAAGUGUCAUGAUAGAAGUACUAUAAUGACACAAAUUAGCAAGUGUCCUUAUAGGCACGUCACGAAAGGCCAUUUUUGUUGUAGUGACACCUCUUCUUCAAGGUCACAAAGCAAGAAAGUAUUCUUCAUAUCAAACUGAUACAAUGGCUAAUCUAAACUGGCUACCAGAGACAACAUAAUUAUGAUUGUAUCUAGUUUUUCCCUAAAUGAGAAUGUCUCUUGAUAGUCAAUAUAAAUCUGCAUGUAACUCUUAGUUACAAGUCGAGCCUUAUAUCAGUCGAUUGAUCUAUCAGCCUUGUACUUUAUUAAGAAAACCCAUUUGCAUUCCAUAGUAUUCUUUCUUUUUGGUAGUGGGACAAAGGUCCAUAUGUUAUUUUUCUACAAUGUUGACAUUUCAGCUUCUAUAGUUUAGGCCUAGUUUGGAUCCACGAAAGCGCCAUGCACUCCAUUUGGAAUAUCAACUGAUGCCACAUUGUAUACAAAAACCUCCAGAGAUUUAGAUAGCCUAUGAGUUGACACAUAAUUGGCAAUGGGAUACUUGGAUCGUUUUAUAUGAACUCUGGAGAGUACAAAUUUGAUGGCUUGCCCCAAUUAGAUUUAUUAGGCAACACGUAUCUACUCGUUGUGUCUAAAUCGGUAGUAAAUAAAUGGGUAACAGAAGUACUAACCUUAGAAAUAUUCUCAAUAGAAGAAUGAUCAGGUACCAAGGAAUGGGAGGUUAUGUUAGGUACAUCUACUUCUUCAAAAGACACAUCAUCAAUAAUUUUCUGAAAACGACUAGGAGCAUCAUUAGGGCUAGGAGUCUUUUCAUCCCCAGUAAUAAGUAAAUCAGUUUGCCACUAUCAGUUAGCAGUUGAUGGAUCAACAUUGGCAUGUAAAUCAGCAUGCAAAUCAGCAUUAGCCACAUCGGUACUUAGCCACGAUGGCCAUGCCAAUUUCGGCCAAUUCUUCUCAUUCUCAUCUUUUAUCUCCCCCUAAAGUGAAGAAUUCUCUUACUCUAAUAUUAUUUCAUACAUUUUCUUGGUGGUUGGAUCAUAACACCAAUAACCUUUCUUGUGCAUAGUAUAUCCCAAGAAGACACAAUGAAGAGUACAAGGAUUCAAUUUAUUGCAUUGAUUCUUAAGCAGAUGUACAAAAAUCACACAUUCAAACAUUGCUGGAAUCAAUAGCACCGAUGGUAAAGUAUAGUGUUGAGAGAGAGCCUGUAGUGGGGUUUAAAAAUUAAUGACUUUUGAAGGCAAUUUGUUCAACAAGUGGACUGCUAUGGUGACUAUAUCAGGCCAAUAUUGAUGUAAAACAUUUACACCAAUCAGCAUGGCAACUGCUAUUUCUAAUAUGUACUGAUUUUUCUCUCAGUCACUCCAUUUUGCUACGAAGUCUAAGUAUAAGAAGUUUCAUUUAUGAGGUCGUUAGUAUUGAAGAACUCCUGUAAUGGUCGAUUAUCACAUUCACCACCAUUAUCAAACCAAAAAAUCUUGAUUCUAGGUGAAAAUUAUGUAUGAAUUAUUGAACAAAAUGAUUAAAAAUGUCAAGCACUCCAUUCUUAUCCUGUAACAGAUACAACCAAAUCAUCUGACUACAAUCAUCUACAAAAGUUAUAAACCAACGAAUACAAUAGAUAAAGUAAUUGAUGAAAAUCUCCAAACAUCAAAAUGCACUAAAUCAACAAAAGCAUUACACUUAUUAUGACUGAUCGGAUACAGAACCUUAUAACUCUUGGUCAAAAUACAAGUUUUACAUUUUAUAUCGGCAACAUUAACACUAGAAAACAAGUCAGAAAAUAAGUCAUGUAUUCAAAAGAUGUAUGUCCCAACUACUGAUGUCAUAACUAGAUCUCUCAAUUUUUGUAUUAUCAGUGCUUCUUAUCUGAUUUGCUCUACCUAAACUAAAUUCAUCCAUGUAGUAUAAAUUCCUUCUCUUAGUAACACAAUCGAUUAUCUUCUUGGUGAGAAUAUCUUGAAAAAGACAAAAUGUUGAAUACAUCAGCGCUGCACAAAUACGAUUGAUUAUUAUUUGACUAAUAGAGAGUAGAUUAUUUAUUAGGGAGAGUAUCAAUAAGUAUCAGGUAGAUAAAGAGAUGAUGAUAUGAUGAUAAAAUAAUAAUCCCAACCUCUAUAAUUGGACAUUGAACAUCAUUGGCAUUAGAGAUCAUUAAUUGUCUUGGGUAAGUAACAUAUGAGAAAUCAUUCAAAUCAAAAGGUCAUAUGAUUGGUAGAUCUUGAAUCGACAAUUUAAUGACUUUCACGCCAAUUAGGGCUAUAAUUACCUUGAUAUUGAUAAGCCUUUGAGACAUCGACAAGAAAAACAAAAGGUACCUGUGCAAUAUUAAGAGCCAUGGCUAAUGCCACUGAAUCAACAUCUACAAUGGCCACUCUUCCAAAGCCUCUAUUCUGAUCAACAAUAAUCAAUCGAUCAGCUCAUUGAUUUCAUCCUUUGCGCUUCAUCUACCAUGCUAAAUAUCCAUGUAGUUCGAAACACAUAUCAUGUAUGUAUAUCUCUUCUUAUUGCAGUGAGUACAUCUAUCCCUUUGAGUUGGCACUUUGGUUUGAGGCAAUAUAAUUGGCUUAUCUUUCACUCCCUUAGAUGCCAUAAUAAAGUCUAUUAUGUUGUCUCCUCUUCUCAAUAUACUUAUUCUCUGCUGUCUUCAUGCUAAAUAUAGGCAUACACCUUCUAAACUAUUAGGAAUGGUUUUGUUCAUAGCACGUCACUGCGCAUCUUAUCCAAUCUCUCAUCCAACCCAUUAAGGAAAAAGUACAACCUCGUUUCCUGUAUGAGAGAGUUAUACUUGAUAAUAUUGGCAAUACACUCCAUUGAGUUUGGCUGAUAGAAAUCGAUCUCUCUCUACAAACCUUAAAGGUUAUUAUAAUACUUCUCAAUCAGCCUUCCAACUUGUCUCAUCUUGAUCACCCUCUGCCAUAGAUCAUAUAAUUGUGAUGUAUCUACCACACCAAAGUAUGCUGUAGAAAUCGCAUCCCAUGUCACUUUCGCAUUAGGGUAAUAGAUGAAGUUGCCGAUCAGGAAUGGAUCCAUGUUGUUUAUUAGUCAUCCUUUCACAAUCGAAUCUUCAAUUUGCCAUUAUUGGUAUGCAGGAUCUAUCAGUAAAGAUUGAGAAAUUUCAACAUUAAUAUAUCCCAAUUUGUCCUUACUUGAAAUAUACAUCUCAACAACUUGGGAUCACAAGGCAUGAUUGGUGUCAUCCAACUUGAUGCCAAUAUUUGUCUGUUUGGUGUAGUUUUCUAGAUCCUGAUCAAGACUUUUGCCAUUCGUGUAAUCAAGCAUUCUAAAAUGGAAACAAUUUCUCUAUAUUUCACCAUUUCAGAUGAUUUUUCCAUGGUUCUUGGUUCAAGAUUAUAUCAGAGUAGGCAUUUGAGUAGAAACUCUAGAAUCCCUACUCUAAUACCAUGUUAAGAAGAUGGAGUUUUGGGUGGAAAUUUUCUCUAUAUUUCACACUCAAAUGUUACAAUGGUAUGAAACUUAUGUAUAGGCUUAUAACAAGAUCAAGUACAAUAAAUCUAGACAAUCUUUUAGAUAGUAACUACCAUUAAAUAAAUCUUUAAUUGAUAUACAUAAAAAAUAAUAAGAUAUUUACAUCUACCACCAACCAACAAACAACCAACAACUCACUCUAACAACAUUUAAAAGCAGAAUCCAUAAUGUUCCCCAACCCAACUCCUCAAACUUUACUUAUUUUUUGCAUUUCCUACCCACCAAAAUCCUAUUUCUACACCUUAUCCACACUUCACUUAGAGCAGCGAUGACUCUAGCCUCUUAUCUUGUAGAACGUUGAAAUCAGUUAUCAUGACAUCAUAAGAAAAUUUGAUUUGGUAUUUUCAGUCCCAAGAAAUAUUUUGCUAUCUUCAGCUCUUGUCCACCAUCCAAAUACUCCAUAUCUCUCUACAACAUUUUUUUUAGACCUCUGUGGAUGAUAUUUGAAAGGAAUAGUUUUGGUGGCGGCCAAUUAAUAAAACAUGUCCAUUACAGAAAUAUUAUUGUGUUCGUGAAAUUUGAUUGUAUGAUGAUUAAAUUUUUAUGUGACCCGUAUAAUAACUAGAAAUGGCUUGGCUGGAAGACCUUGCAACGCCAACAUCCUAUCGAUGUCACCAAUUAAUUAAUUAAUCAGCUAGUGCUCAUGAUUCUGUGUGUAAAAUGUGAUAAUAACACAUGUUUGAAUUAUGUAAAAAAGGAAACAUGCACUUUUCAUCUUCAUUAUUUUAGAGUUGGACCAAUUUGAUCCCCAUUAUUUUAGUAGAAACACAUUUCAUCCCUUUAGUUUCAAUUUUUGACCAAUUAGAGACAAUUGACGCUUAAUCACUCAAUUCAACACAAUUUGAUAUUUGAUCACUUAAUUUGGACGACGUGAAAUGCGGGAGGGGCAUGCACUAUUAGCAAAGAGACCUAAGGGAGACAAAAUUUAUCAAACCCGACCCAUUUCACCAUCCCUACGAUUCUAUACACCCAACCUUUCAGCAUAUUUAUUUAUAUUAUUUUUAAAUUUUAUGGAAUUUGGCUGAUGAAUUUUGAGGGUAUAAUGAAUUUUAUUUCCUCUGUAUAUUUUUUUACUAACAACGCAUGUUGCUUGUGCUUUUUAUUCAGUCUAAACAAUUGCUCCAAAUUGGUCAAAAAAUAAAAACUUAAGAGGCGAAAUAUGUUUCCACUCAAACAAUAGGGACCAAAUUAGUCCAACUCCAAAAUAUUGAGGAUGAAAGUUGCAUUUUUCUUAUGUGAAAACAUGUUUCUGAUAAAAAGUUCAAACAAAAAGAGUUGAUUUUGGAAAUUUUCCUUGUGUACGUUUUUAUAUUUCUUUCAUUUGCUGUGACGUGAAAAUCAUGUUAAUUGUAUUUUUAUCACCUUCGUGUGGCACAAAAGUUUUUUAGAAUUGAACACAUAUAUACUCUGUCUUGUUCCGUAAUGAAUAUGAUAGCAAACCUCUAUCAGUCGCAUUUCCAUUUUGAUAUAUAUAUAUAUAUAUAUAUAUAUAUAUAUAUAUAUAUAUAUAUAUAUAUAUAUAUAUAUAUAUAUAUAGAAAAAAAGGAAUAAUAUCAAUAUUAAUAUAAUAUUACUAAAAUGAUAAGAACACAACUCUUAAACUUUCGCAUUUUUCAAGAAAUGACAACAAUAAGACUUUUUAUUUAUGACGUAGAUGAUUUAGCAAACAAGCCUUGACAAACGCAAUAAAUUACAUAAUAAAACAUCAAUUCUUAAAUAAUAAAAUUACUAUAACUGACUCUAAUAAACUAUUAAAAUCUUGAUUUGGCUGUUAAGCAAUAGGCUUUGAUGAAGCCGCAGCCUGGACCUGCAUCUCACGCACAAUUGCUGCUGCCAAGUGAUCAUAGCCUUCUCCCCAAGCAUUCUUCAUUUCCUCGCUCCAUUUUUCUCCCGCAGCCUCUUGGAUCGUUUUCAGCAAUGCUUCUUUCACAACCUAUAUGCAUGUCUCGCGUAAAAUACACAAUUUAAUUUCUCUAUUAAUUUGCUUCGUCAAGAACUUGAAUAGAUUGAACCCUACAUAAAAGUUACUUUUUUAUGACUAAGGUUGGAAUAUCAUAAUCACAUGCAUAUUCAUAUUAAUUUUGUGCAUUUCCUGAAAUUCUAGAGAUUAAAAAAAAAAUACAGCCAGCAGCUUUAGAAGUAGUAUUACCUCAAAAUGGGGUUCAAGAACUCCUUUCUGGAGAUGAACUGAUCCCAACCACUUGAGAGUAGUAUCGCCAACCGCCACUUCCCCCUUCUCUCGCAGCUGCACUACUGAUUCGCAAGUCUAAUGUUGUAUAUAACCUUGUCAGAUUUCUACUUGACUACUAGAAGUGAUAAACUAUUACUGUAGUACUGCAAAGUGACUGUUAUCUAUUGCAUGCAUGACAAUUUGCAGGAACUUGAGAUCUAGCCUGCAACAAUUGCAAGUGCUCUCGAGUGGAAAUCUUCACCAUUAACUUUUCUUAUGCACUUCUGGACUGAAUUAUAAAAAAAUUAAGAAUAAAUCUUAUAUACACUAAUAAUGCAUACAUGAUUAAUACGAAUUGCUCUUCUGCUUUUCUAGUAUCUCCAAGCAUGACAACCUGACCGUUAAUCUUGUACAUAUCCAUCUUAAUCCCUGCUCGAUGCUUCUCUUUCAAAUUAUGCUGUUCAAAGAUAGAUAUGUGUCUCAAAAUAAAUUAUGAGAGUGUAAUUGGUAGAUCUUUUUUUUUUGGUCAGCUUUGGAUCACUACAAUUCUUUUUUUGGGUUAAUGACCACCGAAAGGAACAUGGGAAGGAUGCUAUAUAUACGAGAUAAUGGAAGUUUCUUUUCAUAAAAAUUGUUGUGAAGGACCAAUAGGCAAUAGCUCUUCAAAGGGGAACAAAAAGGGUAAAUUACAUGUAACCCCUUGUGGUUUCAUCUGCUGCCACGUGAUCCCCCUAAUUUUUCAAAAUGUCCACUCACCUCCCUAUGAUUUUAUGUAAAGUAGAAAUUUGAUAGAAAACAGCUAUGUAAUGUCAUUAAUUGAAAUACCAAUAAUACCCUUACUUAAAUGUUAAAUUAUUCGACAGCUUAAUCACCUUAUAUAAAAGUAUAGGAAGAUUAUAUGAUAAAUGUAAAAAUCACAAAAGGGUAAAGUGGAUAUUUAUACAAAUCAUAAAAGGGUUACAUGGAUAUUAAUAUUUUAUCACAUGCACUUUUAAAGCAUGUUUGGUAUAAACGCUGUAACUGAUUGUGCAUUCUGUCCAUUUUUCACUUUACAUAAAAUUAUAGGGGGUUCUAUGGCUAUUUUAAAAUUUUAGGAGGGUCAUCUGGCAUUUUGUAGAAUUAAAGGGGGUAAUAAGUUGUUUACCCAAAAGAAAAGAAACAAAGAAAGUAUCACUCAUUUCGUAUAGUGGGCAAAAGUUUACGAAAAUGAGAACAUAAAAAAAAAAAGGACAAAAUGCAUUACGGUAUCAUACCAGCUUGAAAAUUUUGGCAGCAUGUGCCCUGAGCUGGGGAUUGUUCUCUGGAAUUUCAUCCGUAUCCCUUAGAAAUGAGAACAAGUCCUUUGCCCUUGGUGCUUUCUCCAUGAUCCUUAAACCAUAUGGCCCCCAAAAAAAAAGGCCAGGGAGAAUAAGUCAGAGAAUUAAAUACUGUGGAAGAAUAUCAACUCGUUAAACCAUUAAUUUUCUUGAGUGCUAGCUAGGUGGUGCAAGCAACAUCUUCUGCAUUAGGUACAUAUAUGUUAAAAGAUAAACAGUUUUUUUUUUUUCAGCAUUUCAAAAGACAGUUAAAAUAAAUAAAUGCGUAAUGCAAAGCAAAGAAAUUGGAUGAAAACUGUUGGUGAAUGUCUACUUACAGUGUAAAUAAACGAAAACUGUGUCGAGGAACAUCAUGUUUCAUCAGCUCCCAAGACUCCUUUACCAAAGCUUCUUGCUUCUCACUCAACACCAUUUUUGCUCCUCUCCCUGAUCUUUGCGCCGAUUAUAUGGUAGCCCCUUCCCUCACUUUAUAUUGGCUUUUGAGCGGUAAGGCGGACAUAGAAUUUAUAGGUGUAAUAUAGGCUAAAAAGUCUAUUUGACCCUCAAACUUUAAUAAUUCUAUACUUUUAAUCCUCAAACUAUUAGUUAUAUAUUUUAACCCCUGAGCUAUUGAAAACGUAUAUUUGUAGCCUUUCAAUGAUUUUCAAUAAUUCAGGGAGCCGCUCUAAGACUAAUAGAAGGGCUAUAUACAUAUACGUGUUUUCAAUAGUUCAAGAGUCCAAAAUGCAUAACCAAUAAUUAAAGGGUUAAAAAGUAAAAAUGAUUAAAGUUUGAGGGCCAAAUAGACUUUUCUCCUAUGAUAUUCAGGCGGAUAUACUGGAUGAAAUAGGCAAAAGACUUUUUGGUUGUAUUGGAAGCUUCGUAGAUAGAGGUAGUAAAAUAGAAAAGGAAAUCUGGCCAAUCUUCAUUUAUAUGCAGUCAAAAGAUUACUUCCCGAAAGAUUGUCAGUCAACAUGGUAUGUAUUAUUAGCCAGUGAUUAUCCGACCUUGACUUCUGUCACGACAAUAUCAAGUCAAGAUGCUAAUUAUAGACAAACAAAUGCUCUAAUUCCUUUAUAAUUCCAUCGACUCACCAAUGACAAAAAUAUUUGGUUUCUGCACCUAGUUAUAAGCUAAUGAGAUUAGUUAACAGACAUUGAGUGGACAUUUGUUAAAAGAUGUAUUAUGGAAGUUUUCCGUUUAUAAAAAUAAAGUUGAUUCAAAAAGUAACUAAACAUAAAGGGUACAAUAGCUACGAAUGUGUACAUUCACACGAUAAAUUUUGGGUAUACACCUUAGACUAAUAGAAGGACUACAAAUAUACGUUUUCAAUAAUUCAGGGGCCAAAAAUCUAUAACUAAUAGUUAAAGGGUUAAAAAUAUAAAAUUAUUGAUGUUCGUGGGCCAAUUAGACUUUUCACCUAUAAUACUCACACGGAUAUGCCAGGUGGACUUUUUGGUUGUUAUGGGAAGCGUAGAGAUGAUAAAUAGAAGGAGGAAGCUUCGGCCAAUUUUUAUGGACACGCAGUGAGAAGAUGGACUCGGGGCACGGACGGUUGCACCUGCAACCGUCCCAGGCGGUUUUCGUCAUUAUCAACUACGCGUAACUUUCUUUGUACAUCGUGUAACUUUUUUUGCACAUCGCGUAACUUUAGAGCAAAUUUUUGUGGGUCUCACACAUGGCGUGGAAAUCAAGUUACAACUUAUAAUCUCAGCCGCACAAAAUUUUGAGCCCAAAUCCUGACCAUUAACCGCUCAGGGACGGUUGCACCUGCCCCAUUUCCGUGAGAAGAUCCCUUCCAAAAGCUCUUCAGUCAACAUGCUACGUAUUAUCAGCUAGUGAUUAUCCUACCUUGACUAGUGUUCAUGAUUAUGUCAAGUCAAGGUGAUAAAUAUUGGCAAACAACUUCUAUAAUUCCUUUAUAAUCCCAUCGACUCGCAACUAACGAAAAUAUUUUGUUUCUUUAGUUAGUCAUGAGAUUAUAAGAUUUGUUAAUAUACGCUCCAUGGAAAUUUGUUAAUAGAGGUCUUAAGUACAUUUUUUUUUUUACGAAAAUAAAGUUAAUUCAAAAAGUAUUUAUAUAUAAGGGGUACAAUAAAUAUGAAUAUGUGCAUUCACAUUACAAGUUAUGUGUUUACAUUUAGACUAAUGGAAAGCAAUAAAUAUAUGUUUUCAAUAUUUUAGGGGUCAAAAAUAUAUAACUAAUAGUUAAAGGGUUUAAAGUAUAAAAUUAUUAAAGUUUGAGGACCACAUAGACUUUUCUCCUACAAUAUUCACACGGAUACGCCAGAUGGAGUAGGCAAAAGACAUUCCGGUCAUUUUGGGAUCUAGAUAUAGAUAUGCCGGAAUGCCGGAUGGAGCAGGCCAUAGAUGUAGAUGUAGAUAUGCCAGACACGGAUAUGCCAGAUGGAGUAGGCAAUAUAAGGACAUAGAUAUGCCAGAUGGAGUAGGCAAUAGAUAUAGGGCAGCUGUACUAAUAGAUAGUAAAAUAGAAGAGAAGAAGAAAACUCCGGCUAAUUGUCAUUGAUAUGCAGUCAAAACAGACCAUCAACAUUCUACGUGUUAUCAGCUAGCAAUCAUCUGACCUUGACUAGUGUUCAUGACUGUGUCAAGUCAAGAUGUUAAUUAUUGGCAAACAAAUUCUAUAAUUCCUUUAUAAUUCCAUCGACUCACUGAUGAAAAUAUUAGGUUUCUCUCCUUAGUUAUAAGAUUAUAAGAUUAGUUAACAGACAUUUAGUGGACAUUUGUUAAAAGAGGUUUUAAGUGCAUCUUUUUUUAACAAAAACAUUAGUUAAUUCGAAAAGUAUCUAAAUAUAAGAGGUACAGUGGAUAUGAAUAUAUACUUUCACAUGAUAAGUUAUGUGUAUAAUUUAGAUAUAUUAACGAGCGCUCACUCACUAAUAUUCUUUUAAAAAAAAUUAAAGAUUAUAUAUCAGUCACUUUUCUUGUGUUUCAAACUGAACUGAGUUAUCUAAUUUUCCUAUGUUAGAGAACAAAAACAAGUUGCAUUUUACUUCAUGCAAUAAAGAAAAAUCUAGAUCAUGUGCUAAGUGGCCAGCUUGGCUUGGCAAGAGCAGCAAGCUAGCUACACGCUACGUUUAACCAUGAAAAGGAAAGGAUCGGACCUGCAACUAUAGAGAACAAUUAACGGUCAAGAUCGGUGCACUGAGUCGUUACUCGAUAAAUGCAUAACGCCAUUACACAAACAAUCGCACCAAUCCCCGCUCUAGAAGGAAAACGUGCGAAGACUGCAAACUACUUUUCCACUAAAAGAUACCUCCGCAUGACGACUAAGGGUCUAUUUGAUAAUAUAUAAAAGUGCUGAAAUUGAAUCUUUUCAGAUAUUCAGAUAUUUUGAGUGAUUGAUAAAUGAAAAUUCAUCUACUGAACUUGUUAAGUAGUGUUGAACUUGUGUGUAUUUUUUUUCAGCUAACUGAAUGCUUAAUUCUGAUAAGAAUCAAUUAAAUUACUUCAACUACCUUAUCUUAUCUACCAAAUCUACCCUUGUUUAUUAAUUAUGUUCAAAAUUCUUGUAUAAUUAAACAAUUUCAUAUUCUCCAUCUAAUGAUUUUCUAUUUCUCUUUUCUCCCUUUUGAAUGAUUUUCACUUUUUCUCCAUACUCCUCAUACAAUAUAAUUCAUCUUUUAUAUUAAUUUGAUUUAAAAAUAAAUAUUGUCAUUUUCAUACCUAACAUUUUUAGCUAAUUAAAUCAUAUGUUCUAUUUCUUUUUUGGAUGAAAAGAUAUAAGGGCAAAAUUAUCAAAUUUAACUUAUUAAGCAUUCAGUCAUAAAUGUUUAUCAAACAGUACAAAUAGAUUUAGCAUUAAAAUUCAGACAUUCAUAUAUUUCUUUUCAGUGCUUAAAAUUUAGUAAAUUAAUUGUUUCAGUAUUCAAAUUUCAAAAUUCAGAUUUAGUUUUAUCAAACAGAACCUAAGAGAGACAGCUCCUUCUACAUUGGAGCUCUUUUAGUAUGCAUUUAAUAAAAUUGAAAUUUGAAAUAUGGAUUCAUUAAAUUAUUAAGUAUUAAAUCAAAUACAAUUGAGUAUAUAUCACAUUCAGUGAUAAGUGAAUAGUUUAUCAUUUAUUUUUAAGAACAAGUUUUACCUAAAAAAUUCAGUGACACUUAAUUAAUUUAGAUAUUCAAUUUUUAGUUACUAAACGCGUCUAAAUAUAUUAAAAUCUGAAUACAUUAAGUUUCAAUGCUAAAUUGCGUUAUCAAACAGGGCUUUAGUCGCUUUAGCACAAUUUUAGAGGUUAUUUUAUAUUAUUUUCAACAAGAACAUAAGAUCAUAAUCAAUCAAGAUUCAAUUAAUAAAAUUAUUCAAUAAGAUAUUUGAUAUUUUUUUACCAAUAUAUCCUAUUACUUUUAUAUUGCAUGAGUAUCUCUAAGUGUGUGUUUUUUGAUGAUUCAUUAUACAAGAAUUAUUUGGAUCCCUUUAUUGUCUUCUUUAAGCGCAUCCGUAUCAAACACAAUAGAUAGGUUUUGAUACUCGUAUCUUUUUGGAUCCUUGAAUGUUAUGAUUUUCUUAUUCAUUUAAAUACCUUUAAGUCCAUUUCAUGCACCUCUUUUAACAUAGAAAUUAUGAGAAGAAUACCAUUUUGACAGUAAUAAUUGCAAGGAGCAUAAGAAAUAUUAGAGGAAGUGGCUCUAACAAGUGUCAUGGAGGAUCAAUAACCUAGUAACCAUAUCAACAUAACAAAUGUCCCGGAUAGAAAAAAAAAAGGUGAAUAUUUCCAUAUUAAAUUGUAACCGGAUGAAGUGGAAGUUUUUCAGAUUCCAAAAUAGAUUGCUUCCAAAUGGUGGUAUAUGUAUCUAUUUAUUUAUUCACAUUAUAACCAAAGUAAAUUUUAUAUACACUAUCACGAAAUUCAAAAUUUGCACAUGUAUUAUAUAUUUAAUGGUGAUAAUGUAUACACUGACAGUAUAUAUAAGAUUAAUCCAACUAACCAUUGCAAAAGUUUCCGUAAAAUAUAUUAUAGGGAAAAACACAAGAAACUUCCCUCAUAGUUUGAGGUUUGACUUUUCUUUUUCCCCCUCUUUUGUCCAUUGUUUGAAAAUGAAGCUUUUAUGUCUCUCACAAAAUUGUGAUUUGGUUCCAAACUCUAAUUUCGAUUACAUUUUGGCCCCAAAUUGUGGCUUACGCGUGACUAGCAAAAAAGGUCAGCCCUUGAUUUGACUCAUGAUCUAGAUGACUUAACCCAAUUUACCCAAUUCUAGAACUUGUCCCAAUUAAUUUCAUUCCCUUAGGAGAGAAAAAAAAAAAAGAACGAGAAAAUCCUUCAAAUUGUUUCCUUAAAUUUUCUUCAAUUGCCCACUUUGCUAGAUCUUGUCUCUCUCUUAUUUUCACCGUAUAAAGGGAUUAAAACUCCAAAAACAAAAAAAGGAUUAAGACCGAGGUUUUAUGAUCUAGUAAAACGGGGUGGGUUAUGUGAGUGGGCCAAAAUCCAUAACUUGACCUUUCUUUUCCCUUUAAAAUUCAUCACAUGUAGGUUACAUGAUUGUUUCAAGCCAAUAAAAAAGUGAUUCAAUUUGAAGUUUGGAACGAAAUUGGUGCAUUUUACAUUUUUUUUAUUUGGAUACAAAGGAGAGGCAACGGCCUCUUAACACGGUACUAGGCGGGGACUGUUACCCCAAUUACAUCAGCUCCUAAUAGCUCCCUGAGUCCGGUCGGCGGUUCUUCUAUAGGUCCAUUUGCUAGCUGUAGCUGGAUUGCUUCCUUCGGUAGCCAGUUUGCACAUCUAUUCCCUUCCCUUCAGAUGUGUUGCAGUUUGCAUGACUGUAGACACCAAAAAUUUUGAUAAUUCAUUUUUUGUUCUAUUCUUAUCUUUAUUUUUUACCUUUUAUUCUUAUUUAAGUAAAAUCAUUUUUUGUUUGUUUGGUUUUUGUAGGAAAAUGAAGAAAGAAAAGAAAGAAAAUGUAGUUUUUUUUUUAAAAAAAAAAACUUCCUUAUGCGCGCUUCAUCUUCUCCAACAGAAAAUAGAAAAAACGAACACGAAGUUGGAGCAAAUUUCUGAGGCAGCAAAGUCGAAUUUUUCUUCCCUUUCUUUUCCCCCAAGCAUAAUAACACAAAAAGCCACCUCACCCCUUGCGAGAAUUGUCAAUAAAUAUCUAGAAAAAGCCAUCAAAUGGACCAAAAGAAGCCAACAAAACCAGUUUCAUCCAUACCAUUGAGAUGAGGGUUUUGGUAGCUUAGGGUCAUUUAAAAAGGAAGAGAUAAGUUUCUGAGAGAAAAGAGGAGGUAAUACAAAAUGGCAAAAAAAAAAAGAGAAAGAGGAAAAAGAAAAGGAAAAAACCAAGAAGCAAAAAGAGAUUUCCAGAAAUUUUUCCAAAAAAAGGCUGAUUAUUCAGCCCUACUUAGACUCAAUUUUCUUCCUAGACAAAGCUUCGUUUUAGGAGUUUUUUAUUUCAGCGUAAUCUAGGAACUUGAUAGAGCAAGUUUCGUUUAGAAAUCUUUUGGAAACAACGUCCAAAAAUCCUUCAAAUAUAGCCCCAAAGUUGCUGUUUCAAAUUCACUGGUACACGUUUGAAGCUUCAACAAAUCUGCUUCCAUUCAUGUUUUUCUAGUUUCAAUCUAGUCCAAAAAUCAUUCUUAGGUAUUUCCAUGACUUUUCCUUGUUCAAUUCGACGUUCAUGCAAGGAUUUGAGUGUGUUCAUGGAAGUUUAUGUUCAAGAAAUUUAGAUCCCCAUUUUUACAUGAUUAUUUAGUCUUUCGGUGAUUAUUUAGUCUAUCGGAUUUUGUUUAACGUUUGGUUGUGCGACGACCCCACUUCUCCCAAGGGCGAACCCGAGGGUAUUAGCGGGCCGCCUGCCUAGCUCGCGCCAGGACUCGAAACUUAAAGCAAUAACACGAAAUAAACCGAAAGAGCACUAUAUACACAAUAUAUACAAUCCCAAAAGUGUUCUAAUCAUCCCAUUACAUCCUUAUGAAUAUAACCAAACCCAAAAGUAGACCCUAAGGAGGGUCCUUAUACAAACCACCAAAACUAAAACAAACAUCCUAAUUGUCCAACUAUUACAUGCAAAUCUAACUAUACUAGUGUAUGUGUCAAAAGUCCCCGCGUCGGCCCCUGCUAAGGAAAAUAAAAGAAAAGGGGUAAGCUAUAUGCUUAGUAAGUAAACAGGGGCAAAAGCGUAAAUCUCACAUAUGUAAGAGUAAAGCAAAAGUAGAAAAAUAACAUCACAUAAUAAGGAUACGGGUGGCUCCAAAGCCAAUUCAUGUGCCAUGUAUGAUCUCCUGCCGACACUCCGUCGACCAAAAAUAAUGGUCCGUAGAACUCCACUUGUUCUCCCACCGUACCCCUUAUCAUCCUCUCUGGCCAGACACCUCACAAACUUGCUCGAGCGAAUGAAAUUGAGCUUGAUUCACCAGCUCGGAUCACAAACUUGGUCCACAUACUCGGUGAACCGGAUUCACAAACUUAGUGACCUCAAUCCAGGUUGGACUGACUUCGACCAAGCCCUAACCGGCUCGAAUAGUCCAUCUAGGUAUUGAGAUCGGGCCCCAAACUCACUAACUUCACAAAAUUAUUCAAAAGUCACCCCGAGCCACAAGUUCAAGGGUUUUAGUUCCAAAAUUGCUCAUAUACACAAGCCAUGUACAAAUAUGUGCGCAAGUUAGGGUUUAGGUCGAGUGCGAUAAAAUACACCCUCGCCUAGGUACCCUCUUUAUACAUAUCGAAACACAUAAGCAACUAACACACAAGAGCGGCCUGAAUAUUUACUCAACGAACAAAAGAGCAAAAGUACGAAAUUCGUGCCGCGAGGAGUAGCUAGUAGGCCCCACCGGCUCCUCCUAGCUCACCAACGCCUGAAAUUGAAGAUUGUGUCACAAUAUAUCACAAACGGCUACUCACAUACUUAAAACAAGCAAAACAGCAAAAUCGGCACAUACGAGUGCGGAAACGGCAUACGGAUUCGGAAAUGGUAACCUACUCGCUUUGUCGUCAAAGCUGUUUUGAAUACAAUCGAAGCUACGAGUGUCGGAUCAAGGUACAUGAGGUACCGUUACGAAGCUAAGAGGAAGGGAUACAAUUUUUAUGAAGACACCUAAGUCCGGAUCUGAACAGAAAUAGGUCGAAAAUAUGGAAAAUCGUUCCAGAAAUUCGCACUUUAGAGUGACGGACAGGGUAUGUUUGCUGGACCAUAACUCCCAGUUCACAAAUCCAAAUCAGGAAAUUCCAAGGGCAUUAGAAAGCUGGGACAUAAGGUUAAAACUUGGAUGUUUUGGCCAAGACCUAAAUCCACUCAGAACAGAACGAAAAUGGAGUGCCAAAGUACCCAUCAGAACUGUCCAGAUUCAAAGGCAGUUCUGACGAUCGAUCUUGUUUUGGUCGUAACGGGAGCUACGGAACUCGGAUUUCGACGCACUUUAUACCGUUUCGAAGAUAAAACAAAGAUCUAAAUUUCUUAUGAAGGAGUCAACACCCAUAUCGUACGUUAUCGAAACGGAAAAAAUCACGGUCAGAAGCUAACUCAAAACGCAACAGAAUCUGAUGUUCAAAAUAGGCCUGAGUGUUUUGUCUAUAACUCAGGAUACACUAAUCCGUUUGACCUGAAAUUUUACAGGAAUAUUUAGGAAUUAAGAGGCUACAACUUUCAUGUUUUGAGGAACUUCUGAAUCCGUACGUGACAUCAAGAAAAAAUGAAGCCAAAGUUCGGAUGCUGAACUGCCCUGGUUUUCCAGAUUUGCGGGUUUUGCGCGCCGCAACCGUACAGUCCGUUCUAUGAUUCUUAUACCAACUUUUCUAACCACUUUGAUAUCCAACAACCAUACGUAUAUCAACCUAUUAGUGGUCCGAAAUUCUCUCCUUAUUUUACCACAAAAUUACAAAACACUAACCAAAAUCCCUAUCCUCACUUCAUUCGCACUAAUGAGCUUGCUCUAACAUCCAACUAACCAAACCCCAAUUCACUAGGCAUUAGCCAAGCUAAACUAUCCUAAUGGAGUCUAGGGUUUCAUGAACCAAAGCUGAUUUUACCCAAAAUCUAACCAUACAAGAACAAUCAAUACACCACAAAUCCCAUCUACAAAUCAAUUUCUCAAUCAAAGCAACUAAGGAAAACAUUAAAGCAAGAAGCCCUAAUUUUUUUUUCCUUUUGACCGAAUUUCCAACAGCAACAAAACACUAAAAUUAACCAUAAAACUUCAAUAUAAACAUCAAAUCCACCUUACAAAUCCAUAAUCACAACAAAAUACAUUAAUUCCAUAGCUUAAAGAUUAACAACCCCAAAAUUUAUCUUUCAAAGAAGAUGGCAUACCUUCAAAUGAGUUUGGUAGAUGAUCAAACUUCAACAAUCAAGCUCCUAAGUUGUUCCCUCAAGCUUCAAAGGCAAGAUGAAAGGCUAGAAGAUGAAGAACUUGAAGAAUUUCUUUCCUCUCUUUCCUCUCUUUGCUCUCUCAAUCUCGGCUCUUCUCUCUCUUUUUCUCUCCAAGUCUUGUCUUGUUUGUCUUGUGAUUAUCUUAUAAUCCUAAGGUAAUAAAUAGUCAAAGACAAUAGGAGAUAUUUUUAGGCUAACCAAUCACAUAAAAAUGCUUUAUUUUCCUUUUAAACCCUUGCACUUCUACCUAGCUUUUAUUCUACUCUUGCCCUCAAACAUUUGAUAAUCUUUCAAUUAACUCCAUAGGUCAUAACUUAAUCUAGUUUAAAACAUGUAAUCACGCUUAAUUACUUCACUAAUCACUUUCCUAUCUUAAUCACCUAUACUCAAACAUACUUUUUCCAUAAUAAAAACAAUCAAACAACAACUUUUAUAACUUUGGCAAAAUUAGGGUUUUUAAACCCCACUUAAGCUUUCUAAUAAAUUGUAACACUAGAGGUUUGCUAAUCUAGAGUUUGCUAACCAUUUCAAACUUGCUAAACCUUUGUAACCUAAAAUGAAUCCUAAACUUACGUAUGCCAAAACACACACUAGGACUCCGACUAUACAUUAUAGCUCGAACCUACGAAUAAUAAUACAUAAACUAGGGUUUUUAAUCUUAACCAAGAUUAGGGUUUUCUCCUUAGCCCUAAAACCCUACUUUCACCACACCGAAUAAUAAAUAACCCUAAUAUCAACUUACGAACUGACUGGGGCCUCACAGGUUGAAUCCGCAAUGACAUGAGCUUCAUGUAUAUGAAAAGAUCCGGUCUCAAGAGUUUGAAAAAAAGGGUUCCAGCGAGAUUCCGGUCGACUUGACCGGAAUUUCUCCAGUUUUCAAUGGGUCGACCUGUCGGAAACUUCAUGCCUGUCGGAAGUUUCUUACUGAUUUUUUCUCUAUUUAUGUUCCUUUUAUUUUUGUUUUGUUUUGUUUUGUUAUGUUUGAUCCAUUUGGGUUUGUAAAUGUUUAAUGGAAUGUGUUUAUGGACUAAAAAUUGGGUCAAGAAUUUAUUUCAUAUUGGGUUUGUGCAUGGGCUUUGAUGUUCAAGCCCAAUGUUUUUUAAUUAAAUUUAGAAGUAAAAUAAGUUGGACUGAUAUGUUCCCUUUUUAACAAAAUAAUCCAGUUAUUUUCUUUGAAUCGGUGGGUUUAUGGCUCAAUAUAUAUAUAUAGAAAUGGACCACUGUUGUUUUUCAGGUGAAAUCAAAAAAAAAAUUUGCAAUUCAGUCCCUACUUUUUUGAGUAAUUUCACUAUGACCCUAAAAGUUUGAAUUUCUUUCACUUAGGUCUUUAAUUUAAUUACAUUUUGAUCCCUAAUCUUAUUUUUUAUUUUAACCCUUAAAAAAUUAUAAUCUGACCCCAAAAAAUUUUAAAUUUUUGCAAUUGAGUCCCUGAUGGUUUGAUUUCUUAAUUACAAUUGUUCAUCUUCUUUAAUUGUUAAUCAUGCUUCAUUUAAAUGCAUCUAAUUUGUAAAUUUUUAGAGAUUUUAUGUUUAUUCAUAUUUCUUUAAAAUAAUAAAGUGAAUUUGCUAUAUGUUUACAUUUUCUUUUAAAUUGUUAAUUAAAUUGGUGCCUUGACCAUUUUUAUUUGUUUUGGAGUAUAAAUAGGACAAACUCUACUUCAUUUAACCACUACUUCAAGGGAGGUACCCUCUAUUGUUCUUUAAGCCCUUUUAUGUGCUCUUAUGUGUUUUUAAGUGUGAUUAUACGUUUUAUGUGUUUUCCCUCUACUACUUAUUUUAGUCUUUUAUUCAUUUUAUGUUUGAUUUAAGUCUUGUAAUUAUUUGGAGGUAUUUAAAUGCCCAAAUUGUAAUAGAUAGGUAAUAUCAUUUUAUGCAAGAAAUGUAAUUAGAUAGCCCAUAUGAUAGAUAGGUUUUAUUUUUUACAAGAAAUGUAAUUAGUUAGAUAUAUGUAAUAGAUAGGUUAGAUGGGUUUAUUAUCUAUAUUUCCCCUUUUAAAUUGUAGUUAGGGCCCCCAAUGUAAUAGUUAGAUGUUGUGUGCUUGUGUGCUUAUGUACUUUUUUUUAUUCGCUUUCUCUAGAGUUUUGCAUCUAGAUAUUAUGCCUACGUGUUAUGUGAUCUACAUGCUCUACAUGAUCUAUGUGUUUAUAUAUUUAUUUGUUUUAAUUAUGCUAUAUAUGUUUUAUUUAUUUAUAAUGAGUAUAUGACGUCACUGCACUAGUCCAAUGUUAAUUGUGGCAUUUCUUCCCAAUUUCUCACUAAUCCAACGCUAGUGAGUACUUGUAGAAGUGGGCUAGUCUAAUGCUAGACCCUUAGCCCAUUUCGCAUUAGUUUCAUAUUUUGUGUGACAUUUAUUGCAUUUCAUGCAUUUUUUUAUUUUAGGUUAUAUUCAUUUUUGCAUGAUACGUCCUUUUAUUCCCUUAUUCCUAUGUGUGCAAAUCAUAUCAUUUAGACUUGUAUUUCAUUUAGAUAAAUUAGAAAAUAGGCCAGUCUAUUUUCUUGUCUAGGUAGAAGAUUCGCCCCUUGAAUAUGGGAAAUAAAUGAGUAUUGCUCCUUAGUCUCAACACGCUCUUGUCCCUCCUCUGUAAGAAGGAAAAUUGUGUUACGAAUUUUAACUCCUCGCACCCGUUAUGUUGUAUACCUCUUCUAGGACAUGUAUAUUUAUAUAUAUUAUAAUUUUACUUUUUCAAGUCUCAUAUUUUGCAUUUCUCUUCAAAGAAUCAUUCUUGGGUUUCACAAUUAAUGUGAUUGGUACCAAUUAAGUUUUGAAGAGACAUUUCAUCCCUCCUGAUAUCCCUAGGUCUAGAUUUGUAUCCAUAUAGAAGUAUUCGAAUGUGAUAAAUUUAGAGGUUAGUCUAGGAAAACUUUUUGACUAAAUUGUGCAAUUAAUCUUGGCUAGGUUGAAAGUGUAGAUACCAAAAUUUUAUCAUUAUUUUUAUUUCCUUUUUUCGCUCAUUUUUAGUUUAUGUUUAUUUUAUUUAAAUUAGUUAUAUUCAUUUUAUUUUAGUUAUUUUUAUGUUUAUUUAUUACUUUUUCUUAAAAAAAAUAGAGAGAGAAAAUCACUUAAAAUCUUUUUUAGAAAAAAUCGAAAAGAAAAGAAAAGAAAGAAAAGAAAAGCUAAAAAAAAUUAAAACAAAAAAAAUGAAAAUUGCAGUUUUUCAAAAAAAAAAAAGAUUGGAGCCUCACUGCAUGCCCGCGUCAUCUCCAUGGCUUCAUAUCAGAAGCCAUGGAGAUGGCUCUUGUACCAUGUUACAAGGGCCAUUUCUUGGCCAUUUCCACUGAUUUUUCUUCCGUUCUUUCCUCCAGUCGAUCAUUCCAGUAUAAAAUUACUUGGCAUUGAUCCAAAACACUAAGAAAAAUCUGGAUUCAAGCCAAUCUAAUGGCUCAAAAUGUCCAAGAAAACCAUCCAUCAUCUAUACCCUUAAUUCUAGAUUUUGGGGAGGAUUUGUGACUAUAAAAGGAAUAAAAACGCAGCACUAGCUCAAAAGGAUUGAGAGGGGAGGCGGCGGACAAGAAAAAUAGAGAGAACGAAGAGAAAAUCGAGGGAGAAAAGGAAAAAGUGCAGAAAAUCCUGGAAAAAGAAAACUGAGCCAGGGUUGAGGGUUAGGGUGGUUUCUUGAUCCUCUUUCAAUCUGUGUAGAGUCUCUUUGGAGGAAGUAUCAGUUUCUGGGGAAUCUAUGAUGACCAAGGAAGAAGAUUGGUGUUGAAAAAUUUCAGAGAAAACCUCAAAAACAUCUUCGAAUCCGGGCACAAAGUUGCAGCUUCAAAAGCUAGCGCACCUCCUGCAGCAAAAAUUUCUUGAUUGAUUCCAAUUUCGAACUCGUUCUUCUUGGAUCCCCGUAUUUGUUUGCUACCCUUAAACGUCGAAGGUAAUCUUUUUCACCUUGUUUUGUUGUUAUAUCAUCAUAUUUGUAUAAAAAUAUUGAAAUUUAGAUGCUGCGUUUGUCCCUGCUCUUUUCUCUUUCUUUGCUGCAUUUUUCUACUCAUUUUUGUGAGAUAAUAGUCUAGAUUUGUUACGCAAUCUUGAGUUAAACAUUGCAUUUGGCUCUGAGGCAACUGUCUUGUGGAUUUGGGUUUGAAUUUUUGGCAAAACAUUUGAGUUCCUUUGCUGCGUUGGGUGAAUAAGCUUCCAGUUGCAGAGAAAGCAAAGCUUUUCUUCGAACCAGUGUUUUCAAACUAGGACCGGACCGGCCGGUCCGAUCAGUUGAACCGGGAACCGGCUAAGCAUCCGGUCCGAGUCUCUUUAAAAAACUGUAAAUCAAAGAAUCGGUCAAACCCGGUCAAAACUCGGGUUUGACCGGAAACCGCUAGAACCGGAAAAAACCCGGUUUUCUUUAUUUCUCCAUUCCGAUUGUACUCCUUCCUUGCAAGCAUCUGGAGUGUGCAUAAAAAAUUUGCAACCAAAUCUCUCCUCACUUACCUUUGCUGUUAGGCUUGUCUUUUUUCAAGGUUUAGAGAAUAGAUGCCUUCUUAUUCACCUCUAAAUCUGUAAAUGAGGGCCGUCUAGACAAGAUUUGUGAUCAAAUAUCUGAUACAAUGCUUGAUGCUUGCCUUGAACUCUUGAGUUAAUAUUGGCUUUUUCUUUCCUUUUUUCCAUCCUUUGAUCUUUGACCAACUCUAAAAGAAACGAAGUAACUAGCCAGAUGAAGAGAAAAAAAUUCAUUCCCUAAAUUUUCUAAGCCCAAUUUCCUGUGAAUUAGUUCUUGAAAUAUUUGAAAUCAAAUGGGAGGAAAAAUAAAGAAUAUAGUAAAUAAGGGAAGAGAAUAGUGAGGAGGGAAAAAGGAAAAUAACAAAAAUAAUAGAGUUUUCAUGUGUGUUUGAUUUGUGAGGGAUAAAGAGAAAGAAAAGAGUUACAGUGAGGUGAAUGGGAGGAGAAAUGAAGAGCAUAAAGGAUAAGAGGAGCUGCGUGAAUGGGAGGAAGAAGAAGAAACAAAGAAAAGUCAAAAGCAAAGGAACAAGGGCGGCGGCUUACAUUCCAUUAGGUUUGGUAGUUUCAAAAUUUUUUUAAUAAUAUCAAUUUGACCCCAUAUUAUUUUUAUGAGUAUAAAAUCAACCCAUUAUAUUUUUUCAAACUACAAUUUUACCUAAAACUUUUAAAUUUUUUAAGUGAAGUCCUUUUGGACUAAAUCAAAACUCAUUAGAUAUGUAUAUAAAGUUGUAAACCACCAAUUUAAAGGGAAUUUUUAUAUAUUAUUUUAAUUAUUUAUUAUUAAUAUAUAUUUAUGACGUCAUUCGAUUCGACCUCGGUUGAACCCAAUCGAAUCCAUUGACCCCUGACCCUUGAACUCGGCCGAGUAAAGACCCGAUCCGAGUCUGAAAACAUAGCUUCGAACAAGAUGCAUAGGAAUUUCUGAAAAUUUCAUUUUUGACCCCUGACUUUUUAGAUAAUUUCACUAUGGCCCAAAAUCUGGAACAUUGAACCAACUUUUCCUCCUUUUAAGUUUUAAUCCUCUUUAAGGUAGAUUAUUUCUAGGUUUUAUGAUGUAUUUAGGGUUUAAUAAUUUUUGAAAAGAUUUAUUAUCUUGUUGGGUUUAGUAAAUAGUUUAGGUUUUGGGUUAAUGUUAUUUGGUUGGGCUUGGCAAAUGGAUUCUGAUUUAUUUUGAUUGAAUUUUGAUUUGGGUUUGGUGGUCUAAAACCCGUAACUUUUGUUUGGGUUGAAAUAGUGAAAAAAUGGGUUGACUUGCUUGUUUUCCUUGGACUUUCAACUAGGUUUAGGAAUUCCUGGUCCAGAGAAAUUACAAGAAAUGGCCCAAUGGCCUUUUUAUCAAGGAAUCAGGUAACGUAAAUUCCAAAUUAGUCCCUAUACUUUUGAGUAAUUUACUAUGACCCUAAACACUUUAGUUUUUUUUCAAUUAGAUCCCUAAUUUAAUUAUAAUUUGGUCCCUAAACUUUAUUUUUCUUUAAUUUUGACCUACAAUCUUCGUAAUAAUUAUAAUUUGACCCCAAAAAUUUGCUUAGUGUUUGCAAUUAGGUCCCUAGUAAUUUUGAUUUCUUAAAUUUAAGUUACUUUUCUUCUUUAAUUGUUAAUUAUACUUCAUUUAAGUGCUUUAAUUGGUAGAUUUCAUGAUUAUUUCCAUUUCUUUAUAAUUAAAUUAGUGUCUUGAUUAUUUUGUUGAUUUUGGGGCAUAAAUGUGGGUAAAUUUCAUCCCAUUUAACUACAACUUCGAGGGAAGUAAUCUCUUUUAUUAUUUUAAUUUUUUUGUGUGCUCCAAUGUAUUUUUUAUGUGUAAUUACAUGUUUUGAGUGCCUUUUCUUUUAAUUACUCAUUUUAUUCAUUUUAAAUUUCAUUAGUUUUAUUUAAUUUUUGAUGAUUAUUUGUGAGGCAUUUAAAUGCCAAAUUGUAAUCGAUAGGUGCUCAAGAUCUGUAUUUAACUAGCCUAUGUAAUAGAUAUGUUUUAAAUUUUUGCUAAAACUGUAUUUAGUUAGAUAAAUGUAAUAGUAAGUUUAUUAUUUUUAAAAUUCCCCCGUUAGAUUGUAAUUACAGCCUCGAAUGUAAUAGCUAGGAUUUUAUUUGCAUUUAUUUGCUUGUAUGCUUGCAUGCUUAUGUGUUUAUGUAUUUAUUCAUUUUCGUAAGGGUUUUGCAUCUAGAAAUUAUGCUUAUGUAUUAUGUGUUCUAUGUGUAUUAUAUGUUUAUUUGCUUUAAUUAUAUUUUAUAUGAUUUAUUUGUUUAUAAUAAAUGCAUAACGUCAUCACACUAGUCCAACGCUAGUUGUGGCCAUUCUCCCCGAUUUUUCACUAGUCCAACGCUAGUGAAGAUUUGUAAAAAUGGGUUAGUCCAAUGCUAGACCCUUUAGGCUGUUUCAUGCUAGAUUCACACUUUUUGCAUGUCAUUCAUCGUAUUUCAUACAUAUUUUUCAUUUUUAGGAUAUUUUCUCAUCUUACAUGAUAUCUCCUAUAUAUAUUACCUCCCUUAUCCCUAUGUGCGCAAAACAUGACAUUUAGACUUGCAUUCCAUUUAGAAAAAUAGAAGUAGGCUAGUUCAUUUGCUUGACUAAAUUAGGAGAGUCACCCUUCAAAUAUAGGAAAUGGACGAGUAUGGUUUCUUAACCAUAGCACGCUCGUAUCCCCUCUAUAGAAAGAAAAAUUGAGUCACGAAUUUUAGGUCUCUCAUACCCAUUAUGUUGCAUUCCUCUCUCUUAGGUCACGUAUAUUUAUAUCUUAUAAUUCUUCUUUUCUUCGUGACCUCUUCUAAGAAUCAUUUUGGGCAUCACAAUUAAUGUGAUUCGUACCAAUUAAAUUUUGAAGAGAUAUUUCGACCCUUUCGAUAUCCAUUAGGUCUAGAUUUGCAUCCAUGUAGAAACAUUCAAAUGUGAUAAAUUUUAUAGGUUAGAUUAAGAAAAUUUUCUACUAAAUCUCAUAAUUAGUCUUAACUAGGUUGAAAGGGUGCCUUAGGUUUGAUUCUAUCAAAUCUUUGCCUUCCCUUUUUUCAACCGUGACUUCCAAGCUCGUUUCUCUUGUUUUUCGAAAACCUGGAAUCAUCUAAAAAGGGUUUUGUUUAUUUAUUUAUUUAUUUUUAUUUAAAAAACAUAUUUUGAGUGAUUUGGUACAUCUUAAGUCAAUACUAAAUAGCGACUCCUAUUUCUUCCUAAAAAUCCUUUUUAGACCAUUAUUUUGGGUCAAAAUCGUCGCACUUUUUUAAGUCCCAUUUUUUGCCCUCAUUUUUCUUUAUUUAUUCUCUAAAAUAAAAACUAAUUUGAAAGAUAAAAAUUUUCAAAUAAAAUACAUUUUUUCUAACACCUAAAUAAAAUUAUUAUUUUUCAAAAAGAGGGGCAUGACAGCUGGUGACUCUACUAAGAAUUUUUAGAGAGUUCGAGCACUUGAUUUAGUCGAGUCUUUUCUUUUUCUAACAUUUUUCUACAUAUCAUAUUAGGAUGUUUUACGUUGCAUUUUCAUUUCCUUUUCCUUUUAGGAUGAUUGCUUUUCACACACGGAACCGCCUCUCGCUUUUUGUAUAUGUGAUGAAUGAUUUAUUUAUUUUCAUUUAUGUUAUCGCGCUUUUGCAUUAUGGGUGGGGGGAAAUAUUACCUUAGAGCCUUCACGCCUGUUUAAUGUCAAUCCCUCCUCUCAAAGGAGCACUUCAUACAUGCAUACGCUAUUUAUAACCCUUCAUCUUAUUUUCUUUUAGUGGUUGUCACACCACUCCUCCCUAUUAGGAUUAGAAUCGAUCCACUUGAAUAUGUGACCGUAGCAUGAUGUGCGUCUAACAAUGUCCGAGAGACCACCCGAACCACUGACUAAAGGUCUUGGAAUUGAUGAUCCUUCACCUCUUGAUCUGAAGGUUUGGGAGUCUAAAACCUUAACGAAUCUAGAUGCAUUAGUGAAUCCAAUCUCAUGCAUCCAUAUUAGAAAUUACCUAGCGUAUAGUCAACCUUACCCAACUAGGAACACUAGACAUGAGGGGAGGGGUUCUACCCCACUUUUUUUUUAUUUUUUAUUUUUUAUUUUUAUUUAUUGCUCCAAUGUGUUAUGUGUUAUUUGUUAAACUAACCUUUCCUUAUUUUCUCUUGCAUCCACCAACUUUAGAAAAUAAGAGUUCUGACAUGAUACUCUUUUUAGAACCCACAUUAGUAGAUAGAUUUUCACGCGUUUAAAUUAUAACUUAUUGCAUUUUAAUAUCUCAAUAUUGCACUUCACUUUUAACCCUACCCUGACAUAUAAAAAGGUUCAUUUAGGUCAUAUUUAAUUCUCGUUAUUGCAAUUGUUUUAAUAAACUAGCAUCAUACAUCAACCUUAGAAGGAAAUGUCAUUCAGAGAAUCCUACUUUAGGAUUAUGCCAACCUUUCCUCCCAUGGGUAUGGGGUUUGCAAAUUUAAAAUUUUUGCUAAAACUGGAAGGGUGGGGCUCAUAGGUAAGGUAUUUGACCCAAACUUUAUGAUUCAGAUGGACAGCUCUCGACGAAUCAAACAAUUGCUGGUAGUUUCGACCAAGAUUUAGAGGUGGCCCACACUCAUUUUACCUAGUGAAAUCCACCAAAUAACAUCUCAUUUAGGGCCAAUUGGGGAUCUCAAAAACAUUCAGUCAGACGGUUAUUUGGUAGAAACUUUAUUACAUCUGUGGGACCCUAGUUGCUCGGUAUUUAGGAUAGGAAAUUGAGAAAUGACUGUAACAAUUGAGGAGGUAGCCGGUCUUCUCAAUUUAUCGGUGCAUGGCACCAUAGUCAUAUUCCCACUUGCGUCUGAAAAAGUUGAGUUUUGUCAUUGUACUGGAUUAAAAGAAUCUGUAGUACAAGGGUCUGAUUAAAGUAUAGACACAGAGUUUCUGUUUGACUGAUUUGCAUUAAGAGAUAGGUUUGAGAGACAUUUUUGGGAUUUUUCAUUUACAUCUAAAGCAAUGUGGGAGCAAAAAAGACCGUGGGUGUAUGGACUCGUUAUGACUAGAACUCACCUCUUUCCGUGAAGAGACAAAAGGAUCGCCUUUAGGAUCACUAAACUUAUGUUCGAACUCUUCGUUGGGAUUAAGAACCGACCAUACUCCAUACUACAGACCAUUUUAGCUGACUUAUUUGUCGCUGUAUCAACUAUCAGAGAGGAGCGAAAUUUUUUCAUGGUCCAAAUUUGAUCCUUCAAUGUGGGUUAUGGAACAUUUUAAGAGAAACUACCCGUUUUAAAUAGUUUGCCAUUGGUCAGGUACAAUUGGUUAGCAAACCAUCACAAGAGGAUUGAUAAGAAUGAUCUGUCGGAUCAAGAGAUUAGAUGGAUUUUGGAUUGGAUCGAUUGCUUCAAACCUAUUUUACGUGCAAAGUCAUCAUAAUUCAUCCAAUUAAUAGGAACUCAAGGCAUUAUAGCUUAUACGUCAAAGAGAUUUCUUAGACAGUUAGGACGAAUCCAAGGGUUACUGCCUACAUCAAAUUUGACCGAGUUUACUAUCAUUUUCAACAAUGGAGUCUGUCUGAGUGAAAUUCCAAUGAAAGUACCGAUCAUCGAAGUUUGGGGAACAUUGUCUGACGAUGAACACAUUACUUACAUUCCAGAACUCAACCAAAAAGCUUUGGUCACCUCGUAAUAUGAGAAUUGGCCUAGAGACUCUGGCACAAAAGGACUACAAGAAGGGCAAUCCGAUGAUGUCAAGAGGUUGUUGGCUAUUAUUGAGACAAAAGAUAGGGAGAAUCUGCAACUGAAGAAGUAUAUCGAAACUACUAAGGAGUUGGCAGAGAAAAAUAGAAGGUAGUGCGCAAAAAUGUGAGAAAAGCAUCAAGAGUUGAAAAGGAAAUUCGGAGAAUUGUAUGAUCAAAUGGAACGCAUGAGCCAUCUUUACUCCCGAGAAUCCAAAGACGUUGUAAUAGAUAGGUUGAAAUGCACUAAUGAAUUUGUAUGAAACCGUCUUUGGGAAAUGAUGUAAAUAUUCUGUGAAUUCAGCAAUAAAAUGAUUUCUUUCUUUCAUGCAAUAUCGCUGUUAAAAAUAAGUUUUAUGAACAGGCCCCACUCCGAAAGUGUUGCAUCAUGUUAGCUCGACCCUUGGUGCAAAAAAGGUUUCCCCACAGGACAUGUAUCCGAAUUAUAUUUACUAACUCAUGUCUUUUUCUUUUCUUUUUCUUUCGUCCAAAUUACAGAAAUUUGAUAGAAAACAUACUCUUGAGCCGAUUUCUUUUCUUUAUCUAUCAGGUACUUUCCAAAUUAGCUACCCGUAGAAUUUUCAUCAUUAUGCGGUCCCUUAACCGAAUCUUGAGAAACAGUGAAAAUAUGAGUUCUCAUCCGGAACCGUCAGAGAGGUCUGCAAUAAUUUCAUCUUCAGAUGCUGCAAAUUUAAGGGCCCAGUUAAAUGAAAUGCUGAAUAGGUUCAAUGAACUAAAUGCAGAAAUGGCAACACAAAGGCGCAUGAUUGACCAAUUGAUCUCGAACAACACUGGUGGUGUCCACAAUGAACAGAUACCUAUUGACGAUAACCAACACGAGUUAGAGAACCGCCACCUCACAUGUCACACAAUCAAACAGCUUUUAUUCCACCUUUUACAAGUCUAUCCUAAGGCACCUUCACUUAUCCCAUCCUUAGUUUACCACAUACCUAUCCGAGGAAUAUUUUCGUCAAUCAGACCAGCAACCAAAUUCCCCAAAGUUACCAACAAAUCAACCUAAACAUUCAAUUUGAAUCUCAAGGAUCUCAUCACCCCACCACAAAGUCAUUCAUGUUGGACACUGCCUUUCAAGUGAAAGCAGAAAUAGGCGAGCCCUUUGCUCCAAAUGACAAAAACCUACUGAAGAGACUGGACUGAUUCGAUGAGUUUAUGAAGAAAAUUCAGGGAUUGAACAAGCAUGGAGUAUUAGAUUAUGAUGAGUUGUGCCUCUUUCCAGAUAUGCAGUUGCCUAUGCACUUUAAAACUCCUAAGUUUAGCAAGUAUGAUGGAAUAAAAAAUCUGAAAAUGCAUUUUCGAAUGUCCGCAAACAAAUUAGGAAAGUCAGUGGAUGAUGAAAACCUACUGGUGCGAUUAUUUCCAUAAAGUUUGGAGGGUGACGCUUUGGAUUGGUACUCUAAUUUGAAACCGGAAGAGAUGAGAACUUGGUUGGACCUGUCUACAGCUUUGGUAAGGCAAUAUGAAUACAACUGUGAGCUUGCGCCAACAAGAACCAUGCUUGAGGGUACUAAGAGGAAGCCGUCGAAAGACCACAAGACAUAUGCUAAGCAUUGGAGGAAAUUGGCCGCAAAAGUGGAAUCUCCCAUGAUCGAUGAGGAAAUUGCCCGAGCAUUCAUUAAAACUCAUGACCCACCGUACUUUGAGGAGAUUUUCUGUAAGACUAGGUGCUCAUUCGCAACUAUUGUCAAUAAGUUGAAAGAAUUUGAUAAGUUCGCCAAGGCAGAAAAAAUAAUUAAUGUGUUGACAUUGAAAAUGCAACUAGAAGCCUUGCAAUGUUAGAAUAACAGUGGAAAGAAACCCCAGUUCAAGAAGAAAGAAGGAAAGCUACUUUUGUUUGGGAUCAAGGCCCCUCGACUAGAUCUAGAUUUCCAAACUGCCCCACUUACUUAUCACCCUAGCCAUAUUAUCCAAACUCCCGUCCUGUCUAUCAUACUACCAUUAACCAUCAUCGACUUCGGUCAAAUUACACAAAUACACCAACGCACCUUUUCAAAUUUCUCGACCAAAUUUGCAAAUUCGAUCUCAACCCCUUUUUAAUCUAAGACUUGUUUCAUCAAACAAUCAAACUUAUAACUAUUCUCAAUCCAAUGAAACCCAAAACCACAAUCAAUAUCACAUAUUCACUAAUUUGGGCCGACCUCUCGACCAAUUAUACGAGCAACUUAAGGCUGCAGGUAAAAUUGGCGUUGUGCUUCAUAAAACCUACCCUAGGAGUGUCCUUGUUGGUUAUGAUCCCCAAGCCAUCUGUGCCUAUCAUUCUGGGAGUCCUGGUCACUCCAUCACCAAUUGUUUGGCAUUAAAGUAUAAGAUUCAAGAUAUGAUUGAAGUCGGAGACAUAGUUUUGAGAAGAAGAGAUGAAUCAGGGUCAAAUGUCAAUAAGAACCCCCUUCCCGAACACAAGAACACUGUAGGAGCCAUUAUCACUGAUGAUGAGUUUGAGAAGCCUGCCCAAUACAUUGUGGACGAGACUGAAGUAGUGAGGAUAGUCGAAAAACCUUUUGUCUUGGACUGAUCAGAACCUGUGGUGUUUGAAUCUUCUGAGCAAUCAUCUGUGUACAAUUUGCAAGAAGUACCAUGGGAUUAUACCGAGGCUACUCUAUUGAUCGGGGAUAUCGAGGAGGAGGUUACUAUAGCUUAACUUGGGAAGAUUGUGAAAGAGAAUCUGAGGCCAAUGAAACCAUCUGUGACUGAAAAAGAAGUUUUGGAUUUGCUUAAAUUAUUGAAAAGGAGCGAAUUCAAGGUUAUGGAGCAGUUGGACAAAAUGCCCACCCAGAUUUCUAUUCUAGACUUGUUUUUAACCUCUGAGUUACAUAGAGAGGCGCUACUCAAGGUUUUGACCGAAUCUCAAAUACCGAAGAAUAUCCCAGUUGACAAGUUUACUCAUAUUGUGAAAAAUGUUCUAGCUACUAGUCACAUAACCUUUUCUGACGAGGAUUUGACUCCUAAAGGGAUCGGACAUAAUAAGGUAUUAUAUAUCUCAAUGAGAUGUAAUGGAAAACUGCUGACGAGCGUCUUGAUAGAUAAUGUAUCCGCCCUAAACAUCUAUCCGUAGAAUACUCUUGUAAAACUUGGACUUUUGGAUGCUAGAAUGCGACCAUCUAUGACCAUAAUAAGAGAAUUUGACGGGAUCAGAAGAAAAUCGAUGGGCAAAGUUGAUUUGGUGCUGGAGGUAGGGUCCGCUCAAUUUCAAGUGGUUUGUCAAGUCAUGGACUUUUCAAGUGUAUUAUAACAUCUUACUUGGACGACCUUGGAUUCACACUUCUAGUGUCGUUCCAUCUUCUCUUUAUCAAAAGAUGAAAUUCAUUGUCAAUGAUCAACUUAUCACUGUGUUCGCCGAGAGUGAUUGCACCAUGAUUAUCAAUUCUGGUUCGAGUGGAGAAAGUAGUAAAAAAGUUUUUAGUUCUCCUCACCGUGUGGCCGAUAUCAUGUCAGUUGGAUGGAUUUUCAAAGAAAGAAUAGGUACAUUUGAGGCUAGUGUCAUGAUGGCCAAGGAAAUAAUAAGAGGGAGGUAUCAGAUAUGCAAAGCUUUGGAGCAAAAUUUGCAAGGCAUUUUGGAGCCUAUAGAGUUUUUUGGAAAGAAAGACACAUUUGGAUUGAGAUUCCAACCGACUGCCAAGGACAAGAAGGAGAUGCAAGCUCGUAAAAAGGCAGAGAAGGAUGGAAAGCAGAUCACUAUGAGUAUCCUGCCGUUGCACUACACCUUUCCUCAGCCAUCUGGUGUAAUCCUGUCAGAAUUGGAUGAAGAAGGUCCGAUUAAAGAGAUUGAAAUGGGCUUGUCUCAACUGUUCGUCGGAGUCAUCUGUGAGGAUGAGCCACUGGAAAAAAUAGAGUUCCCAACUAUAUCUGAAGGAGCCAUGCAAAAUUGGACUACAAAUUACCUUUCCUCUCGAAGGAAAUUUCGAUAAAUUUAGGAGAUUGUCUUUGGCCGAAAUUCAUGACAAAAAGCUACCUUAUUUUUAGUUGUUUGUCUCUUUUAAACGUCAUGUUAACACGCAUUUUAUUUAAAUGAAAGUCCAUUCCCAUUGCACAGUUCUGUCGGGAAUGUGUUUGUUUUAAUUAAUAUUUAAGUUUGCAAAGUUCUCGUUUUUAUUCCAAUAUCUGUCUAUUUCUUUAAAUUCAAUAAAAUGAAAGAUUUUUGUCCAUCUUUGUUAUUUCUCACUUGUUUAUUGUACAUAUUUACUUUAUUUUCAGAUGGUAAAAAAUGAAAUCGUUUGACCCUUCGGAUAUCACUGUUUUAGAAUUCAAUGAUUGCCAACUCGAUAUCUCUCAUGAAUUUGAAAUUAUGGAAUCUGAAAUUCAAAAUGAGAGUGAUAGCAAGAAAGAGCUUGAGUCUAUUUCAAAGACUCUUGAGCAAUAUGAAGAGAUACCCAAAUCGAAUUUAGAAGAGACAGAAAUUAUUAACAUUGGCACCAAAAUGGAGGUUAAAGAAAUCAAAAUUAGUGUGCACUUGAAUAAAAGGCAAAGAAAAGAGAUAAUUGAAUUCUUAACCAUGUUUCAAGAUGUGUUUGCAUGGUCGUAUGAUGAUAUGUCCAGAAUAUCAACAGAUAUAGUGGUUAACAGAUUGCCGAUCGAUCCAAAUUUUUCACUAAUAAAGCAAAAAUUGAGCAAAUUUAAGCCAGAUAUAAGUCUCAAAAUCAAGGAGUAGAUCGAGAAGCAACCCAAUGCUAGAAUCAUCAUAGUAUACUAUUACCCUAUUUGGCUUUCAAAUCCUAUACCUGUUUCGAAAAAAAGUGGAGAAGUGCGAGUAUGUGUCGAUUACAAGGAUCUCAACAAAGUUAGUCCGAAAGAUGAUUUUUCGUUGCCAAACAUUCAUAAUCUUCUGGAAUACCGCUGGACAUGAAAUUGAAUCUUUCAGUGACUGUUUCGCCGGGUAUCAUCGGAUCUUGAUGGCCGAAGAAGACAAAGAGAAGACAGCUAUCAUCACCUCGUAGGGAAUCUUCUGCUAUCGGGUAAUGUCGUUUGGAUUGAAUAAUGCCAGAGUCACCUAUCAACGGACCAUGACCACUUUGUUCCAUGAUAUGAUUCAUAAGGAGGUGAAAGUCUAUGUGGACAAUAUUAUCAUUAAAUCCAAGAAAGUUGAAAACCAUCUAAUUGAUUUGAAGAAAUUAUUCGAAAGGUUGAGAAAAUACAACUUGAAGUUAAACCCUACAAAAUGUACUUUUGGGGCUCCCGUCGGAAAAUUAUUAGGGUUUAUUGUUAGUAAAAAGGGAAUUGAGAUUGAUCCAACGAAAAUCAAAACAAUUCGAAAGAUGUCCAUAUCAAAAAUUCAGGAGGACGUGAAAAGUUUUUUGGGAAAGGUCAAUUUUUUCGACAGAUUUAUCGCUCAAUUAACAUUUACAUGUGAGAUUUUGUUCAAGUUAUUGAAGAAAAAUGCAUCGAUGCACUGGAAUGAAGAAUGUCAGCAAGCUUUCGAUAAAAUCAAGGAUUAUCUGUUGAACUAUCCAAUUUCAAUGCCACCCAAGUCAGGUCGACCUCUGAUCAUAUAUCUAUCCAUACUGGAUGAGAUUAUGGGAUGUGUAUUGGGAUAAUAUGAUGACUCGGGGAAUAAGGAGCAAACGAUCUAUUACCUCAGUAAGAAGUUCACUAUGUACGAGGUCAACUAUUCCUUUCUUGAGAGGAGUUGUUGCGCUUUGGUUUGCGUCGCUUCGAAGUUGGGACAUUAUUUGCUUAGUUACAUUACCUACCUCAUUUUUCGCUCCGACCCUAUGAAAUAUUUGUUAGAAAAGCCUAUGCCAAUGAGACGUAUGAUAAAGUGGCAGAUGAUUCUUUCAAAAUUCGAUAUCAUUUUCACCAUGUAGAAGGCAAUCAAGUGUCAAACUAUAGCAGAUCAUUUGAUCGAGAAUCCAAGGAAAGAUGAUUACCAGCCAUUGCAUGCAUAUUUUCCUGACAAAAAGAUCUUAUUUAUUGGCAUAUCAAAAGAUAUGAAUGAGCAAUAUCUUGGAUGAAGGUUAUUUUUUUAUGGAGCUUCAAAUUCUUUUGGGGUUGGAAUCGGAGUUGUUUUAGUGUCACUUGAGGAAAACCAUUACCCUGCCAUUGAUAAAUUAUAAUUUUCUUGUACUAACAAUAUGGCUGAGUACAAAACUUGUAUUUUUGGAAUAAAAAUGACAUUGGAAAUGGAGAUAAAGGAUUUGAUCGCGUUCAGCGAUUCUGAUUUAUUGGUACAUCAAACGCUUAAGCAAUGGGUGACACGAGACUCGAAGAUCAUGCCGUGUCAUUAUAGUCUGCUCAGUUUGGCCAAUAAAUUCAGAAGUUUGGAGUUCAGGUAUAUUCCUCGCACUUGCAAUGUUUUCGCUAAUGCUCUGACCACUUUGUCUUCUAUAAUUUGAAACCUGGACAAGCUCGUAUUGAACCUAUUCGAUUCAGUUCCAAGAUAAACUGGCACAUUGUCUGGUUGUGGGAGAGAUAUCUGACGAUCGCCCGUGGUAAUUUUUCCUAAACGGAGUGGUGUUAUAUAAGCAAACAUUAGAUUUGGGCCUUCUAAGGUGCAUCGAUAGAGAGGAAGCUGAGUAUAUGAUGAAAGAAGUGCACAGUGGCAUAUGUAGACCUCAUAUGAAUGGGCACUUACUAGUUAAGAAGAUCAUGAGACUGGGAUAUUUUUGGCUCACCAUGGAGCAGAACUGUGUAGAUUUUGUCAGAAAAUGUAUUAAAUGUCAAAUGCAUACCGAUAUUAUACAUACUUCUCCUACAGAGUUACAUAGUAUGACUGCUCCUUGGCCCUGCUCAAUGUGAGAAAUGGAUGUGAUUGGAACUAUUGAUUCCCUAUCUUCGAAUGGGCAUCAAUUUAUCCCGGUGGCAAUCGAAUAUUUCACCAAUUGGGUUGAAGCAAUAUCUUACAAGAACGUGACCAAAAAAGUAGUAUCCGAUUUUCUAAGGGACCACAUUAUCUGUCAUUUUGAGGUGUCAGAGAUGCUAAUCACUGACAAUACCAGAAAUCUCAAUAAUGACAUGGUAGAUGGAUUAUGCGAAUAAUUCAAGAACAAACACCAGAAUUUGGUUAUCUACAAGCCUCAGAUGAACGGAGCGGUAGAGGUUGCAAAUAAAAAUCUAAAGAAAAUCAUUCUCAAAAUAAUGGAAAGACACCGAGAUUAGCAUGAGAAGCAGCGUAUGCAUUAAUGACUUAUCGGACUGCAAUUAGAACUUCUAUUGGGGUAACGCCUUAUUCUCUCAUGUACGGUAUGGAAGUAGUAUUACCUGCGGAGGUUAAGAUCCCCUCCUUGCUCAUUUUAAUGGAAAGUCAGUUGGAGGAAGUUGAAUGGAUUAAAUAGCGACAUGAACAACUAUCUUUGAUUGAUGAAAAAUAGUUAAAUGCUGUUUGCCACGGACAGUCCUAUCAAAGGCAAAUGGCCCGUAGUUACAAUAAAAAGGUCAAACCUCGCCUAUUCCAAGAAGAGAACAAAGUCUUGAAACGAAUUUUUCCUAUCCAAGACGAAACUAAAGGAAAAUUUGCCCCAAAUUGGCAAGGACCUUUCAUUGUUAAGAAGGUAUUGCUCGAAGGAGCAUUUAUUCUCACAGAGAUGGAUGGACAAAUUUUUUCUUAACCAAUCAAUUCAGAUAUAUGCAAGAAGUUUUUUUAUCUGAUUAUGUGAAUUUUCUUUUUGAAAUACGGUCUAAGGUGGACUAAAAGACGGACCUUCUUUUUUUCCAUUUGAACAUUUUACCUCUAGUUCUCCUUUUUAAACCUCCAGAAUAAUCUACUCCUUCGUUUGGUAGCCUUCUAAGGAUCGCAAAUCUUAUACUAGGACAUGUCGCGCCCCACUUUUCGAUUCGAAUUGAAUGUGUGAUGUGUGUGUGAAGUGUGGUGUGAACGUGUGCAAAAUGAAAAGUAAAAGGCCAUGGGACUUAGAAUGCGACGAUUUGGCCAAGUGAAGUUCAAAAGGGUUUUGGUAUCAAAAAAUGGAGUCGCCACUUGGUAUAGAGUUAGGGUGUACCAAGUCACCCAAAAAUGAUUUUUGUUUUUGAAUAAAAAAAAAGUAAAUAAACCCUUUUUGAGAACUUUUGGGUCUGCGUAACCAAAAGAGGGAUCGGGGGUCACAUUUGACGAAAGGGAAGGCAAGGAUAAAAAUCCAAGGCACCCCUUCGACCUAGCCAAGGCUAGUUGCGUGACUUAAACCAAUUUUUCCCUAAUUUUUCUACCCAAGGUAUGUAUCGCGUGUUGGAUAUGUCUAUAUGAAUGCAAAACCCUAGACCUAGGGGUAUGGGGGGAAAUUUCUCUUCAAAAGGUUGAGUGGUGCCAAUCACAUUAGUUGUGAAGCCCAAUAAUGAUCCUUUUGGAGAGGUCACACCUAAACCUAAAUGACGUAAAAAAUGAGUGGAAUGCAUGCCAUGUGAAAAUGUGAGUUUGUGUGAAGUGGGAAAAUUGAUAAAAUACGAUACAAGUGGAGGUGUGCAAAUGUCUUUGAAUGCAAAUAUAUAUACUCCAAGUGCAAGUGGGCAAAAAAUGCAUGUAUGCAAUUUAAAGAAAAGUGCGAAAGUGUCGGUGUGCAAAUGAAGAUGAAAGUACUCGUGUGCGAGUGAAGAUAAGAGUGUUCGUGUGCAAGUGAAGAUAAAAAAGUGUUCGUGUGCAAGUGAAAGUGAUAAAAGGGUGCAUGUGUGCAAAUGAGACAAAAGUGAAAGUGUAAUGAUAGAGUGGAUUGAGAAUGCAUGAGCUUAGGGAAUUUAUGCAUAUUGGGUACGGGGAGACCUAAAUUGUGACUCAAUUUGCCCUUUUAUAGAGAGGAUACAAGCGUGCUAAGGCUUUAGAAAAAGCCACACUCGUCUAUAUCCCAUAUUUAAGGGGACUCUUCAGGCAAAUGUACCCUAACUAGCAUGAGAUGCAAAGAAUCCUAAAAUGAGGGAAAAGGGGCUCGAGGAGCAUGCCAAAUGAUAAAACUAAGAAAAAUGCAUGACAUGUAGUGAACAUGCAAAUAUGCACUAACAAAAAGGGAUGGCCUAAUGAGCCACAACUAGCAUUGGACUAGUGUGGUGACGUACAUUCAUCCAUUCCAUUCAUUCAUGGUUAUGAAAGCAAGUAGACAUGCCAAAACGCUCGUAAACACGUAGCACGUAGCAGUUAGCAUGCUCGACUAGAUGCAAGAGCCUACUAAAGCAAUUAAACAUGUAGCAACAAAAACAAGCAACCAAGGGGAAGGGGAAAUGGACCAGAUGCUCUCCGAGCGCUAUCUAUUACAAGCCAAGAGGUGUACACAUACCCCAUAAAAGCAUAAAAGGGAAAGGGUGAAUGGACCAGAUGCUCUCCGAGCACUAUCUAUUACAAGCCAAGAGGUGUACACAUACCCCAUAAAAACUUAAAUAAAAGGGAAAAGCAAGUAAAUGCACGCAGGGAGGUAAGGAAAGCGAAGUAGACAGGCAUAUUCACAUAACACAUAGGAGCACGUAGGAAAAAUAAAGUGCAAGUGAGGGAUAGAGUGUACCUCCCUUGCAAUCGGGGCCCAAUGAAGUGAAAUCACUUAUUUAUCCUCCAAAAUAAUAGAAAUGGUCAAGGUACCAAUUUAUUUGGGAAAAUUAAAGAAAAUGUGCAAAACAAAGCUCACUUGAUCAUGAAGCCCCUAAAGUCAUGACUUAAGCGCAAUUGAAACAAAGCAUGGUAGUUAAUUGAAGCAAACAAGCAAUAAAGUUGCACAAAUUAAAAUUAUCAAGGACCAAUUUGAUGAAAUUCUUUAAUUGAUUGGGUCCUAGUGGAACAAGGGGAGACUCGGGGGGCCAAAGUGCAAUUUUUAGAAAUUAUUUCAUGCAUAAGCAUGCAAUCACGUAGCUUUCUUCUUUAGACAAUGCUUCUGCAAUUCUCUUCGCUAGUCUCUGCAAUCUGCUAUGCCUUAUUACCAAAACGUUACCAACAAAACAGCCACACUUUUGAGUCAAAUGAUCAUAGUCAUCCCCCCAUUCAUCAACCAAACCACAUGACACACUUUCAUUGCCUGAUUAAAUCAGAAAAAUCUGACUUGGUGGUUGCUAGUUAACACAAAGGGCGGCAAGAAUUAUAACAGCAAAACAAGAGUGCAGCAACAACUCUGCUCACUUCUCCAUGAUUUUGCAACUUCAUUAGCUAUUCAGGGAGCUUACAUUAGAUUCAAAAACCAUCAUAAAACAUUAGCCUAGGCAUGCAAAUCAAGGAGAAAUGGGAAAACUGGCAAGUUUAACAUCAAUCCUAUGUUUCUUGCUGCAAUUUUAACAGGUAUGAUUAACUACACUCCAACAAGACUUGAUAAACACCAAAAUGCAUGAUUCAUGUCCUCUUAAUGUCAAAGCUAAUGAUUUCUCUAGAUGCAGCUUUAAAACAGAUAUUAUCCACGGCAUCAUAAUCAGGCAAUGAACAAAAUCAAACAGGUCAAGCCAACUGCAACUUAACAACCCAAAAAGAGGAAAAUCUAUUGCAAUAAGAACCGAAAGUUUAAAACUUGCUACAGCCAAUUCUAAAACUAAACUUAGAACUCUAACAACCAUGUGUCUUGCCUAAACAUGAAGGUUCUAAGGACAAAGGUCAGAUGCCAUAAUCACCAAAAAAAAUCAAAGCCAACCGCAAUCAUUAAAUACACGAACCAGUGACCAUUACAACGAAGUAAAACAUGAAUGAACAUACGAGAACAGAGGGAAAAGAAAAACAACUGUAAUGAAUUUGUGUUUCUAAUGAAACCAGUGAUGGUAUCAUCGAAAACCAGAGAAAGCUUCCCCCUCCAUCAUUAAACAUCUCAGGUAAGCAAGAGAAAAAGAAAAAGGAAACAUCUUUACCAGCAGAAAUGCAAACAAAGCUGUGAUUUUUACCUUGAUUCUGGUGGUGGAGGCGGCUCCAGUCCUUGGGCAGGCCGUUGGCCACUUGUUGGCUACGCAGGAGAAGAAGGACGGUAGUUGUUGGUUGCGAUGGAGGUUGCGAGCGAUGUAGUGACGGUGGACAGCAAGCAGCGGCAGAGGCGGACUGUGGUGGCUUGAACGGACCUUUCUUGCGUUUCCCUCCGCAGCCUUGCACCGUGGUUCCCUCAAAAUCCAGCCGCCCUUUGCCUCUUCUUGCUCUUGACUCACGGUGGAGCCCACGGGUAACGAUGGUGGAGUGAAAAUGGUGAAAGCUUCGCGAGGAGCAUCAGCUCCAGUUGCUGCCUUGUUGCUGGAAGAACGGCACCCGAUGCCUCUCUUCUCUCUUUAAUUCUCUAUCUCACCCUCUCGCUCUCUCUUUUUCUUGCUCAGCCCAUCUCCUAGUCACCCUUCUUCCUCUCGAAACUUGUCUGCCAAAACCUCGCCACUCUCUCUCCUUUUCUUCCAGCCGUCCCUCUUCUCUCAAGUCACGGACUUUGCUCAGAUUUUUUUCCUUUUCGGCCGUCCCCCCCCCUUGCGGCUGUUGCUCUCUUAGCCUUUUAUAUGAAGCUCCCUUUAUCCACAAACCCUCAACUGGAUGGUCAGGAUGAAGGGCCUGCCCCUGCCUUCAUCCAGCCCUUCCAAAAAUGGUUCCGUGGGUGACCUUUGCACGCUGCAAAAAUUGCAGCGUGCAUGCGGCGACCAAUUUUUUUUUUUUUUUUAAACUAAUACAAUAAUAACAAAAUUGAUAUUAAAUAAAGAAAAACAACAAUAUAAAAAACUAGGAAUAAGAGAUAAAAAACAAUGAAAUGCUAAUUAAUUUUCCUUUUCUUCAUUUUCCGUUUUUUUCAUUUUUUCCUCCAAGAAAUUCUACGCUAAAAACUUAAAAAUAAAAAUAAAACUAGAAACUAAAAACUAAAAAUCGAAUAAAACUAACACGACAAAUAAAAAACUAAAAAUAAACAGUAAACGAAAUUACACCAAAAAUUUGGUGUCUACAGUUUGCCCCUCUUUGUCUUGAGUUUUGAAAAAACUUGAGACAAAGAAGUAGACACCAAAUACUUACCAGUGUUAUUUGGCUGUGAACGACUCGAACGAUGGGGACUGACCCAUUUUGACGAGAUCGACUGGGAUGAGAAAUUUAUAACGGGAUAGACCCGAACUGGAAGUUUAAAACGGGACAGACCCGGACAGAAAAUGUAAAAUUGGGAUAGCCCCACGGGAUAGACCCGAACAGAAAUUUAAAACGGGGUAGACCCGAACAGGAAUUUAAAUGGGAUUGUAUGAAGAAAACUGCAUAAGACUUUAUUUGAACAUGUAUCCACAGAUUUGCCCCAGUAAUGAAUUGGUCAGUGGGAUUAAACCCGAACCUGCCAUGAUGAUCGACCAGCGGGAUUAUACCCGGUCCUGCCGAGAUUGGCGGGAUGAAACCCGGUCCCAAUUUGAUAAAAAGCGGUCAGCGGGAUUAUACCCGGUCCUGCCGAGAUUGGCGGGAUGAAACCCGAUCCCAAUUUGAUAAAGAGCGGUCAGCGGGAUUAUACCCGGUCCUGCCGAGAUUGGCGGGAUGAAACCCGAUCCCAAUUUGAUAAAGAGCGGUCAGCGGGAUUAUACCCGGUCCUGCCGAAGUAAGCGGUCAGCGGGAUAAAACCCGGUCCUGCCGAAAUUGGCGGGAUGAAACCCGGUCCCAAUUUGAUAAAAAGCGGUCAGCGGGAUUAUACCCGGUCCUGCCGAGAUUGGCGGGAUGAAACCCGGUCCCAACGAAAAAAGCGGUCAGCGGGAUUAUACCCGGUCCUGCCGAGAUUGGCGGGAUGAAACCCGGUCCCAAUUUGAUAAAAGCGGUCAGCGGGAUUAUACCCGGUCCUGCCGAAGUAAGCGGUCAGCGGGAUAAAACCCGGUCCUGCCGAGGUAAGCGGUCAGCGGGAUAAAACCCGGUCCUGCCGAAAUUGGCGGGAUGAAACCCGGUCCCCACGUGCUUUUGCGAAUGGUCAGUGGGAUAAAACCCAAUCCUGCCAUCCAAUUGGUCAAGAAAUUGAAUUUGAUUUGCCAAGACACAAGCAAUUAAAUUUGAUUUUCCAAGAAACAAGAAUUUGAACUUGAUUUUUGACUUUUGACGUUUUGAAUUUUUCUGAUUUUUCGAGAGAAUCAUUUUUCAAAAAUAAUUUGCCCCAGUGUAGGGCCCUUUUCCCUUCUUUUCUCUUUCUUCGGCAUCGGCCUUCCACAUCACCAGAUGUUCUUUCGUUGAUUUCAACAAUGAAUACCUGCACAGGGGGCUUACCAAAAUAUGACAUGCAUUCACAUUUUCAUGAAAAGAGCAGCGUGAUUGAUUUGAAAGAUGCAUUAUUUGAUUCUUGGGUGAAAUCCUCAAUUGGACUAACAAAAAUAUUUGCCCCUGUGUGGGCUUGUUUUCACGAAAUCUCAUAACAAAAGUUUUGCCCCAGUAUGGGCCAUUUAAUUGCAAAAACUUGUCUGGAUGACUUUCCAUUUAUUUGAACAUUGUAAGAAACUAUGUUUCCUAAAAGAAAAUUUCAUGAUGAUUUUCUUGAAAUAAAAUCAGAUCACAGAAGAUUUCUUCCUCACCUUGGCAUUGGUGUUUUGGGUAAUGGGUCACAAUUUCCAGUUGGUUCAUCUUUCAGGACCGAUCAAGUGGGUGUUAUUUCUGAUUUGGAAAUGGGAGGUCAAGAUUUGUCUUUUUUUUUUUCAAAUUGUACGUAAUCCCAUCAAUAUCACAUCUUAGUGAAAGCAGAGAGUUUGUCACCCUUAUUUCAAGAAAACUUAGUCAACAUACAAGCUUUUUAGGCUUGUAACGUAUGGACAGAAGUGAUAGCUAAACAUGUAGAAACGGGUUAUACCCUUAUGAUCGUGAGUGAUCGAUGGAUUUUUAUGAGCAUAAUCCUCACUUUGGAUUGUCAUGAAGGAAUAAGUCAACGAUGGACUUUAUCAGCUCGUAAUUUGGCUUGAAAACGAUAGUUAAAAGAAGUAAUUUUCAAAGGACAUUGCACCGAAGAUCGCAUUUUUCAACAUCGCCCUCAUCUGGACUCCAGAUUCUUGGACUUGGUUUGACUUUUUAUCAUCACCCAACAGGGUCUUCCAACAUCAAAUCUUUUGCAUCUUUCUUUGCAUUCACUCUCUUUUUCCUUUUUCAAAAAUGCCCUCGCGGGGUUUCACAUGAAGAGCAGUGUCAACCUCACCCCUAAUCAAUUCAGAAAUACAGCUAAAAUUUUCGACAUCAGAGAUUUCCUUGACAAGGCCAGUGCAAAGAACAAAAGUCAGGACUUUCGGCUUUGUAAUGGGGUCAGGUGGGGUGCUUAGAAAAGUUAAGGCUUGAAGGCAGGUUUCAAAAGCGGUUUAAGCAAUCUGAGAUCGCAUUGUUGUGCCAACCCUAUUUUAGGGUUAAGUCAAAAUUUGCCAGAGCUUGUGCUCAAUUGAGGCUUUUUCUCUUUCAUUUUCUUUCGAUUUUUUGGCCUUCUGCCAUUUUUUGAACUUUCACAAAAUUUGCCCCAGUUUUUUUUUUUGAACCGAGGUUCACUUUUCUUCUUUUGUCUUUCGAUUUUGUGGCUUUUCACUUUUUCACUUCUUGAAAUUUUCCUUUUUCAACUCAACUUGCCCCAGUGUGGGGUUUGCGACUCUCAGGGGUUGCCAAACGAAGUAUUUUAUUCUGAAGGCUCAAAAAGGAUAACGAGGGGUAGAAUGUUUGAUUGGAAAAGAAGAGGGCCUGACUUUUAUUCUGCCCUUACAAUGACUCUGAAAGGAAACUUUCAUUAAUGCGAAAUUUUUGGCAUGUAUUUGAAUUAACUGAUUGAGGAGGACCCUUGUUCAUCCAUAUGUGUGAAACAUAGGCGAUCCACGCGGACAAAACUCUUCCUUUUCUUUUUUCAAAAUUGGAACCCAAGUGGAAUCAAAUUUCCCCAACUUGCGGUUCUCUUUCCCCCUUUCUUUUCCCUUUUUUCAAAAUUCCCCAAUCUCCUUCCCCAAUGUGGGGUGCGAUCAUAUGUGCACUCGAAAAAGAACCACCAAUUUUGCUCAAAUAGGGAUGCAAGGGAUGAUCAGUGUUUAGGUUGUAGAAACGACGGCCAAAGCGUCAUUCUUACACCUCAUGACAACCAAAGUAACGAAAUGGUCAUUAAGAAUCCAUUCCCCUUUUGAUAUUUGAAAAUUUUCCAAUGAAGGGUAGUGAUCAUUAGGGCUCUUAUUUGAAACGAAAUUAUUCUUUUAAAGGCUCAAAUGGGAGAGCAAAUGAUAAAAUGUGUAUAGGUAGAGAAACGAAUGCUCAAAGUAUCAUUCUAAAUUUUCAAAAUAAACAAGAAAGAUGCACAUUUUUGCUUUCACUUAGAUGUGAAUGAAUCAGAUUAGACACCUCGAACAUUUUCAAGCAAAAGUUGCCCCAAUUUAUCAAUCAAUGUGACUGACUUUAUUUUGGGAUUAAGUGAAGGAGAAAGGUAUCUCAUGGGCCAUCUGAAUGACCUCUUUCAAUUUUUGAGCACUCUUAUUGUGUAGCUCGGAUCACCAAUCUGGUGUAUACAUUUGUGAGUUUUCAGGCCAAAGGUUGAAAAAUCUCAAUUUGAGCUUAUUUCUUAAAAUUCACCAUGAAAUCUCUUAAUGAGCUCAAUAAAGAAUGAAAUGUACAUGAAUAUACCCAAAACAAUAAUUGUCCAACAAUUUUAUUGCUGAAAAAGUUUGAAACAAAAUUUCUCGUUCAAUUAUGAUACAAAUGAGAAUAGAAAGCUUCUAAAGAGCUCCACAUAUAUAUCCCUUUUGUCUCCUUCUCUUUUGACACAAAAAUAUAUUAACAAGUCAAAUAUACAGAAUCUUCCUUGAAAGCAAUUAUGAAAUCUCUUAGAAGCUCUUAACCUAGAGCUUUCAGAUGGAUUUUUAUGUUCCCAUUGUUGGAUCUGCCCAAGAAUCAAACAAUACUUGCAAUUUUGACACUUUAUUAGAUCCAAAUUAUCAUCAGAUACAGAAAAAUAUUUUUGCCUUAUUGAAGCAUUUUUUUUUUUUUUAUGAAUGCAGGGGAGGGGGAAAACAAAAGAAAAAUACCCUGAGUUAGUAGGCAAAACUGUAAAAUCGGUAUGCAUGUCCUAUGGGGGGAACCCUUUUAUGCCAAGGGUAGGCCUAGCAUGAAAAUGCAAUCCGCUAGAGUAGGCACUAUACAAUACCUGAUGGAUCCGAUCAGCUUAUGGAGUGAAAAAUAAUUUGAAAAAUUUGGCCAAUUGGAAUGAAAAGAGACGUUGGUCAAAAUGAGGACCUCGUCCGAAGGGAUUGAUCACUUUUGAUCGAUACAAGGACUUGCGAAAAACGUACGAGUUUGACCUUGACGAAAUUCCUAUCGAAGAGAUUGGAAUUCGUUUUGACAACUUUUCUCAGUGAAGCACGGGUCAAAACUCCAAUUGAUCAAAUGGCUGGAUGCAAUGGAUGUUUUUCUCGAAAUCGACUAGAUUUUCCAUUUUGAAAUUCGACAUUGAAAACCUAAUUGGUCAAAUGAAAUUGACAAUUUAUUAAAAAUCGACCGGAUGACCCUAAAAAGGGAAACAGGUCAAAUGAAUUGAAUGAAAUUUAAUUUAUCCAAAAUUAAUCAGAUCACCCUAAAAAGGGUAAAUUGAUCAAAUAGAUUGAACGAAACUUGAUUUAUUCAAAAUCGGCUCGGUUGCCCUAAAAAUGGGUAAAUUGGCCAAAUGAUUGAAAUUGAAUUAGUGAUUUAUUCAAAAAUCGGCCGAAUGACCCUAAAAAAGGGUAAAUUGGUCAAAUGAAUUGACGAUUUAUUCAAAAUCGAUCAGGUGACCCUAAAAAGGGUAAAUUGGUCAAAAGACCCUAAAAAGGGUAAUUUGGUCAAAUGAAUUGACGAUUUAUUCAAAAUCGACCGAAUGACCCUAAAAAGGGUAAAUUGGUCAAAAGACCCUAAAAAGGGUAAAUUGGUCAAAUGAUAUUGAUGAUUUAUUCAAAAUCGACCGAAUGACCCUAAAAAGGGUAAAUUGGUCAAAAGACCCUAAAAAGGGUAAAUUGGUCAAAUGAAUUGGAUGAAAUGAAUUUAUUCAAAAAUGAUUAGAUUGUACUAAAAUUGAAUGAAUUGAAAAAAAUGGAUUGGAUAAGAUGGAUGAUUUGUUCAAAAAUCGAUUGAAUUAUUCGCCCACUGGGUGGUUUCAAGAAAUCAUUACAAUGCCUUGGUCUAUGAGCCUCUAAAAUCAAAAUUUGGCCACUAUAUUUAUCGUCUCAACAAUGAGGAAACAUUUGUGAAUUUUCUUCGAAUUAAUGUCCUUUUACGCAAGGGAAUUUUACCAAUUUUGAGAAAAUGGCCAAAAAGUGAUUAUUAGACGCUCAUAUUCCAAAGAUCACUCUAUGAAAAUGAUCGGAUCCUACCUUACCUUGUGCACUACCCCUUUGGAUGGUACAAAAAUGUAAACGUGCAAGUCUCACUGGAUUAAGUAUCCGAGACACAAGGUGGCUUAUUCCUAAACACGGGAUUCCCUAUGUGGCAUUCCCUUUCUAGGGUUAAUGCAUGAUGCCAGUUUAUUAAAGAUAUGUAAAUAUGCGACAAAUAUUGCCUAAAGGAUAUAAAUAAUGCAACGCGGGGAAAAGGUCUCAACAUGAGAUGUAUUUACUGAAAAGUGAGUGCAAAGACUGUAAUUUAGACAUGUGAGCUAUCUAGUGGGUGAGUCACUAAAAGAGUGCCAAAAAGGCCUCUUAUUGCUAAGGCAUAUGAAUGCAAGCCAAGAAAACAAAAGAAUGGUUAGUGCAAUUGAUAGUACACAUAACACAUUGGGAGCAAUUAAGAAAAGAAAUACAAUAAAGCAGGUAAAAGGGGUGGAACCCCUUCCCUCGUGCCUAUUGUGCUUAAAGUAGGGUGAGGCUGACUCUAGCCUAGGAAAAUGCUAAUAUGGAUGCAUGAGGCUGGGGUUCACUAAUGCCUAGACUCGAUAAAGCUUCGGCUCCCAAGCCUUCAGACCUAAAGGCGAAGGGUCAUCACUCCCAGGGCCUUUGAUCGGUGGCUCGAGUGAUCCCUUAGGUAGCGCUAUGGGCGCAGAGCACACCAGCCGCCUACCCAAGGCAAUCGAUCCUAAUCCUACAAGGCGGUGUGGGAAACGCCCACGAAAAAUAAAAUAAAAUGGGAUAACAGUAAAUAAACGUGCACGUAUGAAGUGCUCCCCUAUUUUGAGGGAAGGGGUUGAGAACCACGCGAGGCUCUAGAGGUGACACACACCGCCUCCCAAAUGCAAUGCAAGCGCGAGAUAAUCAAGUAAACAACAUCCAAUCAACCAAUCACAUAUACGUGAGUGAGGGAAUAGUUGGAUACGCGCGCGAGGCAAAAGGCCCUAAAAAUGAAAAAUGCAACCCUAAUAUCCAAAUGCAAUGCAUAAAAGGGUAGAAAAAGGAAACGAAUGGCUAAGUCAAAAUGCUUGGACCCACUUAGGAAGUCCCCAGUGGAGUCGCCAACUGUCGCGCCCCACUUUUUGAAUGAAUGUGAAAUGGUGUGUGUGGUGUGAGUGUGUGUGAUAUACAUGUGAACGUGUGCGGAAUGAAAAGUAAAAGGCCAUGGGACUUAGAAUGCGACGAUUUGGCCAAGUGAAGUUCAAAAGGGUUUUGGUAUCAAAAAAAAUGGAGUCGCCACUUGGUAUAGAGUUAGGGUGUACCAAGUCACCCAAAAAUGAUUUUUGUUUUUGAAUAAAAAAAGUAAAUAAACCCUUUUUGAGAACUUUUGGGUCUGCGUAACCAAAAGAGGGAUCGGGGGUCACAUUUGACGAAGGGGAAGGCAAGGAUAAAAAUCCAAGGCACCCCUUCGACCUAGCCAAGGCUAGUUGCGUGACUUAAACCAAUUUUUCCCUAAUUUUUCUACCCAAGGUAUGUAUCGCGUGUUGGAUAUGUCUAUAUGAAUGCAAAACCCUAGACCUAGGGGUAUGGGGGGAAAUUUCUCUUCAAAAGGUUGAGUGGUGCCAAUCACAUUAGUUGUGAAACCCAAUAAUGAUCCUUUUGGAGAGGUCACACCUAAACCUAAAUGACGUAAAAAAUGAGUGGAAUGCAUGCCAUGUGAAAGUGUGAGUUUGUGUGAAGUGGGAAAAUUGAUAAAAUACGAUACAAGUGGAGGUGUGCAAAUGUCUUUGAAUGCAAAUAUAUAUACUCCAAGUGCAAGUGGGCAAAAAAUGCAUGUAUGCAAUUUAAAGAAAAGUGCGAAAGUGUCGGUGUGCAAAUGAAGAUGAAAGUACUCGUGUGCGAGUGAAGAUAAGAGUGUUCGUGUGCAAGUGAAGAUAAAAAAGUGUUCGUGUGCAAGUGAAAGUGAUAAAAGGGUGCAUGUGUGCAAAUGAGACAAAAGUGAAAGUGUAAUGAUAGAGUGGAUUGAGAAUGCAUGAGCUUAGGGAAUUUAUGCAUAUUGGGUACGGGGAGACCUAAAUCGUGACUCAAUUUGCCCUUUGAUAGAGGGAAUACAAGCGUGCUAAGGCUUAGAAAAAGCCACACUCGUCUAUAUCCCAUAUUUAAGGGGACUCUUCAGGCAAAUGUACCCUAACUAGCAUGAGAUGCAAAAAUCCUAAAAUGAGGGAAAAGGGGCUCGAGGAGCAUGCCAAAUGAUAAAACUAAGAAAAAUGCAUGACAUGUAGUGAACAUGCAAAUAUGCACUAACAAAAAGGGAUGGCCUAAUGAGCCACAACUAGCAUUGGACUAGUGUGGUGACGUACAUUCAUCCAUUCCAUUCAUUCAUGGUUAUGAAAGCAAGUAGACAUGCCAAAACGCUCGUAAACACGUAGCACGUAGCACUUAGCAUGCUCGACUAGAUGCAAGAGCCUACUAAAGCAAUUAAACAUGUAGCAACAAAAACAAGCAACCAAGGGGAAGGGGAAAUGGACCAGAUGCUCUCCGAGCGCUAUCUAUUACAAGCCAAGAGGUGUACACAUACCCCAUAAAAGCAUAAAAGGGAAAGGGUGAAUGGACCAGAUGCUCUCCGAGCACUAUCUAUUACAAGCCAAGAGGUGUACACAUACCCCAUAAAAACUUAAAUAAAAGGGAAAAGCAAGUAAAUGCACGCAGGGAGGUAAGGAAAGCGAAGUAGACAGGCAUAUUCACAUAACACAUAGGAGCACGUAGGAAAAAUAAAGUGCAAGUGAGGGAUAGAGUGUACCUCCCUUGCAAUCGGGGCCCAAUGAAGUGAAAUCACUUAUUUAUCCUCCAAAAUAAUAGAAAUGGUCAAGGUACCAAUUUAUUUGGGAAAAUUAAAGAAAAUGUGCAAAACAAAGCUCACUUGAUCAUGAAGCCCCUAAAGUCAUGACUUAAGCGCAAUUGAAACAAAGCAUGGUAGUUAAUUGAAGCAAACAAGCAAUAAAGUUGCACAAAUUAAAAUUAUCAAGGACCAAUUUGAUGAAAUUCUUUAAUUGAUUGGGUCCUAGUGGAACAAGGGGAGACUCGGGGGGCCAAAGUGCAAUUUUUAGAAAUUAUUUCAUGCAUAAGCAUGCAAUCACGUAGCUUUCUUCUUUAGACAAUGCUUCUGCAAUUCUCUUCGCUAGUCUCUGCAAUCUGCUAUGCCUUAUUACCAAAACGUUACCAACAAAACAGCCACACUUUUGAGUCAAAUGAUCAUAGUCAUCCCCCCAUUCAUCAACCAAACCACAUGACACACUUUCAUUGCCUGAUUAAAUCAGAAAAAUCUGACUUGGUGGUUGCUAGUUAACACAAAGGGCGGCAAGAAUUAUAACAGCAAAACAAGAGUGCAGCAACAACUCUGCUCACUUCUCCAUGAUUUUGCAACUUCAUUAGCUAUUCAGGGAGCUUACAUUAGAUUCAAAAACCAUCAUAAAACAUUAGCCUAGGCAUGCAAAUCAAGGAGAAAUGGGAAAACUGGCAAGUUUAACAUCAAUCCUAUGUUUCUUGCUGCAAUUUUAACAGGUAUGAUUAACUACACUCCAACAAGACUUGAUAAACACCAAAAUGCAUGAUUCAUGUCCUCUUAAUGUCAAAGCUAAUGAUUUCUCUAGAUGCAGCUUUAAAACAGAUAUUAUCCACGGCAUCAUAAUCAGGCAAUGAACAAAAUCAAACAGGUCAAGCCAACUGCAACUUAACAACCCAAAAAGAGGAAAAUCUAUUGCAAUAAGAACCGAAAGUUUAAAACUUGCUACAGCCAAUUCUAAAACUAAACUUAGAACUCUAACAACCAUGUGUCUUGCCUAAACAUGAAGGUUCUAAGGACAAAGGUCAGAUGCCAUAAUCACCAAAAAAAAUCAAAGCCAACCGCAAUCAUUAAAUACACGAACCAGUGACCAUUACAACGAAGUAAAACAUGAAUGAACAUACGAGAACAGAGGGAAAAGAAAAACAACUGUAAUGAAUUUGUGUUUCUAAUGAAACCAGUGAUGGUAUCAUCGAAAACCAGAGAAAGCUUCCCCCUCCAUCAUUAAACAUCUCAGGUAAGCAAGAGAAAAAGAAAAAGGAAACAUCUUUACCAGCAGAAAUGCAAACAAAGCUGUGAUUUUUACCUUGAUUCUGGUGGUGGAGGCGGCUCCAGUCCUUGGGCAGGCCGUUGGCCACUUGUUGGCUACGCAGGAGAAGAAGGACGGUAGUUGUUGGUUGCGAUGGAGGUUGCGAGCGAUGUAGUGACGGUGGACAGCAAGCAGCGGCAGAGGCGGACUGUGGUGGCUUGAACGGACCUUUCUUGCGUUUCCCUCCGCAGCCUUGCACCGUGGUUCCCUCAAAAUCCAGCCGCCCUUUGCCUCUUCUUGCUCUUGACUCACGGUGGAGCCCACGGGUAACGAUGGUGGAGUGAAAAUGGUGAAAGCUUCGCGAGGAGCAUCAGCUCCAGUUGCUGCCUUGUUGCUGGAAGAACGGCACCCGAUGCCUCUCUUCUCUCUUUAAUUCUCUAUCUCACCCUCUCGCUCUCUCUUUUUCUUGCUCAGCCCAUCUCCUAGUCACCCUUCUUCCUCUCGAAACUUGUCUGCCAAAACCUCGCCACUCUCUCUCCUUUUCUUCCAGCCGUCCCUCUUCUCUCAAGUCACGGACUUUGCUCAGAUUUUUUUCCUUUUCGGCCGUCCCCCCCCCCUUGCGGCUGUUGCUCUCUUAGCCUUUUAUAUGAAGCUCCCUUUAUCCACAAACCCUCAACUGGAUGGUCAGGAUGAAGGGCCUGCCCCUGCCUUCAUCCAGCCCUUCCAAAAAUGGUUCCGUGGGUGACCUUUGCACGCUGCAAAAAUUGCAGCGUGCAUGCGGCGACCAAUUUUUUUUUUUUUUUUAAACUAAUACAAUAAUAACAAAAUUGAUAUUAAAUAAAGAAAAACAACAAUAUAAAAAACUAGGAAUAAGAGAUAAAAAACAAUGAAAUGCUAAUUAAUUUUCCUUUUCUUCAUUUUCCGUUUUUUUCAUUUUUUCCUCCAAGAAAUUCUACGCUAAAAACUUAAAAAUAAAAAUAAAACUAGAAACUAAAAACUAAAAAUCGAAUAAAACUAACACGACAAAUAAAAAACUAAAAAUAAACAGUAAACGAAAUUACACCAAAAAUUUGGUGUCUACAGGACAAAUUUUAUCUUUCAUUUGUAAAAAAAGAAAAAGAAAAAAGAAAGACUAAGAAGAAGCCAAACUGGAGCAAUUUUUUAGUUUCAAUAGCCCUAUAUUGGGGCAAGAUCUUACAGGAUGCUGUCUUAGGAUUUUUGAAACCCUUUAAAAUUUGCUUUCGAACCUUAACAUUUCUUAACACCACACAUGACUCCGUUACAAAAAUCAUAGUCCCGGCCUCCGCUUUAGUAGUAUUUCUAAUGAAAAUUUUUUAAUCAAAUGGCAAAUGAUGUCAACACAUCUUCAUCAAUUUUACAACGGAAGGAUUGUCAUACUGAUACCAUUAAUCUUGGAACAUAUUUCUGAAUCAAUAAAGGAUGUUGUUAAAUUUUUUCAUUAGAUGAAAAUCCGAAAGGGCACUUUCUAAAAAAAAAAAGAAAAAAGAGGAUGAAAUAAUAAAAAAUUAAAAAAAUGAGAAAUGAAAAAAUGAAAAAAAUGAAAAAAAUGAAAAGCAAAAGUAAAAAAAAAAAAAGAAAAAUAAAUGGGUGGGGGCAACCUUAGUGAAAACCCGAAAGGGCAUUAAGGUAGGGUUUUGAAUCACCGACUGAGUCGGAAAUGGAAAGUAGAGGGUUGAUUGUUAAGAAGUUGAUGACUAUGUUCGUUUGGAUUUCUUCUCGUGUUAAGGUUCUUUUGGUGACAAUGACUUUUAAAAUUGUGAUGUCCGAAGGGGUCAAGUGUGACAUUUUUCUCAUCUUAGAAGGACCAUUCAAAUUCGUCUCCAAGUUCUUCUGUAAACUUAAUAAGGGUCAUUUUCUCUUCGAAAAUUUAUUUUGCUCUAUUUGGUGUUCUUGCAUGAAAUAAUUUUGUCUAAAAUUUUUAGUUGCUUUCGUUUAACGUGGUCAAGAAACAAUCCCCAUAAUUCAUCGUAAUUGAUGCGUAAACAUAUUUCUUAUGGUCUAAGCACAGUUGAUUGAAUACAGAUGCUAGCGGAUCAAGGAAGGGUUACACAAGAUUUUCGAGUCGAACAGUUAUGCGAUAUUAAAUGGCCCAGGUUUCUCAAGGCUCGAGAGACCACACGGUGGUGGCAUUAUAUUUCGUCAUGAUUAUUUCUCUUUUGCAGGAAUGAACUACACACAUUUUCUUGAAGGGACAGAAAAUCAGCAAUCAUUCAAUCAAGUCUGAUCUAUAUUGGGGCAAUUUUAUCACAAAGGUGAUAUCUGAUCAUUUAAGUGAGAAAAAUAGCAAAAAUCACUUCAUACCUUUUCAUUCAAACACAUUUUUUAUAUUCUUUAUUUUGUUGAGUUUGAAUUUUAUCCCACCAACCGUGCCAGAUUUGGGUUUUAUCCCACUGACUGUUUAUUUUGUCGGACUUGGGCUUUAUUCCACCGACUGUUAUUUUGUUGGGUUUGGAUUUUAUCCCACCAACCGUUUAUUUUAUUGGGUUUGGGUUUUAUACCACCAACCGUGUCAGGAUUAGGUUUUAUCCCACCAAUCGUUUAUUUUAUUGGAUAUGAAUUUUAUCCUAUCGACCGUUAUUUUGUUGGGUUUAGAUUUUAUCCCACCAACAGUAUCGGGUUUGAGUUUUAUCCCACCGACCGUUUAUUUUGUCGGGUUUGAAUUUUAUUCCAUCGACCGUUUAUUUUGUUGGGUUUGGGUUUUAUCCCAUCAACCGUAUCAGGUUUGGAUUUUAUCCCACCGACCGUUUAUUUUUUUGGGUUUGAGUUUUAUCCCAUCAGCUGUUAUUUUAUUGGAUUUGUAUUUUAUUUCACCAAUCUUUAUUUUGUUGGAUUUGGAUUUUAUCCCACCGACCGUUAUUUCGUUUGGUUUGGAUUAUCCCACCACUCCUUUUAUUUUCCGAUUUAAAAUUUUCAAUUUAUUAAGUUUUUCUAACUGUUUCGAUUAUAGUUGAGUCAGAUAGAUAAGUAAUUCGGUGUUUACGUCUUUGUAUCGAAUUUAUGCGAAACCCAGACAAAGAGGGGCACUUGUAGGCACCAAAAAUUUAUCAUUAUUUUUAUUUCUUUUUUAUUUCUUUUUUUUGCUCAUUUUUAGUUUAUGUUUAUUUUAUUUAAAUUAGUUAUAUUCAUUUUAUUUUAGUUAUUUUUAUGUUUAUUUAAAAAAAAAGGGAAAAUCACUUCAAAUCAGUUUUUAGAAAAAAUCGAAAAGAAAAGAAAACAAAAAAAAUGAAAGAAAACAAAAAAAAUGAAAAGUGCAGUUUUUUGCAAAAAAAAAAAAAAAUUUGACUGCACGCGCGCGUCAUCUCCAUGGUUUCGUACCAGAAGCCAUGGAGAUGGCUCUUGUACCAUGUUACAAGCGCCAUUUCUUGGUCAUUUCCACUCAUUUUUCUUCCAUUUUUUCCUCCAUGCGAUCACUCCAGUACAAAACCACUUGGUAUUGAUCCAAAACAACAAGAAAAAUCUGAAUUCAAACCAAUCUAAUGGCUCAAAAUGUCCAAGAAAACCAGUCACCAUCUACACCAUUAAUUCUAGAUUUUGGGGAGGAUUUGUGGCUAUAAAAAGAAUAAAAAUGCAGCACUAUGUCAAAAGGAUUGAGAGGGGAGGCGGCAGACAAGAAAAAUAUAGAGAAGGGAGAGAAAAUCGAGGGAGAAAAGGAAAAGCGCAGAAAAUUCUGGAAAAAGAAAACUGAGCCAGGAUUGAGGGUUAGGGUGGUUUCUUGAUCCUCUUUCGAUCUGUGUAGAGUCUCUUUGGAGGAAGUAUCGAUUUCUUGGGAAUCUAUGAUGACCAAGAAAGAAGAUUGGUGUUGGAAAAUUUGGAGAAAACCUCAAAAAUAUCUUCGAAUUCGAGCACAAAGUUACAAUUUCAUCAGCCCGCGCACCUCCUGUAGCAAAAAUUUCUUAAUUGAUUCCAAUUUCGAAACUCGUUCUUCUUGGAUCCCCGCUUCUAUUUGAUACCCUUAACCAUCGAAGGUAAUCUUUUUCACCUUGUUUUGUUGCUAUAUCAUCAGAUUUGCAUAAAAAUGUUGAAAUUUGGAUGCUGCAUUUGUCCCUGUUCUUUUCUCUCUCUUUGCUGCAUUUUUCUACUCAUUUUUGUGAGAUAGUAGUCUAGAUUUGCUGCGCAAUCUUGAGUUAAACAUUGCAUUUGGCUCUGAGGCAACUGUCUUGUGGAUUUGGGUUUGAAUUUUUGGCAAAACGUUUGUGUUCCUUUGCUGUGUUGGGUGAAUAAGCUCCCAGUUGCAGAGAGAGCAAAGUUUUUCUUCGAAUAAGAUGCAUAGGAAUUUCUAAAAAUUUCAUUUUGACACCUGAAUGUUUAGAUAAUUUCACUAUGGCCCAAAAUCUGGAACACUGAACCAGUUUUUGCCCCUUUUAAGUUUAAUCCUCUUUUUCAUGUUUUAAGUGGGUUUUUAAGUAGAUUAUUUCUAGGUUUUAUGAUGUAUUUAGGGUUUAAUGAUUUUUGGAAAGAUUUAUUAUCUUGUUGGGUUUAGUAAAUAGUUUAGGUUUUGGGUUAAUGUUAUUUAGUUGGGCUUGGCAAAUGGGUUUAGAUUUAUUUUGAUUGAAUUUUGACUUGGGUUUGGUGGCCCAAAGCCCGUAACUUUUGUUUGGGUUGAUUUGGUGAAAAGGAAGGGAUGGCCUAUUUGUUUUCCUUGGACUUUUGGCUGGGUUUAGGAAUUCUGGCCAAGAGAAAUUAAAAGAAAUGGCCCAAUGGCCUUUUUAUCAAGCAAUCUGGUAACGUAAAUUACAGAUUAUUCCCUAUAAUUUUGAGUAAUUAUAUUAUAGCCCUAAAAACUUUAAUUUUCUUUCAAUUAGGUUCCUAAUUUAAUUGUAAUUUGAUCUCUGAACUUUAUUUUUCUUUAAUUUUGACCCCUAAUAUUUGUAAUAAUUACACUUUUAUCCCAAAAACUUGCUUAGUUUUUGCAAUAGGUUCCUGGUAAUUUUGAUUUCUUAAAUAUAAGUUACUUUUCUUCUUUAAUUGUUAAUUAUACUUUAUUUAAGUGCUUUAAUUGGUAGAUUUCAUGAUUAUUUCUAUUUCUUUAUAAUUAAAUUGGUGCUUGAUUAUUUUGUUGAUUUUGGAGCAUAAAUAUGGGCAAAUUUCACCUCAUUUAACUACAAUUUCGAGGGAGGUAACCUCUUUUAUUAUUUUAAAUUCUUUUAAUGCUCCAAUGUGUUUUUUAUGUGUAAUUGCAUGUUUUGAGUGCCUUUUCUUUUAAUUACUCAUUUUAUUCAUUUUAAAUUUCGUUCGUUUUAUUUAAUUUUUUAUGAUUAUUUGUGAGAUAUUUAAAUGCCAAAUUAUAAUAGAUAUGCGUUCAAGAUCUGCAUUUAGCUAGCCUAUGUAAUAGAUAGGUUUUAAUUUUUGUUAAAAAUAUAUUUAGUUAGAUAUAUGUAAUAGUUAGGUUAUUAUUUUUAAAAUUCCCCCCUUAGAUUGUAAUUAGGAGCCCGAAUGUAAUAGUUAGGUUUUUAUUUGCAUUUAUUUGCUUAUGUGCUUGCAUACUUGUAUGUUUACGUGUUUAUUCGUUUUCAUUAGGGUUUUGCAUCUAGAAAUUAUGCUUAUGUGUUAUGUGCUCUAUGUGCAUUAUGUGUUCAUUUGCUUUAAUUAUGUUUUAUAUAAUUUAUUUGUUUAUAAUAAAGGCAUGACGUCAUCACACUAGUCCAACGCUAGUUGUGAUCAUUUUUCCCGAUUUUUCACUGGUCCGAUGCUAGUGAAGAUUUGUAUAAAUGGGAUAGUCCAAUGCUAAACCCUUUAAGUCGUUUCGCGCUAGAUUCACACUUUUUGCAUGACAUUCAUCGCAUUUCAUACAUAUUUUUUAUUUUUAGGAUAUUUUCUCAUCUUGUGUGAUAUCUCCUAUAUAUAUUACCUCACUUAUCCCUAUGUGCGCAAAACAUGACAUUUAGACUUGUAUUUCAUUUAGAAAAAUAGAAGUAGGCUAGUUCAUUUGCUUGACUAAAUUAGAAGAGUCACUUUUCAAAUAUGGGAAAUGAACGAGUAUGGCUUCUUUGCUUUAACACGUUCGUAUCCCCUCUAUAGAAAGGAAAAUAGAGUCACGAAUUUUAACCCAUUAUGUUGCAUUCCUCUCUCUUAGGUCACGUAUAUUUAUAUCUUCUAAUACCUCUUUUCUUCGAAUCUCAUUUUUGCAUAUUCGUGACCUCUUCUAAAAAUUAUUUUGAGCAUCACAAUUAAUGUGAUUUGUAUCAAUUAAAAUUUGAAGAGAUAUUUCGAUCCUCUCGAUAUCCAUUAGGUCUAAUUUGUAUCCAUAUAGAAAUAUCCAAAUGUGAUAAGUUUUAUAGGUUAGAUUAAGAAAAUUUUCGAUUAAAUCUUGCAACUAACUUUAGCUAGAUUGAAAGGGUGCCUUAGAUUUGAUUCUAUCAAAUCUUUGCUUUCCCUUUCUUCAACCGUGACUCCUGAACCCUUUUUUCUUGUUUUUCGAAGACUUGGAGCCAUCUAAAAAGGAGUUUUAUUUAUUUAUUAUUUAAAAAACAUAUUUUGGGUGACUUGGUACACCUUAACUCAAUAUCAAAUGGCAACUCCUAUUUUUUUCCUAAAAACCCUUUUUAGACUAUUAUUUUGGAUCAGAACCGUCGCACUUUUUUAAGUCCCAUUUUUGGCCCUCCUUUUUCUUUAUUUAUUCUCUAAAAUAAAACUAAUUUCAAAAACAAAAAUUUUCAAAUAAAAUACAUUUUUUCUAACAUCUAAAUAAAUUUAUUAUUUUUCAAAAAAUGGGGCGCGAUAGAAAUGAUGCCUUAGAUUUGAGUCAAUCAAAUCUUUGCCUUCUCUUUUUUCAAAUGUGACUCUCGAAUCCUUUUCUCUUGUUUUCAAAGAUUUUGAGUCGUCUAAAAGGGUUUUACUUGUUUUUAUUUUUUCUAAAAAAUUUUUAGGUGACUUGGUAUACCUAAAUUCAAUAUCAAGUGGUGACUCCUAUUUUCUUAAAAACCCUUUUUAGACUAUUAUUUGGGCCCAAAUCAUCACAUUUGUCUAAGUCCCAUUUAAGGUCCUUUUUCUUUAUUUUCUAAAAUUAAAAAAAAAACUCUUUUUUUAAAAACACUUUUCCUUUUACUUCAAAAAAUGGGGCGCGACAAUGACCAUUCUCUAUUUUUCAUGGUUCUUAUCUGCUUAACGAAGUUAUGGUAAGGUGAUGUGGCAGCUGCUUCUACUAUCAGCUCCAAUCCCACUUUUGAAUUCGACUCUAUGAUUAUGUCCCUAUAUCCUUUUCCCCAUACCAGUUGCAUUCCUUUAAGAAUUCCCCAAAGCUCUAUUGCUAUGUUGCUUGCCGUCCCUAUACUCUCUGCAAAACCUCCCAACCAUAUCCCUUUCUCAUCCCUAAUGAGCUCUCCUACUCCUGCAUUUUACAUUUUGAGGAACGUAAAGGGGGCGUUUCAGGCUAUUUUUCCUAUAUCAUCAUAUUUGACAGCAUGCCCCUAUUUCUUUUUUCCAUCUUUAUAGAAAAGUUAAGUCGAUCAUAUUUAGGAAUCAAGAGUAAAGUCAAGUCGUAAUUUUUUCUUUUUAAAAGAGAAUCAAGACUAAUUCUCUACUUACUCUUUAAUAACUUGAACUCGUAAUUUUUUGAUUAUAAGUGAAGAGUCUUUACCAAUUAAGCUGCACUUCGUAAUUGAUCUAUGCGUGUGUAUAUGUGUCUAUAUAUAUAUAUAUAUAUAUAUAUAUAUAUAUUUAUGUAUAUAUAUAGCAUGGCUUUUUGCAAUAGGCAAUAACUCUCUUAUUGAUAAUCAAUAUAUAACCAGCCAAUUGGCAUAAUACCAACCUUGUAUAUAUUAUUCAAAUUUAUUGAUACCGGGAAAUUUCAGUUUUCCCAUCACAUAAGACUGAGAGUAGUAGACGGCCUUAACAGUUAACAAAUUCAUAGUUGACUCUUAGGAAACCGUUGGCAUUGCCCUGUCCAUUGGUGUCAAUUUGUCGAAAGGGGCCAAUAUCCAAAUCUAGCCCACCAUUGCUGCAUUGAUCAACAAUCCUGACAACAACUUGAGCUCUAGUUGCUGUAUUAGUCACCUGCAUUAAAGAUUUGUAUGAGCUGUUAAAAAUUUAUAUAGCUUUUUCAGUUUUACUAGUUUUUCAAAACUUGCAAAUAACUCUUUAGUGUAAACCUACUCAUUUUGGCUAUGGAUGUAUAAAGUUCAUUAAAAAAGGAAAACAUUGUUUAGUUAGCUAAGAGAAUUGAAAUUGGAUUUGAAGUGCAUCGAAAAAGAAAAUUUUUUGCUUACUAUACAAUUUAAAUUCUAAUUCAAAUCCAAUUCUUAUGAGGAACCAAAGACUGCUGAUGUUUCUGUUUUUAGUACUAGCAAAUAAGUUUAAUAACAUCUAGCCUUUGUGGUUUCAAUAAUUUUGAUUAAAUACAUAUCGAAAUGCCAAAAUUGAUACGCAAAGAGACCAUAAAGCGAAUUUUAUCCUUCAGUGGACAUGAAAAGAGCAUAUUGAUAAGGUUACGAACUGAUUUACAUAGAAUGAAAUCCAACAAUGAUGAGAUUUUUUGCUUUAAAUGGACAUGAAGAGCUAAAUAGGAAACACAAAAGGUUUUCAAUAGCAUAAUUUCCACCAUACCAAAAAAUAUUUAAGCUCAAUAUUUUUUUGGUAAAUGUUCCUAUCUUCAUUCUAAUAACUAGAGUAGAACUAACACAAAUUGAUCAAAAAAAAAAAAAACGCGCGUACAUGACGUGAGACUAGCUAAAUUCUUCUUGGCUCGCAAAAUAUUUUUUUUAACAUGAAUUAUACACUGAAGAAACUAUGCUAAUCCAAAAACAUAUUUAUCAUUUGCAAUAUAAUUAACCAAAAAAAGAAGUUUGGAAGUUAAAACCACUUACCCUUAGGCACCUCCCACAUGCAGCCUGCCCUCGAGGUCCAGCAGGUCCACAAAAGGCAGUCCAACCAUAUUGCCUCCGCCACGAAAGGGGCUUGUUAGCAUCCCAUGUUGCACAAAAAACCCUAGCAGCGUUGAGGUCCCAAUUGAUAUUUUGGGGAUUGUACAAAUUGUAAGUGGCCCUAACAUUAGAAGCACUCUGGGAGUCAGCCACAGCAACAAAGAGGGUAAACGAAACGAUGCAAAGAAUUAGGGGAACCCUUUCCAUUUUGCUAUUUUUUGUCACAAGUUCUUCUUCUUGUAAAUUUUGAUGUAUGUGGCUUGCAUUUAUAGAGAAAUAGGUAGAGAUAGCAAAGUCGAAGAAGGAAACUCCAGCCCAUUUUCACUGAUGUGCUGUCAAAUUAAGAAGAGGAAACACUGGCAUAUGGAAUCUAGUUCAUUGUCAUCCUCUAGAAAGUCUUCGUGGAAUAUAACAAUAAAGACAAGAAAAUUGAAAUUAACAUGGUACGUAAUGUCGGUCAGUGAUUAUCCGAGCUUGACUCAACUUAUCGUUUUGACCCCCAAAAAAAAAAUUAUCCGAACUUGGCUGCUUUUCAUGACUAGGUCAGUCAAGUCAAGAUGUUAAUUAUUUGCGCAUUAUUUGAAAUAUUAUUUUAAAUAAUUACUAUAGCACUUUUUGUGAUAUGUGAGAUAAAAUACUAAUUAGAAAUAUAAAAAUGUGGAUUGAGAAAUGUGUUUAUGAUACAAGCAAAAUACUAUGUAAAAAAAAAAAAAAAAUUUAGCUAUCCAAACACUCUCAUAUAAAUUUGUUUAUAAUUCAAUUGACUAACAAAUAACGGAAAUAUUUGGCUUCUCUAUUUAGUUAUAAGAUUGACUAACCGAAUCUUAAGUUAAUUUGAAAAAGUCUUUAAAUAUAAGAAUACAAUAAAUAUAAAUAUGUAUAUUCAUAUGAAAUUUAGAUAUGCGAACGAGUACCAACUGAUCCCUUUCAAAAUAUUGAUUACUUUUCAAGUGUUUCAAACGGAACUAAUCGAAAACAAAAUCUAGUUGCGAUUUAAUCCUAGCAAUUAAGAAAAUCCUAGAUCGUGUGCUAGGCGGCGAGUUUGGCAAGGGCGGCUACGUUACGAAAAUGUGCGAAGACUGCCAAGUACAUUGCCACCCAAAGAUUUCUUCACACGGCAACCAAUGGAGAUGGCUCUUUCUAUAUUGGAGCUCUUCUUGGCUGCUCUAGCAUAUAUUUUAGAGGCUGGUCCAUAUUCCUUUUUUUUUGGUUUAAUCAAUAAGGAUUAUCAGGUUUUCUUUUCUUGUGGGUAAGGAAAUAAGGCUGCAAAGUUUGAAUAUUAUAGCCUAAUAGGCUAGUCUAUGUUGGACAUAUUUACCAAAGAAAAGUUGGGAUUACUACUCACUAGCCUCUGUUACUUGUUUGGUUAUCUAGUCAAUUUGUAGUUCUUUUUUUUUUUUUUUGUUAUUUAAGCUUCUUGUCCAACUUUUUAUAUUACUGUGUUUAUAGAUCACAAAAUCAAAUGUUGACUUAAGCUCCCAUGAUUCUUAUGAAAAAUGUGGAACUUUUUCUUUUCAAGAAUUAAAAAUUGUAUAUUACAUAAUAUGUAUGUAAAUAUAAAUUUCAUUAUCAAAUGAUAAUAUUAUACUACCUUAGCACACGUUUGUUAACAUAACAUCAAAGUAAAAUCAAUUACGAAAUGAGAGCAUUUAUUUUUUGAGGAAUGUAAAUCUAUCAUGAAGUGAGGGUGAAAGGGACUUUUCAUGCUAUUUUCCCCAUAUCCUCAUAUUUGACAGCAUGCCUUGUUCACUCCCAUUUCUUUUUAUCAUCUGUAUGGUAAAGUUAAGUUGCUUAUAUUCAGAGAUCAGCCUUCAUCGUAUAUAAGGUCGUAGCUUAUAUACAUAUUAUUAUGGCUUUUUUGCAAUCUACAAUAGCUUUAUUAUUGACUAUUGUUAAAGGCACACCCGAUGUGCUUGUAAUUUAGAAAUAACGAUUAUUUUUUUUAUGAAUUUGUAAAUCUUAUUUUUACACAAAUAAAUUUAUAAGAACUUUUCAUUAACAAACUUCAAUUUAUCAAUAAUUUUUUUUCUUUAAUUGAAAAAUAGAUAAUUUUGUAGUUGCAAUAUUCAAGGUAGUUAUGAGCGGUUAUGUUAGCAAAUGUGUAUCAGAUGAUUAGGGUAAAAAUAUUAGUUUUUCUAAGGAUAAAAUGAAAAGUGAAAAAAGGAUAGAAAAUGUUUACACCAAGUACUGUCACCGCUUUCCUUUUAUAUAUUGUAUAGAUAAUCAAUACACAACCAGCCAACCGGCAUAAACCCAACCUGGUACGUAUAUAUUAUUCAAAUUUAUUGAUUACAGGAAAUUUCAGUUUUCCCAUCACAUAAGACUGAGAGUAGUAGACGGCCUUAACAGUUAACAAAUUCAUAGUUGACUGUUAGGAAACCGUUGGCAAUGCCCUGGCCAUUAGUGUCAAUCUGCCGAAAGGGGCCAACGUCCAAAUCUAGCCCACCAUUGCUACAUUGAUCAACAAUCCUUACAACAACUUGAUCUCCAGUUGCGGUGUUAGUCACCUGCAUUAAAGAUUUAUAUGAGAUGUUUAAGAUUUAUAUAGCUUUUUCAGCUUUACUAGUUCUUGAAAACAUGCACAUAACUCUUAGUGUAAACCUACUACUCACUUUAGCUCUGGAUGUAUAAAGUGCUUUAAAAAGGAAAUCACUCUUCAGUUAGUUGAAAUGCCAAGAUUGACAGGCAAAGAGACCAAAAAGUGAAUUUUUUUUCUUUAAUGGACAUGAAAAGAGCAGAUUGAUAUGGUUGUGGAAGUGGAAAAAUAACAAUUGAUUUACAUAGAAUGAAUCCAACAAUGAUGGAAUUUUGUGCUUUAAAUGGACAUGAAGCGCUAAAUAGGAAACACAAAAGGUUUUCAAUAAUCUAAUUUCCCCCACACCAUAAAAUAUUUAAACACAGUAUUUUUUUUUUUUUUUUGGCCAAUGUUGUAUUAAAAUCCAACUAUUGCUGUUCUCAUUCUACUAACUAGAGUAGAACUAACACAAAUUAUUCUUGAAGCCAAAAAAAAAAAAAAAACACAUACACACACACAAACAAACAAAAAAAAGGUGAGACUAGCUAAAUUCCUCUUUACUAGUGAACAUUUUUCUCUGCACGACUUACACACUGAAGAAACUAUGGGAAUCCAGUAACAUAUUUAUCAUUGACAAACUAAUUAACCCAAAAAAAAAAAAAAAAGAAGUUGUCAAAGUUAAAACCACUUACCCUAAGGCACCUCCCGCAGGAAGCCUGACCAGUAGGUCCAGCAGGUCCACAAAAGGCAGUCCAACCAUAUUGGCUCCGCCACUGAAGGGACAUGUUAGCAUCCCAUGUUGCACAGUAGACCCCGGCACGGUUUAGGUCCCAACCGAUGUCUUGGGGAUUGUACAAAUUGUAAGUGGCCCUAACGUUUGAAGCACUCUGGGAGUUGGCCACAGCAACGAAAAGCGUGAAGAAUGCAAUGCAAAGAAUUUGGGGAACCCUUUCCAUUUUUCUAGUUUUUGUCACAAGUUGUUCUUGUAAAUUUCGAUGUUUGAGGCUUGCAUUUAUAGAGAAAUAGGUAGAGAUAGUAAAGUAGAAGAAGGAAACUCCAGAUCAUUUUCAUUGAUGUACAGUCAAAAGAAAAACACAUGCUGAAGUAUGGAAUAAUCUAGGUUUAUCAGCUAGUAAUUAUCUGAGGUUAACUACUACUCAUGGCUAUGUCAGUCAAGUCAAGAUGUUGAUUAUUGGCAAGCAACCUAUAUAAAUUCCUUUAUAAUUCCAUCAAAUAACAAAUAACGGAAAUAUUUAGAUUAUCUACUUAGUUAUAAGAUUAUAAGAUUGGCUAAUCGAAUUUUAAGUUAAUUUAAAAAGGUGUCUAAAUAUAUAUUCACAUGAAAUUUGGAUGUACUACCGAAUACCAACGGUUACCCUUUCAGAAAAAACCUAAGUUUAAUAUAUUGACAACAUUUCUUGUGUUUCAAACUGAACUAACCUGAGCUAUCUAAGCUCCUUAAAUUGGGGAAAAAAUAACUAGCACCGUUUUAAUCCUAGCAAUCAAGAAAAAGCUAGAUCGGGUGCUAGGUGGCUAGUUUGCAUGUUUGGGAAAUGGGAAGGCGGCUAGCUAGCUACGUGCUAAGUUAAAAUAACGUGCGAAGACCGCUAACUGCCAUGUACUUUUCCAUCCUGGGAUUUCUUCACACAACCACAAUAGAGGUGGCUCUUUCUAUAUUAGCGCUCUUCUUAGUCGCUCUGGCAUAUUUUCAGAGGCUGUUCCAUUGUUUGGUCAAUAAGGAUUGUUAUUGUUUGCUCAAUAAGGAUUGUUAGGUUUCCUUGUUUGGUCAAUAAGGAUUGUAGCAAAGUUUGAAUGUUAUGGCCUAAUAAGCUAUUAUAUGUUGGACACAUCUACCAAGAAAGAGUUGGGAUUGCUACGCUCUAGCCUCUAUUAAUUGUUUAAUUAUCUAGUCAGUUUUUGUAGUUUUUUUUUUAAAAAAAAUUAAACUUCUUGUCCAACUUCUUGUUUUAGUGUCUAUGGAUGACAAAAUCAAAUAAGACACCUCCUAAUUUGACUUAAAGCUCCCAUGAUUCUUUUGAAAACUGUGGAACAUUUUCUUUUUAAGAACUAAAAAUUGUAUAUUACAUAAUAUGCAUGUAAAUAUAAAUUUCAUUAUCAGAUGAUAAUAGUGUAGUACCUAAGCACAUGUUUGGUAACAUAACAUCAAAAAUAAAAUCAAUAAUACAAUUUACGAUUCUUAUUAAAACACUAUGCCAAAGAACUUAAAAGGUGCACUAAAAAUAAUUAAGACUUUUCACUUUGCACCCUCGAACUUGUACUACUUUUUCACUUUGUACCCUAAACUUCAAUUUUAGACAUUUUGUAUCCUAAACUCUCAUUUUUGGUUACUUUGCUAUACAAAAUCUCAAGUUUGUCCAAUUUAAGUCCAAUUAUUGACAACAUUAGCCAUAUUAACAAGAUAAAGGACUAAGCAAAUUAAUAACAAUGCAUCAUUUUGUUCUAUUUGUGAUCUCAUGACUCCUUCUGAGCAGUUUCAGUACAUUAUCAUUGAUUCGUAUGGUCGCAAUCACUAAUGUUGUUAGUAACAUUAUCAAGAUAGAAGAUUGUGUAAAAUAAUGACAAUGUAUCAUUUUGUUCUGGUUGUGUUACCUUGACUCAUUUUGACCACUUUUAGGACAUUGUCAUUGAUUUAUUCUCUAUGCCCUUAAUUUUACUAACAUUAUCAUUGAUUGAUUUAAAUGGAAAAACCUUGAGAGUUUAGGGUGUAAAGAGUCCAAAAUUAAGAGUUUGGGGUGUAAAGCAUCCAAAAUAAAAGUUUAGGGUAUAAAGUGAAAAGGUGAAUAAGUUUGGGGGCACAAAGUGGAAUUAGUCCAAAUAAUUAUCUGCCAAUCAGUAUGAAAAUCACUCAUUUAAACUUGCAAAAUCCCUGAAACAUAACCAGAUGCUAACAUAUUAAGUAACUUGUAACAGAAAACUAGCGACCUUUCGAAUUUUCCUAGGUCAAAGUUUGGAAGGGCUUUGCUUUAGUUUUGAAUGAGAAAUGAUGUCGAGGACUAAGUCAAAAUGGACUUUUUCAAAGAAAGGUUUUUUUAGUAAGAGCUACAUAUUAGAAAUAAGAAUGGGAACAAUAAAUUGAAAAGAUCCAUUCCAUGAUUCUCCCUCCAACCAAACAUGGAGUAAAUGAUUUUUUGCUGAUGACGAUAAAAAUUCUACAACCUUAGCUCAUUAAUGACCGCCAUUAUCAUAAAUUUGUGUAAUCGAUUUUAAAUGGAUGUAUUGCGAGUAUACUUUAUGCACCAUAAUUUAUUUCCUGAUUAAAUUGUGCUCUCUAUAUCGAGUAGCUAACUCUAAUAUCUGAGAAUCAUGUGAUAAUUUUAGAAAUCUCCGUGGGGUUUUUAACAAUUUCAUUCGCCUCCCUUGAGUUUUGCAAAAUAACACUAACCUCCCUUGACAGUGUUAUGGAUCCAAUUGCUUACAUCACAUAGGGAAAAAUUACUCAUAUACCCUAAAAUAUUAUGUUUUGUUGAAAAUUAAUAACUGACAAUUAAGUAAUUAGGGCACCAAUUAACUAUUAAUAACUAAUUAAUGAAGACAACUGCUGGAAAUUUUUUUAAUGAUGAACAGUAACUUACAAUUACAAAAUGGUGCUAAUUGAUGUACCAAAUAUAUGUUCACUCUUAAAAAUUGAUACACCAAACAGUAAUUUGUUUAGAUUUUUUAACUCUAAAAAAUCUUCACAGUUGCUUUGUGAUUAUACUUGUAAUAUUUGUUCUUGGUGCUAAAUGAUGUGGAUGAAUUUCAUGAUUUUCCUUGUAGCUUGACAAGGCCAUAGUUUCUGCACCUAUAGUUCACUUUCAACUUAUGAAAUCCACACAAAUUCACUAUUUUUUCACCUCAAAUUUUGCUACUUCAAGUGAAAAUGAGAUUUAUCUUAAUGUUUCUUGUUGCCUUUAUAUGCAAAAUGUCAAAGACCUGAAAAAUAGUAGUUGUAAUCUAAUGCACUAGCUAUUGGUCCCACUUUGUAGAGAAAGUCAGUCGAUACUUAUUUUUUGUUCUUUGCUAUUUAUACUUACCUUCCCUCACUUUUAUUAAUAUGUUUUUCAUUCCUUACAAUACAACUUAUACACAAGCAUAAAGGGUAUUUGUGAAAUACAAGUUUUAUCCGAUUAAAGUCGCUUGGAACUCUAUACGCCAACACCGGGACCUAUCUCAAGUAGAUCGUUUGGUUUGGAAUGGACUUGUCCUAUUGAAAAUAUCAUUCUCUGCUUGGCGAUUAGUUCGCAAUCUGAUUCCCCUAGAGGUGACUCUCAAGAAAUUUGGAAUACCUAUUGUAUCGCGUUGUCUUUGCUGUCGGCUGCAGGAAGAAUCGUGGAGACAUCUGUUCAUUACAGGUCCAAUAGCUCUCCAGGUGUGGACUCAUUUUCGGAAGAGAUUCGGUAUUAUUGAGUCUACAUUCUCGUCUGUCUUGUCUCUGUUACUCUCCUGGUUUUCCUCUAGCUCGGUGAGGGAGGUGAAACACAUUAGGGUGGUGGUUCCGGUGGUAGUGCUUUUGUGACAGCCCCACCUUCCCCUAGGGCGUACCCCAAGGGUUAGCAAACUACCUGCCCAACUCUCACCAGAACUACUAAGCCAAAACACACGUAAACCCUACAAAUCGUGCAAAAGAACUUCGAGAAAACGAACGGUCGGAAACUGAAUUAGUUAACUAAAUGAUGCCAUAGAACUUCGAUUAAUGCUCCAACGAAAAACGAAAUGGACAAAUGUCACAUCAGAAUCCAACCAAAACUUGGCCGGAUUGCCGGCCGGAUUCAAGGCAGUGAGCAAAACUAAAUUUUUCCAAUCUCCGCUGCCAAUCCGACCAAGUAUCCGGCAGGAUUGUCUGCAGUUGUUUCCUGCCAGAUUGCUUUUCUUUCCUUGCUCAAGUUCCGCACUCAUCCCAUCAUCCCAACGAAUGCAAGAAAAGUUCACAUAAACCCAGAGAACGUACAUUCUCAAACAAAUACACGGGAGAGACAUGAUUAAGUACUUAUAUACAUACAUUGGAAACUUUACAAAUCAAAGUGUGAUACUUGAUCAAAAUACAAUUAGGGUUUACCAGUACAGAGGAGCUUAAUCAAAAGAUUUUAUAUAACUAGCUCUACUCUUUUCUCUAAAAAUCACGGUUUCAAAGUUUUUCCCCUGUAAGGAAAACAAAGGUAACGGGAAUGAGCUUUCGCCCAAUAAGGUACCAACAGGUCAAGCAGUCAGAUAUCACGAAAGUACGCAUGUAAUCAAUCAGAUAUAGAUAUCAAAUAAAGAGGAAGGAAUACCACAGUUAACCAGAAGUAAAAUGAUACAGAUGGCUCUCAAGUGCCAAUUUCCUCUUUUGCAUCACCAGAGCUUGAUCAAGUAGUAAUUGACACUCCGUCCACUUUCAAGGAAGUAACCAGUCCAGUAGAGCACCACUUUACACCAAAUUUCGUCCACCAAACAUACCCCUUAUCGGGUCCGAACGCCUCAACAGGAACAGAGAUGGUAAUAUUCGAGUAUACCAAGAAUCCAGAAUCUCCAAUACUCAAAGAUUCCAAAGAAACAGGCCCCUAAAGCUCGUUAAUUUUCCUCGACCAAGCCCCUUGCUGGCUCGAUUCAAUUAACUACCAAUGGGGUUGAGUUCAGAUUUAACAGGAAGGUCGUUGGAUACAAGCCUCCAAACGACAUCAUAUCAGGCACAAGUAACAGAUUCAGAUUGAUACAGGAACUAGCAAAUAGGCAAGAGAAAUGAGUGUGAUAAAGUACACCCUCGUUUCGUCCAGAAUAAACAGAUGGUACAGUCAUUCAAGUCACAAAUUGCAGGUACAAGUAAAUCAAUUAAGCAACAAGUCAUGCGAGUGGUAUACUCACCGGUUCAAGCAAAGAUAACUUCAAAAGUUUCCUCCGAAAGUAUGCCUUUGAUCAUCGGCACGUCCUAAGAACAACCAAGGUAAAACAAUUAUGGUUUCCACAAUCGAAACCUAGUAAACAGAAUUCAAAAGUGUGACUCGACUACGUGUCGAACGCCUAUCCAUGUUAACUACUAGAACAAGGACGCAAGAUGUGAUUUUUGGGCAAAAAGGAGACACGUGAACCUAGGGACACGAGCAACCCAAAAGCCUUUCAUUUCUACCAAAAUCAACUCAAACGUAAAGGAACCAAACGACUUCAAACUUUGGACAGCAUUUCCCCUAGAUUACUUUACUUUUUCCAUCCUACAAUCAAUCACUAAUCUCAUCUCAAUUACCCUCAAUUGCACAUACAAAUCAUAAGCUAUAGGACACACUUAAUUAGGGCCACAAUACCCUUCAAAUACAACCAAUUGGUAGCUCCAAAACUAACCCUAAUCAUGCUCAAAUUAGAAACCCUAAAGCUGAAAUUUAGGCACAUAAGCUGGAAAUUCCUUUAGACAAGUUAAACUACCACAUAAAACCUCAAUAUUACACAAGGCAAAGUUAUCAAACCAUGGCCAAUCAUAAAGCAUCAUAUAAAGGCAGAAAAUUCCCCAUAAAAACUGAAAAUUUUCAUAUCAUCACCUCAAACCACAAUAUUUCUCAUAAACCACAAAUAUUGCCACCCUAAACCACAAGUAUGCUAGUAUUAGAAGUAAAGAAAAAUUUCUUGUCUUACAUACCUUAGAACCUCAAGAAAGAUGGAAACUUAGGGCUUCCUCCUCCAAAAUCACUCCACCAAAACCUCUAAACCUUCUUAAUGAGCAACUUUUAUGGAGAAAUUUGUAAAUUUAUUGGUUGGAACUCAAGAUUGAAGCAAGGAAUUGAAGUGCAAGAUGAAGUCUUCUCUCUCUUUUCUCCUCUCCAAGGUUUGGCCAAGCAAGGUGAAGAAAUGAAGAAAUUUUGGUCAAAAUUUGAUUUUAGAAAAAUUAAGAAACCUUAGUCAAAGUCCAACACUUAAGGGUUUCUUGACACUUGGCCUUUUCUAGAGUUUUCUCCCAUUUCUUUGUCUUCCAAAGCUAAUCUACCUGGCUAAUUCCUAAUUAUCCCUUAGCACCUUAUAACAUAAUAUCCCUUUAUGCAAAACUUCACCUAGUGGUCAAAAUUUUAUCGCACUUACCGCACUAUCGAGUCUCACGUCUACAAUACACUUCAAAAUUAACAUGAACUAAACUUAUAGCAGAAAAAUAAUUUAAAAACACUAUAUUCACUUAUAAAAAUCUCUGAAAAUUAAUUUAAUAUAGUAUAGUGAAGAAAAUGCAUGCAAAGAAAUAAAAUAAAAUAAUAUAAAAUAAGGGAAUUUUGCAGGUCCUCACAGCUUUGGUGUCUGUGGAAAGCAAGAAAUAAUGCUCGGUUUGAGGGCACAAGAUUCGAGGUGGGUAACGUCAUUAUGAUGGUUGAAUAGGUGGUCGGGCAGUUAGGCAAAGUAGGAGUGCUCUCGGCCACACACUUUAGGGGUGAUGCUGAAGAUCCAUGGGCGGAGUUAGCACACCGCCUCAUUCGGAGAAGGCAUUGUGUUGCGGUUUCGUGGAAAUGUCCUCCAUCCCCUUUCUUUAAAUUGAAUAUAGAUGCCAUUGCAGUCCAGAGGUGAGCAUCCGGGGGUGGCAUUCUUAGAGAUUCAAGUGGUCGAUUGGUAUUCACUUUUUACAAGGAAUUCAGCAAAAAAGAGGUCCUGAUUGCAGAGAGUUUGGCACUACUUCAUGGUCUUCAAUUGUGUCAUGAAUGGCAAAUCCAGAGGCUUCUAGUGGAAGUUGAUUCACAAGUGUUGGGUCAGUUGAUCCAUUCAGGAAGGGUGUCGAAGUGGCCUUUAUGUAACAUCCUGCGACAGAUACGGCACUUAUUAGUCUCAUUGUCAUCUUCAGUGUCACACACCUUUCGGGAGGCUAACUCUUCCUCUGAUAGGCUGGCAAAUUUGCAGUUGGCGUCUGACUUGUUCUGCACGUCUCCUCAGCAACUGCCUAGUAUGGUAAGGGCAUCUGUACUGUUUGACUUUAGGGAACUCUCGUCGGUGCGUCGGCACUAUGUUAUAAAAUAGCCUUAGUAGUUGUGCUCUAGAUAGCGGUGCGGUUGGAAGACUCUCUGUGUAACCUUUACAUUCGGGCUAUGAAUAAAAUAUAAAGUUUAAAAAAAAAGUUUUAUCUCUUUUCUCAAGGUACUUUUUUAAUGGUACUUUUUCUGAAUUAGAUUGAUAGUGUUACCGAAACCUUAACUUUAGGGGAGAUUAGUAUAAUUUUACAAAUCUCAAGGGAGGUUAGUGAAAUUGUUGAAAAUAUCAAGGAAGGUUUCUGAAAUUAUCUCUAGAAUCAUAUAGUGUGUUCCCUCUAUUUCCAUUUUAAGAUUAUAUUUCAUAUUUUAGCUUACAAAUUAUUCCUAAAAAAAUGUUUUUGUUGGGAGAAAAAGGGGUUAAUGUGUUAUAACAUUGAGCUAUUCCUUAUACUGAACAUUUUACUCCCUAUUGUACAGUAUAAUUGUAUGUAUCCAUGGAGUAGUACAGUUUAUAAAAAUAAAAAACAAUUCAUAUGAACUUACUUUGUUACAAAAGUAUCGUCCAGCAUGAUGAUUUUUCUGACAUAAUUUACGUUCCGAAGUUGUAAGACGAAAAAUAUGAAAAUGAGGGUUGUUUAUAUAUCAAGAUUUCUUCAGAGGUUUUAUCAAUAGAAAUUGAGUAGAAUGAUUUGCUCAAAUUUGUAGUGAUCAACUCAAAAUAAUAGCCAUGUGGGGCGGUGCUAUUGAUUGAGUUUCGUAAUACUUUCGAAAUAGCCUUAUUUCCUGGAUGCACUAUUUUUUUGGUGGAUUUUAUUCUUAAGACCCGCCAAUAGACAAUUGAUAGUCAUUAUUAUUGUGAACCAACAUGUAACACAAUGGGGACUUAGUUCUAUCAAUAUUACUUAUACUAGGAUGUAAAUUCAACAAAAAUGAAUGCCGCUUAUGGUAUCGGAGGCGAUUGAAGUACUACCUUGUGCCGCGCAUGCGACCCAUCAACCUACUAGCAAUGGGGGAGAAAACAUAGCAUGUCGCAAUAAAAGUUUGAUUCGAGGCGUCAGCAAAACACUGCCGUCUGUUCCACAAAAAGCCCCUUAGCACCCCGGGACGGGAGUAGGAGACGGCCCUACGCGCAGGCAACAGCAGCGCCGGCUCUGCCUUUUACUCUAUUAACUUCCAAUAAAAAGACACUAGGUCCCAAAAUCCAGUUCAUCUAGUGGGAAUAUUAGUUAGACAACCCCAAGAUUUCUAGUUUGAUUUUGGAGUAGUCCCUUUUCUCUUUCCCCUUACAAAUUUUGGACUCCUUUGACUGGAAAUACAAAUUAUUAUAGGACCUCAAAUAGAAGCAUAAACGCAAUAUUCACCAAGCGGCACAACAAAAAAAAAAAAAAGGUUAAAAACACAAUCCAAGAAACUGAUGCAUGUACCUUGCAUACCAUCAACCCAAGUAAGCCCUUCGAUGAAAGAUAAAAGCGAGUUCUCGAAUUAAAAGUUUCUAACAUGAACGGCGGGAUAGAAAGGAAAACUUCAAUCUAGUAGUAAAUAUAUAAAUUUUUUAGUUUCCAACAUGAACUGAAAAUUAAAAGUUUUUUUUUAUUAUAGAGGCACAAGGAGAUUGCAUAACUUUGAUAAUUCUUUUAUAAUUAUUUAAAAUAAUUCUAUCGCUAUGAACCUUGCUAUUAUUGGUCUUUGCAUAUUAUUUGGAAAUGGAUCAAACCUAUUGCACAUAUUUGUUUCAAAAAAUAAAUUUGAAAAAAUCAUACAGGUAAUAAGUUUUAAAAUUAGGUACUUUAGAUAUAUGUUUUGGAAAGAGAGUUAUUUUGGCAAAAAGAACUCCAACUUAAAUUUGAAGCGAAUUUAUUUUCAUAACAUAACGGUAAUUUAGGAUAUUCAUUUGGAUUGACGUUACUUUCCUAUGGUAUUAAAAUUGAGAAAAUAAAGUAAGGUAACUGUACUUUUUCAAACUUAAAGGAAACUUCUUAAGAUUGAUAAUCUUAGGGAGGAAUGUGUUUUUUUGCCCUAGUAAUUUUUCCUUUCGUCGCAUCAUUAUAUGUUGAGACCAUCACUUUGGAUUUUGAACGGAGAACUAAAGGGCCGUUUGGUAAUGUUCUGUUUUCCUAUUUCUGUUCUUUGCUAUGAACAAAACACUUGUUUAAUUAUACAUAAACAUGUUUGAUUCAUAAUAUUUUUUUUGAAACAAAAGAAUACAAAUAUAUUUGAUUAGACAUUAUCAUUGUUGUGUGAGAGAAAAUGAUUAAUGAGGCUUAAAUUUAGUAUAAUAUUAAAGUUAGUGCAUAUUUAUGGAUUAGGCUUGACCAAUUAAUUUCAACUCAAACUGCGUCUGACCUAAUAAUAUCAAAUUAAAUAGUUCAUAUAUUUAAUACUUAUACAUGUUCAAAAUGAGUAAGAAAGUAUAAAUUAAUUGUGUAUUUGUUAAAAUGCAUUAUCUUUAAGCAUUAUUCUUGUAAUUAAGUAAUACAUAAUUAAUAAAUAUAUGCUGUAAAUAUAUAAAUCUAGUAUUUUUUUCCCUAUAAUAUAUAAGUAAAUCAUUUUGAAUUUUUAAACAUGUAUGAUUUUUCAAUAAAUUUGAAGCUAACCCAAUUUCAGCCUAAGACCCAUGUUAGAAAAAUGAGUUGAGAUGAAAUCUUACAUGUAUUGAAUUCAGGAUUAAAAAAAAUGUUAUUUUUUUUCUUGUAUUGGGUUUAGGCUUGAUGAAACCCAAUUAAGAACAAAGCAUAAGCUUUAACGGCGAGAUGAUUCGAGCCGGGCUAAACCGAAAUGGGCCGAAUUAGAUGGCAUCGAGUAGAGCAGGUUGAGGUAUCUAGGUGGAAUAUAUAAUGGUGGUUGAGUGAAGAUGAAAUGAAACAAUUUAAAACAUUUAUUUAUUAACUUUCUAUUUUAAGUGUUUUUAAACAGCUAAGAAAAAUAAUUUUGGUGUUUUAAAGACAAGGCACAUAUUCAUGAAUGUUUCUCAUUUUUGUAAGACACAAACAAUUUUAACAAACACUAUUUUUUGUCUUUGUUUGUCAAAAUCUACAAACAAAAACAUAAACAUAGCAAACAUAAAUGUUACCAAACGACCAAGUUUCACAAUUUUUCGGGCUAGAGUUUUCAAAAGCAAAAUAUGAUUUCUGGUGCAUAUUAUUGAUCUACAUCAAUAAUUGGCUCAUUGAUGUAAUAUUUAAGGUUUGAGAAGUUUUCAUUCCUAUUUGUAAGUAAUGUUUUUAAAUCUGGAACAUAAAGGGCAGCGGAUGAGCUUCAGUUCAUGACUCAAUCGAUUCAAUCUCGAGGUCAAAAAUUUAAGCUCUGUUUGGAUUCAAGAGUUUUUCAACUAUUAUUAAAAUUUUUAAAAAGUAGAUAAAAUUUUUUUUAAUGUUUAAAAAAUAUUUCAAAAUAUAUUCUAAAAACUCUUCUACUCUUAAAUAUCCCAAAAUAUUUUCUAAAAUAUACUAUAAAAACUCUGCUACAGUAAAUUUUUCAAAAACACCCCCAAAAAUAGAUAAUCCAAAUGAAAUUUUUUAAUUUAUUUAGGAUCUAAUAAGUUGGAUAUCUUUGUUAGUUUACCGAAUUUCGUCACUUGAGAGGCAAAUUGGGUUCCUAGGAAUCUAAAUGUGCCUGCUCUUUUAUUAGCUAGUUAUGCUAGUUCUAUUUCAAAUAUUUGUAGUUGGAGAUCUUCUCCACCAUAUUUUCUUUCUUCCGUAAUUACUGCAGAUCUAUCUUCACCUUAAUCAAAUUUUUCAGUUUUUCUAUUUUAAAAAAAAAGUAACUUGGAUAGCAUUGAAAUAUAUAUAUAUAUAUAUAUAUAUAUAUAUAUAUAUAUAUAUAUAUAUAAGGAAAAAUAUUAGUUCAAAUUGGUUCAAAAAUACGAUUUUUACUGAUUUUGAACACUUCAAUUGAUUCCUCACCGAGGUUGAAUGGUGCAAUUAAAUUUUGGAUUUAAUAGAAAACUGGUGCCAUAAUGAAUUAUAUUCAACUUUCUAACCAGUUGGUCCGAUCUAAUUUUCAAAACACCGAUUGUAACAUAUUUAAGACUAAUCUUUUUAAGUGUCUCAUAUCUUGAAAUGAUGUAUUUUAACAAUAUAUAUAAAAUGCAACAUCUACGUCUCAAACUUCACUUCGAGUCAUUUUUUUUUUCUGGAUAGGAAUGUCAUGCAUAUAUUACGUACUAAUUCACUGAGUGGUAGUUAUAGUAAGGUUACACUUAGGUAGACUCGAUUUUCAAAGAUUCAAUGGUCCAAAUUGUGUCAUAUCAUCUCACCAAAUGAUGUGGCACAAUUUGGAUCAUUGAAUUUAUAAAAAUCAUAUCUAUCCAAAAUUUGGCUGUUAUGGUAUUACAUAAAAAUUGCUCCAAAAAAGGCAAGUACAUACGUCACAUGUUCAUUUUAGAGAAUCAGAACAUUAGUUCUGGUGACCGCAUUACUUUUUGUUAAUUUUCAAAAGACAGUUUUUCUCUUUGUUUUCGUCUCAAUUGGUUAGCAUGUAACGUGGUGGUUACAAAUCGUGUAUCCGUCAUGCGUGUGACUUGCAAAAUGACUUGAUAUGAACUGUUGAAGACCUUGGCUGCAAUCUUCUAUGAUCUUUUUAUUGUUUGGAUCGGUCCAUAAUACGUUGGCAUAUUCUUUAACGGCAAAAUGGUGAUCCAAGUUGGAAUAUAGUACAAGGGUAAAUUACACAUAACUCUCAUAUAGUUUCAACUAUUAUCCAAUGAUUCCUCUAACGUUUUCAAAUGUCCAUUUUACCCCUUUAUGAUUUUAUUGAAAGUCAAAACUUGAUAGAAAAGUAACAUAUAUAACGUCUGCACUGUUUGGAUUUACCAUUUUUUGAAAAACAAGUUUUUCAUAUACAAUGUUACAGUAAUAUAUAAACAAAAAUAAUUUAAAAAAUACUAUAUCAAUACAAUAUAUUAAAAACAACUCCAAAUAUACAAAAAAUUUAAAAAUAAAAUAUACACUAUUUUUUUCUUCCAUCUAUCACCACUACCAUCAUCACCCCUACCCACCAUCCUCCUCCUCCCUCUCUUUCCUCCUCAUUUCUCUGCCUCUCUCUUCCUUCUCCCUCACUUUCCUCCUCCCCUCUUCCUUUUCCCUUCCCUGCCACACCCCACCUCCUCCCCUCUAGCCUCAACUAGAUCUAGGCCUUUGGUCACAGCCAAAGGCCGCGAUCUGGUCUCGACAAUGCCAAAUUGAGGAGGGGAAGGAAGAGGAUGUGCGGGGUCUAGCAAGAAAGUGGAGGGAAAGGGAAGGGUGGGAGAAGGAGGGAAGGAGAAGGAAGAGAGACAAGGAGAAGAGAAGAGGAGGGAGAGAGGGGAUGGUGGCGAUGGUGGGUAGUGGUGGUGGGUGGAGUGUUAAUUUUCAAAAUUAUCCUAAAAAUUUUUAAACUUUAAAAAUAUGUUAAAUAUAUCCCAAAAACACCACUAAAAACAUUUAUAGUAACAGUUUUUCAUAUGCAUUGUUAUAGUAAAAUAUUUUAAAAAUAUCCCAAAAAAUAGCUAAUCCAAACGGAACCGUUAUUAGUUGGAAUACCAAUAGUAUCCUCAUUUAAAUAUUAAAUCAAAUAACGGUCUAACUACUUUGUAUAGUACCAUUUGAGUAUUAUUUGGAUAAAUACAAAAAUUAUUAGGGAGUAAAAUAGAUAUUUAGGUAAACUAUAGGGUUGUUAACUAGAUAUUAUAAUUCCAUCACACGUACUUUUGAAAUGCAUCUAAUUCAUUCACCAUAACUUAUAGCAUAUUCCAUCUUCUUUUUUUUUUCUUUACAUUAAACUAUAAACUAUAGGGAGAUUACAUGAUUAUUUUGAAACCUUAGGAAAAUUAUCUAACAUCCUGCAAAACUAUAGGCAAGUUAUAUGUAAUCUACCCCAAUUGUUGCAUCCUGACAUGUCAGUUACAUAGCAAAAAGCGUUCGUUUAUGGGAAAGAAAAGGAAAAAAAAGAAGGUAUUAUGAUAAACCUUUAUGCACACAUUAGAGACUAUUUGUACUGUUUUUCGAUUUUUCCCAUUGUACUUUCUGCACCAUCUAACCUUUGAUUCCAAGAUAAGUUCGAAGGAGACACCAAAUCUCAACCUCAUAUGUCUUUGUCGGCCUUAUGGGACCAGAAUCGAUAUUAAUGCUUUAUUAUUGAAGCACAAAAACUUUCAUGCCACUCAAAUUAUUAAAUUUGUCGAUUGUGUCAAAUAUUUCCAGCAGAUACACAUGGUUGCCCCCAUAAGGCCUCUCCUCUGCCCCCAACCCCCCGCCCCGGCCGCCCCUCCCCUUCCCCAAAAAAAAAAAAAAAAAAAACAAAAGGAAAAAAUUGUAAAACAAAUUUCUUAUCUAUGUUUUAAUAAAUAAAAUUUCUUAGCUUGCUUUCAUGAAAUAAAAGAUUUUUUGAGAUAAUUUUUUUAAAAAAUAUUAUAGCACUUUUUUGAUGUGAUAUAAUGUAUAUGAAAUAAAAAAUGAUUCAAAAAUAUAUUAAUGAUAUAAACAAAUAAAAAUUGUGUAAAUAAAUACUAUCCAAACAAACCUUAACAGUUCAAAAAGAUGUCGUGUAAAUAACAUAUUAUAGUUUUCCUCACUAUAUUAAUAUGUCUUUUCAUCUUUUUGAAUUCGGCCGUGCAUUUUUUUGACCAUUGCCACUAUAAACACUAAAUCAAUUUCCCUAUUUUCUUUCAAAUCCUUUACUUCGGGUAAGCAUUUUCAGGUCUAAAUGAAACGUUUUACAUGCAAACUUAAUCAAAUGCCUUGAAGAAAAAAAAAAAGACUAGAGAUGAUAUUUGUAAUUAAAUUUACUUAUAAUUUAUAAGGAUUCAAAAGAAAACAUGAUCACAUGCAAUUCUGAGAUACAGACAAGACAUGGAUAAUAAAGACACCUAAUAUGGAGAAUCUUUAAAUAAAUAAAAACCCAUGACUGCCACUCAAAAUGCGGUAGAGAAUCUUAAGCAAAUUGCUUCUUUACAGGUACAACAACGAGGCUGUCACCUACUAACAGACAAGCCAAUUAAGUUUUACAGAUAAGACUUGAAACAAAAAAACUUUAUGAACAAUUCUCAAAUUGUCUUCAUUCAUUUUCUCUUUCCCUAGGAAAAUUUAAAAAAGAAAAAAAAAAGACUGUGCAAUACUUUUCUACAUAGAAACCCUCUUGAGCCAGUCUGUUAUAAGCAUAUAUUAUAUAAUAUUGACAAUAGCAGACAGACCAAAAAACAAAAAAAAAAAAAAAGUAAGAAAACUGGGAUAAGAAAAAUAUAUAAUUCUUCCCAGAGAACCAUUUCAGCUUCUGUUCUUGCAUUUU